UUCAGGAAGCCCGAAAGCCCCAAAUAUUUUUUUUCAUUUUACAUUUUUGUUGGUGUAACCAACUCCAAAAGGUUGGAAAAGAGUUCCUACUAAGGUUUUGGACAGUGAUUUUAACCCUAACGCCAAAAACCUUAAACCUUACCCUAGCCCCAAAACCUAAUACCAGUGUAUUACUUUUAGGAAGCCUGAACACCCCAAACAUUUUUUUUUUCAUUUUUCAUUUUUUUUUUUUUGGUCUAGCUUACUCCAAAAGGUUGGAAAAGAGUUCCUACAAAGGUUUUGGACAGUGAUUUUAACCCUAACGCCAAAAACCUUUAACCUUACCCUAGCCCUGUAAUAUAAUAUAUACAUAAUUUACAAACACAUAGUCUAAAAGAUAGACAGCAUGGCAUACCAAUUGAGUGGAGUCAUUAAACUUCCUACCAACACAUAAUUUUUACACACAGAUUGAGCUUGGAGACUUGACUGGGAACAUGUGAUAUGUCAACAUCCCCCUCACCAAUCUUUAUUUUCCACCAUCUCCACCUCUCCCUUAAACCCCCCUCUCCCUCUUCCCUUCUCUCUCUCUCUCUCUCACACACACACACACACACACACACACACACACACACACACACACACACACACUCUCUCUCUCUCUCUCUCUCUCUCUCUCUCUCUCUCUCUCUCUCUCUCUCUCUCUCUCCCUCAUCUCUCUCCCUCAUCUCUACCCCUCUCUCUAACACCCCCCCUUUCUUAUUCCCUCCCCUGCCCCUUUAUUUUCACCUUCACAGAGGACAAAUAGGUGAUCUUCAGCCUAGGCCUACCCCGGCCGGGGGGUAACCCCUGUUGGGUCACCUAUAUGGAGGAUUAAGAAAGACCUGAAGGGGAACCGCCGUGCCCCCUAAAUCCUCCCCCUCUAACAUCUUUUUAACACUCUAAAAUUAGCCAGCUAACCCCACUACAAACAACUUCAUCAAAAAUUUAAAUAAUAAAUACUUAUCAAUAACUGACCAUCAGUGACACCAGACUAAGUUAGCAAAAAAGAACACACACACACACACGUACAGAUUUUCCCUUAGGACAUUGAUCAGAUUUACAUUUCUGUCUUUCUUUUAGGGAACUGUUCUCUGUUUUUAAGCUCACUUCUGAUUUUUGCUAUUUGCUCUUGACACUUCUUUUUUUCCUUUUUUCUUCCCCUUUCCCUUUUGCAAUCCACUUUUGUUCUUCUUUUAUUUUUUCAUUGUUUUAUAUUAUUUUAUUUUAUUUUAGGGUUCCUGUGCUUUUGUUUUUCUUCCCCCCUCCCCUCUUUUUUCUUAGGAAGGACUGACUCCUGAGGUUCUCAUGCCAGGAAAAAUGUACCUCCCUCACUCACGGUUUUACCCACAAUCCUUUGCUGCAACAGGGAGAUUGAUUCCCAAGGCUCUCAUGCCAGAAAGGAAGUACCUCACUUCCUCACGGUUUUACCCACAAUCCUUUGCUGUAACAGGAAGAUUGAUUCCUUAGGCUCUCAUCCCUCAGAACUAAAAUACCCACAAUCCCUUGCGAUUGCAUACAAAUUGAAUGUAGCAAAACUCAAUUUAAAACAAUAAACUACAUUAAAAUUAACUUAAAACAACUUGAAGGUUUAAAAUACAACCAAGAGACAUCCAUUCUGGAAUACAAACAUCGAGAAGAGAACACAACCAUGUCUGAGAGGAACAGCACAAACCAUGACUCGAGCCCAACUCUGGGGAUGUCUCCUCGUGUGAAAAGCACAUUUAAGUGCCGUGCACUGAAGAGCAAUUCCUGUUCCAGUUAUUGAGACAAAGCACUGACCUCUGGACCAAGAAGACGGACCACCAUCGAGGAAGACGCCGCGCCGCCAACUGAAAGAAGACGCCGCACCUCCAUCACUCCAAGCCGCCCACCACCGAGCUUCGACCCGCCUACAGCACCGAGUCCCAGCAAACCUUCCCGCGGAGCGCUGAUCUUCUUUCCCCCGCCGAGGACCCCGGACUUCAGACACACCGCUGCCACCGCGGAUGGACAGCUGGAACCUUUUCCCCCCUCCAACAGAUUUUAGACUACUGGAAAAGAAACCCCUCACAUCAACAACAACUUAGGACCACUAGGGUAAGUCUACAAAAAACCUCUCAAACACCUCAAAAUUACUCUAAAUAGUUAGUUUUGUUUGUUGAACUUGAGUUUGUGUCGUUUUUGAACUUGAGUUUGUGGUGUUUUUGAACUUGAGUUUGUGUCGUGUUUGAAGUUUGUGGCAACUUAUGAACUUGAGUUUGUUUGGCUUGAUUUUUUGGCAAUUGUUGAACUUGAGUCUAUGGUUUUUAGUGAACUUUAGUUGGUGGCAAUUGUUGAACUUUUGUUUGUGGCGUUCGUUGAACUUGAGUUUGUGGUGUUCAUUGAACUUGAGUUUGUGGCAUAUUUGAACUUGAGUUUAUUAUGUUUUUUGAACUUGAGGUUCUGGUGUUUUCUAACUUAAGUUUGUGGAAAUUGUUGAACUUGAGGAUCGGGUGUUGCUUGAACUUGACUUGUUGUGUUUGUUGAACUUGAGUUUGUGGUGUUUGUUGAACUUGAGUUUGUGUGGUGUUUUUGAACUUGAGUUUGUGAAGUGUUUGAACUUGAGUUUGUGUUUUUUUUAACCUUGAGGUUGUGGCAAUUGUUAAACUUGAGAAUCGGGUGGUGGUUGAACUUGAGUUUGUGGUGUUCAUUGAACUUGAGUUUGUGGCAUAUUUGAACUUGAGUUUAUCAUGUUUUUUGAACUAGAGGUUCUGGUGUUUUUUAACUUAAGUUUGUGGAAAUUGUUGAACUUGAGGAUCGGGUGUUGCUUGAACUUGACUUGUUGUGUUUGUGAACUUGAGUUUUAGUCCUUGAGCCAAUAACCAAAAUUUCACAUAUCGGUACCACCUAGGUGGGCAAAUUCUAGUUGUGAUUUUUUUAUACAUCCCUACAAUAAGUUUUUAUUUGAUAGACCUUGGUAACUGGUAGCUUUAUUGUAGUUAUUACUCAUUGAAGUAAUAGAGUGCAGCUGUUCAAAAACGAAAAAUCGCCUUCCUUCAAAAUGAGCUUUCUUUCAUUUUAACCUCUCAUUUAGGUGUGUUUGAACUAUUGGCUAGCCAUAGAGACUUGUAUUAACCCCCUAAGUAGUAUUUCAAGUAAUUUAUCUAAUACAGGUGUGUAUAUAUAAGCUUCAAUUAGCUAAUUGUCAGGUCUAAAUCAAGGUCUAAAUUAAGGAUAUUUUUUGACUUAGAAGUAGAAAUAAAAUAAAUGCAGACUAAUAGCAUUAUAAUAACACAACUUUAAUAUGACACUGACAUAUUUUAAAUGUAGGCACUCAAUAUACAAUCAUCCUGGCUGGUGCAGGGCAAGAAGACAUUAGCAACAAAAUAAGAUCUACUGAUGUAUACACUCUAUACAAUCAUCUGAGAAAAACUCCAAUUCCUAUUCAAAGUCCUAUUCUUUCCAUAAGGAACAGUGACGGCAAAUAUGACUGUCAAGUUUUGGCUUAGCACAUAAUUCUGUCACUGAGUCACAGUGGGUCUGCUAACAUAGCUCCCUUUGGUCAUCACUUAUUAAUCAACAUCAGUAAUCGACAUCAGUAUCUGUAUCUUCUUCUACAUCUGAAUCUGCCGGUGUGCAAGGGGCUCUUCCUCACUGUACUGGUUGGCACAAGUUUGUAAUUUGCACAGGUUUGUGCACUUCAGCCCAUUGCUGAGACAGGUGCAGUCUGGUGGUUUGCAUGUCCUCACACACUUCAGUUUGUGGUGUUUUUGAACUUCAGUUUGUGGCACUUUUUUAACUUUUAAGUUUUUGGCAAUUGUUAAAUGUGAGUUUAGGUCAUUUGUUGAACUUGAAAUUUUGGAAUUUGUUGAACUUAAGAUUGUGGUGUUUGUUGAACUUGAGUUUGUGGCAAUUGUUGAACUUGAGUCUGUAUUUUUCUCUGAACUUUAGUUGGUGGCAAUUGUUGAACUUGAGUUUGUGGUGUUUUUGCACCUGAGUUUGUGUCGUGUUUGAACUUGAGUUUGUGUUGUUUUUGAACUAGAGGUUGUGGCAAUUGUUAAACUUGAGAUUUGGGUGUUGGUUGAACUUGAGUUUGUGGUGUUUUUUGAUCUUGAGUUUGUGUCUUGUUUGAACUUUUGUUUUUGAGAUUUUUUUUUUGUUUGUUUGUUUGUUUUUUUGAUUUUAAACCUAACGCCAAACAAUAAAACCUUACCAUAGCCCCAUAACCUAAUACCCGGGUAUUACCUUCAGGAAGCUCGAACACCCCAAAUAUUUUUUUUUCAUUUUACAUUUUUGUUGGUGUAACCAACUCCGAAAGGUUGGAAAAGAGUUCCUACAAAGGUUUUUGACAGUGAUUUUAACCCUAACGCCAAAAACCUUUAACCUUACCAUAGCCCCAUAACCUAAUACCCGGGUAUUACCUUCAGGAAGCUCGAACACCCCAAAUAUUUUUUUUUCAUUUUACAUUUUUGUUGGUGUAACCAACUCCAAAAGGUUGGAAAAGAGUUCCUACAAAGGUUUUGGACAGUGAUUUUAACCCUAACACCAAAAACCUUAAACCUUUCCCCAGUCCCAAAACCUAAUACCUGGGUAUUACCUUCAGGGAGCCCGAAAACCCCCAAUAAUAUUUUUUUCUUUUUUCAUAUUUUUUGGUCUAACUAACUCCAAAAGGUUGGAAAAGAGUUCCUACAAAGGUUUUGGACAGUGAUUUUAACCCUAACGCCAAAAACCUUAAACCUUACCCUAGCCUUAAAAUCUAAUACCCGGGUAUUACCUUCAGGAAGCCUGAACACCCCAAAUAUUUUUUUUUUCAUUUUUCAUUUUUGUUGGUGUAACCAACUCCAAAAGGUUGGAAAAGAGUUCCUACAAAGGUUUUGGACAGUGAUUUUAACCCUAACGCCAAAAACCUUAAACCUGACCAUAGUCCCAAAACCUAAUACCCGGGUAUUACUUUCAGGGAGCCCGAAAACCCCCAAUAAUAUUUUUUUCUUUUUUCAUAUUUUUUGGUCUAACUAACUCCAAAAGGUUGGAAAAGAGUUCCUACAAAGGUUUUGGACAGUGAUUUUAACCCUAACGCCAAAAACCUUAAACCUUACCCUAGCCUUAAAAUCUAAUACCCGGGUAUUACCUUCAGGAAGCCUGAACACCCCAAAUAUUUUUUUCUUCAUUUUACAUUUUUGUUGGUUCAACCAACUCCAAAAGGUUGGAAAAGAGUUCCUACAAAGGUUUUGGACAGUGAUUUUAACCCUAACGCCAAAAAACUUAAACCUUUCCCUGGCCUUAAAAUCUAAUACCCGGGUAUUACCUUCAGGAAGCCUGAACACCCCAAAUAUUUUUUUCUUCAUUUUACAUUUUUGUUGGUUCAACCACCUCCAAAAGGUUGGAAAAGAGUUCCUACAAAGGUUUUGGACAGUGAUUGUAACCCUAACGCCAAAAAACUUAAACCUUACCCUAGCCUUAAAAUCUAAUACCGGGGUAUUACAUUAAGGAAGCCUGAACACCCCAAAUAUUUUUUUUUCAUUUUUCAUUUUUUUUUUGGUCUAACUAACUCCAAAAGGUUGAAAAAGAGUUCCUACAAAGGUUUUGGACAGUGAUUUUAACCCUAACGCCAAAAACCUUAAACCUUACCAUAGCCUUAAAAUCUAAUACCCGGGUAUUACAUUAAGGAAGCCCAAACACCCCAAAUAUUUUUUUUUCAUUUUACUUUUUUGUUGUUUUAACCAACUCCAAAAGGUUGGAAAAGAGUUCCUACAAAGGUUUUGGACAGUGAUUUUAACCCUAACGCAAAAAAACUUAAACCUUUCCCUAGCCCCAUAACCUAAUUCCCGGGUAUUACCUUCAGGAAGCCCGAACACCCCAAAUAUUUGUUUUUCAUUUUACAUUUUUGUUGGUGUAACCAACUCCAAAAGGUUGGAAAAGAGUUCCUACAAAGGUUUUGGACAGUGAUUUUAACCCUAACGCCAAAAAACUUAAACCUUACCCUGGCAUUAAAAUCUAAUACCCGGGUAUUACAUUAAGGAAGCCUGAACACCCCAAAUAUUUUUUUUUCAUUUUUCAUUUUUUUUGGUCUAACUAACUCCAAAAGGUUGGAAAAGAGUUCCUACAAAGGUUUUGGACAGUGAUUUUAACCCUAACGCCAAAAACCUUAAACCUUUCCCCAGUCCCAAAACCUAAUACCUGGGUAUUACCUUCAGGGAGCCCGAAAACCCCCAACAAUAUUUUUUUCUUUUUUCAUAUUUUUUGGUCUAACUAACUCCAAAAGGUUGGAAAAGAGUUCCUACAAAGGUUUUGGACAGUGAUUUUAACCCUAACGCCAAAAACCUUAAACCUUACCCUAGCCUUAAAAUCUAAUACCCGGGUAUUACCUUCAGGAAGCCUGAACACCCCAAAUAUUUUUUUUUUCAUUUUUCAUUUUUUUUGGUCUAACUAACUCCAAAAGGUUGGAAAAGAGUUCCUACAAAGGUUUUGGACAGUGAUUUUAACCCUAACGCCAAAAAACUUAAACCUGACCAUAGCCCCAAAACCUAAUACCCGGGUAUUACUUUCAGGGAGCCCGAAAACCCCCAAUAAUAUUUUUUUCUUUUUUCAUAUUUUUUGGUCUAACUAACUCCAAAAGGUUGGAAAAGAGUUCCUACAAAGGUUUUGGACAGUGAUUUUAACCCUAACGCCAAAAACCUUAAACCUUACCCUAGCCUUGAAAUCUAAUACCCGGGUAUUACCUUCAGGAAGCCUGAACUCCCCAAAUAUUUUUUUUUCAUUUUUCUUUUUUUUUUUGGUCAAACUAACUCCAAAAGGUUGGAAAAGAGUUCCUACAAAGGUUUUGGACAGUGAUUUUAACCCUAACACCAAAAACCUUAAACCUUUCCCCAGUCCCAAAACCUAAUACCUGGGUAUUACCUUCAGGGAGCCCGAAAACCCCCAAUAAUAUUUUUUUCUUUUUUCAUAUUUUUUGGUCUAACUAACUCCAAAAGGUUGGAAAAGAGUUCCUACAAAGGUUUUGGACAGUGAUUUUAACCCUAACGCCAAAAACCUUAAACCUUACCCUAGCCUUAAAAUCUAAUACCCGGGUAUUACCUUCAGGAAGCCUGAACACCCCAAAUAUUUUUUUUUCAUUUUUCAUUUUUGUUGGUGUAACCAACUCCAAAAGGUUGGAAAAGAGUUCCUACAAAGGUUUUGGACAGUGAUUUUAACCCUAACGCCAAAAAACUUAAACCUGACCAUAGCCCCAAAACCUAAUACCCGGGUAUUACUUUCAGGGAGCCCGAAAACCCCCAAUAAUAUUUUUUUCUUUUUUCAUAUUUUUUGGUCUAACUAACUCCAAAAGGUUGGAAAAGAGUUCCUACAAAGGUUUUGGACAGUGAUUUUAACCCUAACGCCAAAAACCUUAAACCUUACCCUAGCCUUAAAAUCUAAUACCCGGGUAUUACCUUCAGGAAGCCUGAACACCCCAAAUAUUUUUUUCUUCAUUUUACAUUUUUGUUGGUGUAACCAACUCCAAAAGGUUGGAAAAGAGUUCCUACAAAGGUUUUGGACAGUGAUUUUAACCCUAACGCCAAAAAACUUAAACCUUUCCCUGGCCUUAAAAUCUAAUACCCGGGUAUUACAUUCAGGAAGCCUGAACACCCCAAAUAUUUUUUUCUUCAUUUUACAUUUUUGUUGGUUCAACCACCUCCAAAAGGUUGGAAAAGAGUUCCUACAAAGGUUUUGGACAGUGAUUGUAACCCUAACGCCAAAAAACUUAAACCUUACCCUAGCCUUAAAAUCUAAUACCCGGGUAUUACAUUAAGGAAGCCCGUGAACCCCAAAUAUUUUUUUUUCAUUUUUCAUUUUUUUUUGGUCUAACUAACUCCAAAAGGUUGAAAAAGAGUUCCUACAAAGGUUUUGGACAGUGAUUUUAACCCUAACGCCAAAAACCUUAAACCUUACCAUAGCCCCAUAACCUAAUACCCGGGUAUUACUUUUAGGAAGCCUGAACACCCCAAAUAUUUUUUUUUCAUUUUUCUUUUUUUUUUUUGGUCUAACUAACUCCAAAAGGUUGGAAAAGAGUUCCUACAAAGGUUUUGGACAGUGAUUUUAACCCUAACGCCAAAAACCUUAAACCUUUCCCUAGUCCCAAAACCUAAUACACGGGUAUUACUUUCAGGGAGCCCGAAAACCCCCAAUAAUAUUUUUUUCUUUUUUCAUAUUUUUUGGUCUAACUAACUCCAAAAGGUUGGAAAAGAGUUCCUACAAAGGUUUUGGACAGUGAUUUUAACCCUUACGCAAAAAACCUUAAACCUUACCCUAGCCUUGAAAUCUAAUACCCGGGUAUUACCUUCAGGAAGCCUGAACACCCCAAAUAUUUUUUUCUUCAUUUUACAUUUUUGUUGGUGUAACCAACUCCAAAAGGUUGGAAAAGAGUUCCUACAAAGGUUUUGGACAGUGAUUUUAACCCUAAUGCCAAAAACCUUAAACCUUACCAUAGCCUCAAAAUCUAAUACCCGGGUAUUACAUUCAGGAACCCCGAAAACCCCAAAUAUUGUUUUUUAAUUUUUCAUUUUUUUUUGGUCUAACUAACUCCAAAAGGUUGGAAAAGAGUUCCUACAAAGGUUUUGGAAAGUGAUUUUAACCCUAACGCCAAAAAACUUAAACCUUACCCUAGCCUUAAAAUCUAAUACCCGGGUAUUACAUUAAGGAAGCCCAAACACCCCAAAUAUUUUUUUUUCAUUUUACUUUUUUGUUGUUGUAACCAACUCCAAAAGGUUGGAAAAGAGUUCCUACAAAGGUUUUGGACAGUGAUUUUAACCCUAACGCCAAAAAACUUAAACCUUUCCCUAGCCCCAUAACCUAAUUCCCGGGUAUUACCUUCAGGAAGCCCGAACACCCCAAAUAUUUGUUUUUCAUUUUACAUUUUUGUUGGUGUAACCAACUCCAAAAGGUUGGAAAAGAGUUCCUACAAAGGUUUUGGACAGUGAUUUUAACCCUAACGCCAAAAAACUUAAACCUUACCCUGGCAUUAAAAUCUAAUACCCGGGUAUUACAUUAAGGAAGCCUGAACACCCCAAAUAUUUUUUUUUCAUUUUUCAUUUUUUUUGGUCUAACUAACUCCAAAAGGUUGGAAAAGAGUUCCUACAAAGGUUUUGGACAGUGAUUUUAACCCUAACGCCAAAAACCUUAAACCUUUCCCCAGUCCCAAAACCUAAUACCUGGGUAUUACCUUCAGGGAGCCCGAAAACCCCCAAUAAUAUUUUUUUCUUUUUUCAUAUUUUUUGGUCUAACUAACUCCAAAAGGUUGGAAAAGAGUUCCUACAAAGGUUUUGGACAGUGAUUUUAACCCUAACGCCAAAAACCUUAAACCUUACCCUAGCCUUAAAAUCUAAUACCCGGGUAUUACCUUCAGGAAGCCUGAACACCCCAAAUAUUUUUUUUUCAUUUUUCUUUUUUUUUGGUCUAACUAACUCCAAAAGGUUGGAAAAGAGUUCCUACAAAGGUUUUGGACAGUGAUUUUAACCCUAACGCCAAAAAACUUAAACCUUACCAUAGCCCCAAAACCUAAUACCCGGGUAUUACUUUCAGGGAGCCCGAAAACCCCCAAUAAUAUUUUUUUCUUUUUUCAUAUUUUUUGGUCUAACUAACUCCAAAAGGUUGGAAAAGAGUUCCUACAAAGGUUUUGGACAGUGAUUUUAACCCUUACGCCAAAAACCUUAAACCUUACCCUAGCCUUAAAAUCUAAUACCCGGGUAUUACCUUCAGGAAGCCUGAACACCCCAAAUAUUUUUUUCUUCAUUUUACAUUUUUGUUGGUGUAACCAACUCCAAAAGGUUGGAAAAGAGUUCCUACAAAGGUUUUGGACAGUGAUUUUAACCCUAAUGCCAAAAACCUUAAACCUUACCAUAGCCUCAAAAUCUAAUACCCGGGUAUUACAUUCAGGAACCCCGAAAACCCCAAAUAUUGUUUUUUAAUUUUUCAUUUUUUUUUGGUCUAACUAACUCCAAAAGGUUGGAAAAGAGUUCCUACAAAGGUUUUGGAAAGUGAUUUUAACCCUAACGCCAAAAAACUUAAACCUUACCCUAGCCUUAAAAUCUAAUACCCGGGUAUUACAUUAAGGAAGCCCAAACACCCCAAAUAUUUUUUUUUUCAUUUUACUUUUUUGUUGUUGUAACCAACUCCAAAAGGUUGGAAAAGAGUUCCUACAAAGGUUUUGGACAGUGAUUUUAACCCUAACGCCAAAAAACUUAAACCUUUCCCUAGCCCCAUAACCUAAUUCCCGGGUAUUACCUUCAGGAAGCCCGAACACCCCAAAUAUUUGUUUUUCAUUUUACAUUUUUGUUGGUGUAACCAACUCCAAAAGGUUGGAAAAGAGUUCCUACAAAGGUUUUGGACAGUGAUUUUAACCCUAACGCCGAAAAACUUAAACCUUACCCUGGCAUUAAAAUCUAAUACCCGGGUAUUACAUUAAGGAAGCCUGAACACCCCAAAUAUUUUUUUUUCAUUUUUCAUUUUUUUUGGUCUAACUAACUCCAAAAGGUUGGAAAAGAGUUCCUACAAAGGUUUUGGACAGUGAUUUUAACCCUAACGCCAAAAACCUUAAACCUUUCCCCAGUCCCAAAACCUAAUACCUGGGUAUUACCUUCAGGGAGCCCGAAAACCCCCAAUAAUAUUUUUUUCUUUUUUCAUAUUUUUUGGUCUAACUAACUCCAAAAGGUUGGAAAAGAGUUCCUACAAAGGUUUUGGACAGUGAUUUUAACCCUAACGCCAAAAACCUUAAACCUUACCCUAGCCUUAAAAUCUAAUACCCGGGUAUUACCUUCAGGAAGCCUGAACACCCCAAAUAUUUUUUUUUUCAUUUUUCAUUUUUUUUGGUCUAACUAACUCCAAAAGGUUGGAAAAGAGUUCCUACAAAGGUUUUGGACAGUGAUUUUAACCCUAACGCCAAAAAACUUAAACCUUACCCUGGCCUUAAAAUCUAAUACCUGGGUAUUACUUUCAGGAAGCCCGAACACCCCAAAUAUUUUUUUUUUUCAUUUUACAUUUUUUUUGGUCACCUAACUCCAAAAGGUUGGAAAAGAGUUCCUACAAAGGUUUUGGACAGUGAUUUUAACCCUAACGCCAAAAAACUUAAACCUUACCCUAGCCUUAAAAUCUAAUACCCGGGUAUUACCUUCAGGAAGCCCGAAAACCCCAAAUAUUUUUUUUUCAUUUUUCAUUUUUUUUGGUCUAACUAACUCCAAAAGGUUGGAAAAGAGUUCCUACAAAGGUUUUGGACAGUGAUUUUAACCCUAACGCCAAAAACCUUAAACCUUACCAUAGCCCCAUAACCUAAUACCCGGGUAUUACUUUUAGGAAGCCUGAACACCCCAAAUAUUUUUUUUUUUCAUUUUUCAUUUUUUUUGGUCUAACUAACUCCAAAAGGUUGGAAAAGAGUUCCUACAAAGGUUUUGGACAGUGAUUUUAACCCUAACGCCAAAAACCUUAAACCUUACCCUAGCCCUUGAAAUCUAAUACCCGGGUAUUACCUUCAGGAAGCCUGAACACCCCAAAUAUUUUUUUCUUUUUUCAUUUUUUUGGUCUAACCAACUCCAAAAGGUUGGAAAAGAGUUCCUACAAAGGUUUUGGACAGUGAUUUUAACCCUAACGCCAAAAAACCUUAAACCUUACCCUAGCCUUAAAAUCUAAUACCCGGGUAUUACCUUCAGGAAGCCUGAACACCCCAAAUAUUUUUUUUUCAUUUUUCUUUUUUUUUUGGUCUAACUAACUCCAAAAGGUUGGAAAAGAGUUCCUACAAAGGUUUUGGACAGUGAUUUUAACCCUAACGCCAAAAACCUUAAACCUUACCCUAGCCCCAUAACCUAAUACCCGGGUAUUACAUUCAGGAACCCCGAAAACCCCAAAUAUUGUUUUUUAAUUUUUCAUUUUUUUUUGGUCUAACUAACUCCAAAAGGUUGGAAAAGAGUUCCUACAAAGGUUUUGGACAGUGAUUUUAACCCUAACGCCAAAAAACUUAAACCUUACCAUAGCCCCAUAACCUAAUACCUGGGUAUUACUUUUAGGAAGCCUGAACACCCCAAAUAUUUUUUUUUCAUUUUUCUUUUUUUUUUGGUCUAACCAACUCCAAAAGGUUGGAAAAGAGUUCCUACAAAGGUUUUGGACAGUGAUUUUAACCCUAACGCCAAAAACCUUAAACCUUACCAUAGCCCCAAAAUCUAAUACCCGGGUAUUACUUUCAGGAAGCCCGAACACCCCAAAUAUUUUUUUUUCAUUUUACAUUUUUUUUGGUGUAACUAACUCCAAAAGGUUGGAAAAGAGUUCCUACAAAGGUUUUGGACAGUGAUUUUAACCCUAACGCCAAAAAACUUAAACCUUACCCUAGCCUUAAAAUCUAAUACCCGGGUAUUACUUUCAGGAAGCCCGAAAACCCCAAAUAUUUUUUUUUCAUUUUUUCAUUUUUUUUUGGUCUAACUAACUCCAAAAGGUUGGAAAAGAGUUCCUACAAAGGUUUUGGACAGUGAUUUUAACCCUAACGCCAAAAACCUUAAACCUUACCAUAGCCCCAUAACCUAAUACCCGGGUAUUACUUUUAGGAAGCCUGAACACCCCAAAUAUUUUUUUUUCAUUUUUCAUUUUUUUUUUGGUCUAACUAACUCCAAAAGGUUGGAAAAGAGUUCCUACAAAGGUUUUGGACAGUGAUUUUAACCCUAACGCCAAAAAACUUAAACCUUACCCUAGCCUUAAAAUCUAAUACCCGGGUAUUACCUUCAGGAAGCCUGAACACCCCAAAUAUUUUUUUUUCAUUUUUCUUUUUUUUUGGUCUAACUAACUCCAAAAGGUUGGAAAAGAGUUCCUACAAAGGUUUUGGACAGUGAUUUUAACCCUAACGCCAAAAACCUUAAACCUUACCCUAGCCCCAUAACCUAAUACCCGGGUAUUACCUUCAGGAAGCCUGAACACCCCAAAUAUUUGUUUUUCAUUUUACAUUUUUGUUGGUCUAACUAACUCCAAAAGGUUGGAAAAGAGUUCCUACAAAGGUUUUGGACAGUGAUUUUAACCCUAACGCCAAAAAACUUAAACCUUACCCUGGCAUUAAAAUCUAAUACCCGGGUAUUACUUUUAGGAAGCCUGAACACCCCAAAUAUUUUUUUUUCAUUUUUCAUUUUUUUUGGUCUAACUAACUCCAAAAGGUUGGAAAAGAGUUCCUACAAAGGUUUUGGACAGUGAUUUUAACCCUAACGCCAAAAACCUUAAACCUUACCAUAGCCCCAUAACCUAAUACCCGGGUAUUACUUUUAGGAAGCCUGAACACCCCAAAUAUUUUUUUUUCAUUUUUCUUUUUUUUUGGUCUAACUAACUCCAAAAGGUUGGAAAAGAGUUCCUACAAAGGUUUUGGACAGUGAUUUUAACCCUAACGCCAAAAACCUUAAACCUUACCCUAGCCUUAAAAUCUAUUACCCGGGUAUUACCUUCAGGAAGCCCGAACACCCCAAAUAUUUUUUUCUUCAUUUUACAUUUUUGUUGGUGUAACCAACUCCAAAAGGUUGGAAAAGAGUUCCUACAAAGGUUUUGGACAGUGAUUUUAACCCUAACGCCAAAAACCUUAAAACUUACCAUAGCCCCAUAACCUAAUUCCCGGGUAUUACCUUCAGGAAGCCCGAACACCCCAAAUAUUUUUUUUUUCAUUUUUCAUUUUUUUUGGUCUAACCAACUCCAAAAGGUUGGAAAAGAGUUCCUACAAAGGUUUUGGACAGUGAUUUUAACCCUAACGCCAAAAACCUUAAACCUUACCAUAGCCCCAUAACCUAAUACCUGGAUAUUACUUUUAGGAAGCCUGAACACCCCAAAUAUUUGUUUUUCAUUUUACAUUUUUGUUGGUGUAACCAACUCCAAAAGGUUGGAAAAGAGUUCCUACAAAGGUUUUGGACAGUGAUAUUAACCCUAACGCCAAAAACCUUAAACCUUACCAUGGCCCCAUAACCUAAUACCCAGGUAUUACUUUUAGGAAGCCCGAACACCCCAAAUAUUUGUUUUUCAUUUUACAUUUUUGUUUGUGUAACCAACUCCAAAAGGUUGGAAAAGAGUUCCUACAAAGGUUUUGGACAGUGAUUUUAACCCUAACGCCAAAAACCUUAAACCUUACCCUAGCCCCAUAACCUAAUUCCCGGGUAUUACCUUCAGGAAGCCCGAACACCCCAAAUAUUUGUUUUUCAUUUUACAUUUUUGUUUGUGUAACCAACUCCAAAAGGUUGGAAAAGAGUUCCUACAAAGGUUUUGGACAGUGAUUUUAACCCUAACGCCAAAAACCUUAAACCUUACCAUAGCCCCAUAACCUAAUACCCGGGUAUUACUUUUAGGAAGCCUGAACACCCCAAAUAUUUUUUUUUCAUUUUUCUUUUUUUUUUGGUCUAACUAACUCCAAAAGGUUGGAAAAGAGUUCCUACAAAGGUUUUGGACAGUGAUUUUAACCCUAACGCCAAAAACCUUAAAACUUACCCUAGCCCCAUAACCUAAUUCCCGGGUAUUACCUUCAGGAAGCCCGAACACCCCAAAUAUUUUUUUUUUUCAUUUUACAUUUUUGUUGGUGUAACCAACUCCAAAAGGUUGGAAAAGAGUUCCUACAAAGGUUUUGGACAGUGAUUUUAACCCUAACGCCAAAAACCUUAAACCUUACCCUAGCCCCAUAACCUAAUACCCGGGUAUUACUUUUAGGAAGCCUGAACACCCCAAAUAUUUUUUUUUCAUUUUUCAUUUUUUUGGUCUAACUAACUCCAAAAGGUUGGAAAAGAGUUCCUACAAAGGUUUUGGACAGUGAUUUUAACCCUAACGCCAAAAACCUUAAACCUUACCAUAGCCCCAUAACCUAAUACCCGGGUAUUACAUUAAGGAAGCCCGAACACCCCAAAUAUUUUUUUUUCAUUUUUCAUUUUUUUUGGUCUAACUAACUCCAAAAGGUUGGAAAAGAGUUCCUACAAAGGUUUUGGACAGUGAUUUUAACCCUAACGCCAAAAACCUUAAACCUUACCAUAGCCCCAUAACCUAAUACCUGGAUAUUACUUUUAGGAAGCCUGAACACCCCAAAUAUUUUUUUUUCAUUUUUCUUUUUUUUUUGGUCUAACUAACUCCAAAAGGUUGGAAAAGAGUUCCUACAAAGGUUUUGGACAGUGAUUUUAACCCUAACGCCAAAAACCUUAAAACUUACCCUAGCCCCAUAACCUAAUUCCCGGGUAUUACCUUCAGGAAGCCCGAACACCCCAAAUAUUUGUUUUUCAUUUUACAUUUUUGUUGGUGUAACCAACUCCAAAAGGUUGGAAAAGAGUUCCUACAAAGGUUUUGGACAGUGAUUUUAACCCUAACGCCAAAAACCUUAAACCUUACCUAGCCCCAUAACCUAAUACCCGGGUAUUACCUUCAGGAAGCCCGAACACCCCAAAUAUUUUUUUUUCAUUUUUCAUUCUUUUUUGGUCUAACUAACUCCAAAAGGUUGGAAAAGAGUUCCUACAAAGGUUUUGGACAGUGAUUUUAACCCUAACGCCAAAAACCUUAAACCUUACCAUGGCCCCAUAACCUAAUACCCGGGUAUUACUUUUAGGAAGCCUGAACACCCCAAAUAUAUAUAUUUUUCAUUUUACAUUUUUGUUGGUGUAACCAACUCCAAAAGGUUGGAAAAGAGUUCCUACAAAGGUUUUGGACAGUGAUUUUAACCCUAACGCCAAAAAACUUAAACCUUACCCUAGCCUUGAAAUCUAAUACCCGGGUAUUACCUUCAGGAAGCCUGAACACCCCAAAUAUUUUUUUUUCAUUUUUCUUUUUUUUUGGUCUAACUAACUCCAAAAGGUUGGAAAAGAGUUCCUACAAAGGUUUUGGACAGUGAUUUUAACCCUAACGCCAAAAACCUUAAACCUUUCCCUAGUCCCAAAACCUAAUACCCGGGUAUUACUUUCAGGGAGCCCGAAAACCCCCAAUAAUAUUUUUUUCUUUUUUCAUAUUUUUUGGUCUAACUAACUCCAAAAGGUUGGAAAAGAGUUCCUACAAAGGUUUUGGACAGUGAUUUUAACCCUAACGCCAAAAACCUUAAACCUUUCCCUAGCCUUGAAAUCUAAUACCCGGGUAUUACCUUCAGGAAGCCUGAACACCCCAAAAUAUUUUUUUUUCAUUUUACAUUUUUGUUGGUGUAACCAACUCCAAAAGGUUGGAAAAGAGUUCCUACAAAGGUUUUGGACAGUGAUUUUAACCCUAACGCCAAAAAACUUAAACCUUACCCUAGCCUCAAAAUCUAAUUCCCGGGUAUUACAUUCAGGAACCCCGAAAACCCCAAAUAUUUUUUUUUUUUUUUUCAUUUUUUUUUGGUCUAACUAACUCCAAAAGGUUGGAAAAGAGUUCCUACAAAGGUUUUGGACAGUGAUUUUAACCCUAACGCCAAAAAACUUAAACCUUACCAUAGCCCCAUAACCUAAUACCCGGGUAUUACCUUCAGGAAGCCCAAACACCCCAAAUAUUUUUUUUUCAUUUUACUUUUUUGUUGUUGUAACCAACUCCAAAAGGUUGGAAAAGAGUUCCUACAAAGGUUUUGGACAGUGAUUUUAACCCUAAUGCCAAAAAACUUAAACCUUACCCUGGCAUUAAAAUCUAAUACCCGGGUAUUACAUUCAGGAAGCCUGAACACCCCAAAUAUUUUUUUUUUUCAUUUUUCAUUUUUUUUGGUCUAACUAACUCCAAAAGGUUGGAAAAGAGUUCCUACAAAGGUUUUGGACAGUGAUUUUAACCCUAACGCCAAAAACCUUAAACCUUACCAUAGCCCCAUAACCUAAUACCCGGGUAUUACUUUCAGGGAGCCCGAAAACCCCCAAUAAUAUUUUUUUCUUUUUUCAUAUUUUUUGGUCUAACUAACUCCAAAAGGUUGGAAAAGAGUUCCUACAAAGGUUUUGGACAGUGAUUUUAACCCUAACGCCAAAAACCUUAAACCUUACCAUAGCCCCAUAACCUAAUACCCGGGUAUUACUUUUAGGAAGCCUGAACACCCCAAAUAUUUUUUUUUCAUUUUUCUUUUUUUUUUGGUCUAACUAACUCCAAAAGGUUGGAAAAGAGUUCCUACAAAGGUUUUGGACAGUGAUUUUAACCCUAACGCCAAAAACCUUAAACCUUACCAAAGCCCCAUAACCUAAUACCCGGGUAUUACUUUUAGGAAGCCUGAACACCCCAAAUAUUUUUUUUUCAUUUUUCUUUUUUUUUUGGUCAAACUAACUCCAAAAGGUUGGAAAUGUUCCUACAAAGGUUUUGGACAGUGAUUUUAACCCUAACGCCAAAAACCUUAAACCUUAUUACCUUCAGGAAGCCUGAACACCCCAAAUAUUUUUUUCUUUUUUCAUAUUUUUUGGUCUAACUAACUCCAAAAGGUUGGAAAAGAGUUCCUACAAAGGUUUUGGACAGUGAUUUUAACCCUAACGCCAAAAACCUUAAACCUUACCCUAGCCUUGAAAUCUAAUACCCGGGUAUUACCUUCAGGAAGCCUGAACACCCAAAAUAUUUUUUUCUUCAUCUUACAUUUUUGUUGGUGUAACCAACUCCAAAAGGUUGGAAAAGAGUUCCUACAAAGGUUUUGGACAGUGAUUUUAACCCUAACGCCAAAAAACUUAAACCUUACCCUAGCCUUAAAAUCUAAUACCCGGGUAUUACAUUCAGGAAGCCCGAAAACCCCAAAUAUAUAUUUUUUCAUUUUUCAUUUUUUUUGGUCUAACUAACUCCAAAAGGUUGGAAAAGAGUUCCUACAAAGGUUUUGGACAGUGAUUUUAACCCUAACGCCAAAAACUUAAACCUUACCCUAGCCUUAAAAUCUAAUACCCGGGUAUUACAUUCAGGAAGCCCGAAAACCCCAAAUAUUUUUUUUUUCAUUUUUCAUUUUUUUUUGGUCUAACUAACUCCAAAAGGUUGGAAAAGAGUUCCUACAAAGGUUUUGGACAGUGAUUUUAACCCUAACGCCAAAAACCUUAAACCUUACCCUAGCCUCAAAAUCUAAUACCCGGGUAUUACUUUCAGGGAGCACGAAAACCCCCAUUGAUUUUUUUUCUUUUUUCAUUUUUUUUGGUCUAACUAACUCCAAAAGGUUGGAAAAGAGUUCCUACAAAGGUUUUGGACAGUGAUUUUAACCCUAACGCCAAAAACCUUAAACCUUACCCUAGCCUUAAAAUCUACCUUCGGGCUACCUUCAGGAAGCCCGAACACCCCAAAUAUUUUUUUCUUCAUUUUACAUUUUUGUUGGUGUAACCAACUCCAAAAGGUUGGAAAAGAGUUCCUACAAAGGUUUUGGACAGUGAUUUUAACCCUAACGCCAAAAAACUUAAACCUUACCCUAGCCUUAAAAUCUAAUACCCGGGUAUUACAUUCAGGAACCCCUAAAACCCCAAAUAUUGUUUUUUAAUUUUUCAUUUUUUUUUUGGUCUAACUAACUCCAAAAGGUUGGAAAAGAGUUCCUACAAAGGUUUUGGACAGUGAUUUUAACCCUAACGCCAAAAACCUUAAACCUUACUCUAGCCCCAUAACCUAAUACCCGGGUAUUACUUUUAGGAAGCCUGAACACCCCAAAUAUUUUUUUUUCAUUUUUCUUUUUUUUUUUGGUCUAACUAACUCCAAAAGGUUGGAAAAGAGUUCCUACAAAGGUUUUGGACAGUGAUUUUAACCCUAACGCCAAAAACCUUAAACCUUACCCUAGCCUUGAAAUCUAAUACCCGGGUAUUACAUUCAGGAAGCCCGAAAACCCCAAAUAUAUAUUUUUUCAUUUUUCAUUUUUUUUGGUCUAACUAACUCCAAAAGGUUGGAAAAGAGUUCCUACAAAGGUUUUGGACAGUGAUUUUAACCCUAACGCCAAAAAACUUAAACCUUACCCUAGCCUUAAAAUCUAAUACCCGGGUAUUACCUUCAGGAAGCCCGAACACCCCAAAUAUAUAUUUUUUCAUUUUUCUUUUUUUUUUUGGUCAAACUAACUCCAAAAGGUUGGAAAAGAGUUCCUACAAAGGUUUUGGACAGUGAUUUUAACCCUAACGCCAAAAACCUUAAACCUUACCAUAGCCCCAUAACCUAAUACCCGGGUAUUACUUUUAGGAAGCCUGAACACCCCAAAUAUUUUUUUUCAUUUUUUUUUUUUUUGGUCUAACUAACUCCAAAAGGUUGGAAAAGAGUUCCUACAAAGGUUUUGGACAGUGAUUUUAACCCUAACGCCAAAAACCUUAAACCUUACCCUAGCCGAUAAAUCUAAUACCCGGGUAUUACCUUCAGGAAGCCUGAACACCCCAAAUAUAUUUUUUUUCUUUUUUCAUAUUUUUUGGUCUAACUAACUCCAAAAGGUUGGAAAAGAGUUCCUACAAAGGUUUUGGACAGUGAUUUUAACCCUAACGCCAAAAACCUUAAACCUUACCCUAGCCUUGAAAUCUAAUACCCGGGUAUUACAUUCAGGAACCCCGAAAACCCCAAAUAUUGUUUUUUAAUUUUUCAUUUUUUUUUGGUCUAACUAACUCCAAAAGGUUGGAAAAGAGUUCCUACAAAGGUUUUGGACAGUGAUUUUAACCCUAACGCCAAAAACCUUAAACCUUACCAUAGCCCCAUAACCUAAUACCCGGGUAUUACUUUUAGGAAGCCUGAACACCCCAAAUAUUUUUUUUUCAUUUUUCAUUUUUUUUGGUCUAACUAACUCCAAAAGGUUGGAAAAGAGUUCCUACAAAGGUUUUGGACAGUGAUUUUAACCCUAACGCCAAAAACCUUAAACCUUACCCUAGCCUUGAAAUCUAAUACCCGGGUAUUACCUUCAGGAAGCCUGAACACCCCAAAUAUUUUUUUCUUUUUUCAUAUUUUUUGGUCUAACUAACUCCAAAAGGUUGGAAAAGAGUUCCUACAAAGGUUUUGGACAGUGAUUUUAACCCUAACGCCAAAAACCUUAAACCUUACCAUAGCCCCAUAACCUAAUACCCGGGUAUUACUUUUAGGAAGCCUGAACACCCCAAAUAUUUUUUUUUCAUUUUUCUUUUUUUUUUUGGUCUAACUAACUCCAAAAGGUUGGAAAAGAGUUCCUACAAAGGUUUUGGACAGUGAUUUUAACCCUAACGCCAAAAAACUUAAACCUUACCCUAGCCUUAAAAUCUAAUACCCGGGUAUUACAUUCAGGAAGCCCGAAAACCCCAAAUAUAUAUUUUUUUUUUUUUCAUUUUUUUUGGUCUAACUAACUCCAAAAGGUUGGAAAAGAGUUCCUACAAAGGUUUUGGACAGUGAUUUUAACCCUAACGCCAAAAAACUUAAACCUUACCCUAGCCUUAAAAUCUAAUACCCGGGUAUUACAUUCAGGAAGCCCGAAAACCCCAAAUAUAUAUUUUUUCAUUUUUCUUUUUUUUUUGGUCUAACUAACUCCAAAAGGUUGGAAAAGAGUUCCUACAAAGGUUUUGGACAGUGAUUUUAACCCUAACGCCAAAAACCUUAAACCUUACCCUAGCCCCAUAACCUAAUACCCGGGUAUUACUUUUAGGAAGCCUGAACACCCCAAAUAUUUUUUUUUCAUUUUUCUUUUUUUUUUGGUCUAACUAACUCCAAAAGGUUGGAAAAGAGUUCCUACAAAGGUUUUGGACAGUGAUUUUAACCCUAACGCCAAAAACCUUAAACCUUACCCUAGCCUUGAAAUCUAAUACCCGGGUAUUACCUUCAGGAAGCCUGAACACCCCAAAUAUUUUUUUCUUUUUUCAUAUUUUUUGGUCUAACUAACUCCAAAAGGUUGGAAAAGAGUUCCUACAAAGGUUUUGGACAGUGAUUUUAACCCUAACGCCAAAAACCUUAAACCUUACCCUAGCCUUGAAAUCUAAUACCCGGGUAUUACAUUCAGGAACCCCGAAAACCCCAAAUAUUGUUUUUUAAUUUUUCAUUUUUUUUUGGUCUAACUAACUCCAAAAGGUUGGAAAAGAGUUCCUACAAAGGUUUUGGACAGUGAUUUUAACCCUAACGCCAAAAACCUUAAACCUUACCAUAGCCCCAUAACCUAAUACCCGGGUAUUACUUUUAGGAAGCCUGAACACCCCAAAUAUUUUUUUUUCAUUUUUCAUUUUUUUUGGUCUAACUAACUCCAAAAGGUUGGAAAAGAGUUCCUACAAAGGUUUUGGACAGUGAUUUUAACCCUAACGCCAAAAACCUUAAACCUUACCCUAGCCUUAAAAUCUAAUACCCGGGUAUUACCUUCAGGAAGCCUGAACACCCCAAAUAUUUUUUUCUUUUUUCAUAUUUUUUGGUCUAACUAACUCCAAAAGGUUGGAAAAGAGUUCCUACAAAGGUUUUGGACAGUGAUUUUAACCCUAACGCCAAAAACCUUAAACCUUACCCUAGCCUUGAAAUCUAAUACCCGGGUAUUACAUUCAGGAACCCCGAAAACCCCAAAUAUUGUUUUUUAAUUUUUCAUUUUUUUUUGGUCUAACUAACUCCAAAAGGUUGGAAAAGAGUUCCUACAAAGGUUUUGGACAGUGAUUUUAACCCUAACGCCAAAAACCUUAAACCUUACCCUAGCCCCAUAACCUAAUACCCGGGUAUUACCUUCAGGAAGCCUGAACACCCCAAAUAUUUUUUUUUUCAUUUUUCUUUUUUGGUCUAACCAACUCCAAAAGGUUGGAAAAGAGUUCCUACAAAGGUUUUGGACAGUGAUUUUAACCCUAACGCCAAAAAACUUAAACCUUACCCUAGCCUUAAAAUCUAAUACCCGGGUAUUACUUUCAGGAAGCCCGAACACCCCAAAUAUUUUUUUUUCAUUUUACAUUUUUUUUGGUGUAACCAACUCCAAAAGGUUGGAAAAGAGUUCCUACAAAGGUUUUGGACAGUGAUUUUAACCCUAAUGCCAAAAAACUUAAACCUUACCCUAGCCUUAAAAUCUAAUACCCGGGUAUUACAUUCAGGAAGCCCGAAAACCCCCAAUAUAUUUUUUUUCAUUUUUCAUUUUUUUUUGGUUAACUAACUCCAAAAGGUUGGAAAAGAGUUCCUACAAAGGUUUUGGACAGUGAUUUUAACCCUAACGCCAAAAACCUUAAACCUUACCAUAGCCCCAUAACCUAAUACCCAGGUAUUACUUUUAGGAAGCCUGAACACCCCAAAUAUUUUUUUUUUCAUUUUUCUUUUUUUUUUGGUCUAACUAACUCCAAAAGGUUGGAAAAGAGUUCCUACAAAGGUUUUGGACAGUGAUUUUAACCCUAACGCCAAAAAACUUAAACCUUACCCUAGCCUUAAAAUCUAAUACCCGGGUAUUACAUUCAGGAAGCCCGAACACCCCAAAUAUUUUUUUUUUCAUUUUACAUUUUUUUUUGGUGUAACCAACUCCAAAAGGUUGGAAAAGAGUUCCUACAAAGGUUUUGGACAGUGAUUUUAACCCUAACGCCAAAAACCUUAAACCUUACCCUAGCCUUGAAAUCUAAUACCCGGGUAUUACCUUCAGGAAGCCUGAACACCCAAAAUAUUUUUUUCUUUUUUCAUAUUUUUUGGUCUAACUAACUCCAAAAGGUUGGAAAAGAGUUCCUACAAAGGUUUUGGACAGUGAUUUUAACCCUAACGCCAAAAACCUUAAACCUUACCCUAGCCUUGAAAUCUAAUACCCGGGUAUUACAUUCAGGAAGCCUGAACACCCCAAAUAUUUUUUUUUAAUUUUUCAUUUUUUUUGGUCUAACUAACUCCAAAAGGUUGGAAAAGAGUUCCUACAAAGGUUUUGGACAGUGAUUUUAACCCUAACGCCAAAAAACUUAAACCUUACCAUAGCCCCAUAACCUAAUACCCUGGGUAUUACUUUUAGGAAGCCUGAACACCCCAAAUAUUUUUUUUUCAUUUUUCUUUUUUUUUGGUCUAACCAACUCCAAAAGGUUGGAAAAGAGUUCCUACAAAGGUUUUGGACAGUGAUUUUAACCCUAACGCCAAAAACCUUAAACCUUACCAUAGCCCCAUAACCUAAUACCCGGGUAUUACUUUUAGGAAGCCUGAACACCCCAAAUAUUUUUUUUUCAUUUUUCAUUUUUUUUGGUCUAACUAACUCCAAAAGGUUGGAAAAGAGUUCCUACAAAGGUUUUGGACAGUGAUUUUAACCCUAACGCCAAAAACCUUAAACCUUACCCUAGCCUUGAAAUCUAAUACUCGGGUAUUGCCUUCAGGAAGCCUGAACACCCCAAAUAUUUUUUUCAUUUUUCAUUCUUUUUUUGGUCUAACUAACUCCAAAAGGUUGGAAAAGAGUUCCUACAAAGGUUUUGGACAGUGAUUUUAACCCUAACGCCAAAAACCUUAAACCUUACCCUAGCCUUGAAAUCUAAUACCCGGGUAUUACAUUCAGGAAGCCUGAACACCCAAAAUAUUUUUUUCUUCAUCUUACAUUUUUGUUGGUGUAACCAACUCCAAAAGGUUGGAAAAGAGUUCCUACAAAGGUUUUGGACAGUGAUUUUAACCCUAACGCCAAAAAACCUUAAACCUUACCCUAGCCUCAAAAUCUAAUACCCGGGUAUUACUUUCAGGAACCCCGAAAACCCCAAAUAUUUUUUUUUAUUUUUUCAUUUUUUUUUGGUCUAACUAACUCCAAAAGGUUGGAAAAGAGUUCCUACAAAGGUUUUGGACAGUGAUUUUAACCCUAACGCCAAAAACCUUAAACCUUACCCUAGCCCCAUAACCUAAUUCCCGGGUAUUACCUUCAGGAAGCCCGAACACCCCAAAUAUUUGUUUUUCAUUUUACAUUUUUGUUGGUCUAACUAACUCCAAAAGGUUGGAAAAGAGUUCCUACAAAGGUUUUGGACAGUGAUUUUAACCCUAACGCCAAAAACCUUAAACCUUACCCUAGCAUUAAAAUCUAAUACCCGGGUAUUACUUUCAGGAACCCCGAAAACCCCAAAUAUUUUUUUUUUAUUUAUUCAUUUUUUUUUGGUGAAACCAACUCCAAAAGGUUGGAAAAGAGUUCCUACAAAGGUUUUGGACAGUGAUUUUAACCCUAAUGCCAAAAAACUUAAACCUUACCCUAGCCUCAAAAUCUAAUACCCGGGUAUUACAUUCAGGAAGCCCGAAAACCCCAAAUAUUUUUUUUUCAUUUUUCAUUUUUUUUGGUCUAACUAACUCCAAAAGGUUGGAAAAGAGUUCCUACAAAGGUUUUGGACAGUGAUUUUAACCCUAACGCCAAAAAACUUAAACCUUACCCUAGCCCCAUAACCUAAUACCUGGAUAUUACUUUUAGGAAGCCUGAACACCCCAAAUAUUUUUUUUUCAUUUUUCUUUUUUUUUUUUGGUCAAACUAACUCCAAAAGGUUGGAAAAGAGUUCCUACAAAGGUUUUGGACAGUGAUUUUAACCCUAACGCCAAAAACCUUAAAACUUACCCUAGCCCCAUAACCUAAUACCCGGGUAUUACCUUCAGGAAGCCCGAACACCCCAAAUAUUUUUUUUUCAUUUUACAUUUUUGUUGGUGUUACCAACUCCAAAAGGUUGGAAAAGAGUUCCUACAAAGGUUUUGGACAGUGAUUUUAACCCUAACGCCAAAAACCUUAAACCUUACCCUGGCAUUAAAAUCUAAUACCCGGGUAUUACCUUCAGGAAGCCCAAACACCCCAAAUAUUUUUUUUUCAUUUUACUUUUUUGUUGUUGUAACCAACUCCAAAAGGUUGGAAAAGAGUUCCUACAAAGGUUUUGGACAGUGAUUUUAACCCUAACGCCAAAAACCUUAAACCUUUCCCUAGUCCCAAAACCUAAAACCCGGGUAUUACAUUCAGGAAGCCCGGAAACCCCAAAUAUUUUUUUUUUCAUUUUUCAUUCUUUUUUUGGUCUAACUAACUCCAAAAGGUUGGAAAAGAGUUCCUACAAAGGUUUUGGACAGUGAUUUUAAACCUAACUCCAAAACGUAAAACCUUACCAUAGCCCCAUAACCUAAUACCCGGGUAUUACUUUUAGGAAGCCUGAACACCCCAAAUAUUUUUUUUUCAUUUUUCAUUUUUUUUUUUGGUCUAACUAACUCCAAAAGGUUGGAAAAGAGUUCCUACAAAGGUUUUGGACAGUGAUUUUAACCCUAACGCCAAAAACCUUAAACCUUACCUAGUCCCAAAACCUUGUACCCGGGUAUUACUUUCAGGGAGCCCGAAAACCCCCAAUAAUUUUUUUUUUCUUUUUUCAUUUUUUUUGGUGUAACCAACUCCAAAAGGUUGGAAAAGAGUUCCUACAAAGGUUUUGGACAGUGAUUUUAACCCUAACGCCAAAAAACUUAAACCUUACCCUAGCCUUAAAAUCCUAAUACCGGGUAUUACCUUCAGGAAGCCCGAACACCCCAAAUAUUUUUUUUUCAUUUUACAUUUUUGUUGGUGUAACCAACUCCAAAAGGUUGGAAAAGAGUUCCUACAAAGGUUUUGGACAGUGAUUUUAACCCUAACGCCAAAAAACUUAAACCUUACCCUAGCCUUAAAAUCUAAUACCCGGGUAUUACAUUCAGGAAGCCCGAAAACCCCAAAUAUAUAUUUUUUCAUUUUUCUUUUUUUUUUUUGGUCUAACUAACUCCAAAAGGUUGGAAAAGAGUUCCUACAAAGGUUUUGGACAGUGAUUUUAACCCUAACGCCAAAAAACUUAAACCUUACCCUAGCCUUAAAAUCUAAUACCCGGGUAUUACAUUCAGGAAGCCCGAAAACCCCAAAUAUAUAUUUUUUCAUUUUUCAUUUUUUGGUCUAACUAACUCCAAAAGGUUGGAAAAGAGUUCCUACAAAGGUUUUGGACAGUGAUUUUAACCCUAACGCCAAAAAACUUAAACCUUACCCUAGCCUUAAAAUCUAAUACCCGGGUAUUACAUUCAGGAAGCCCGAAAACCCCAAAUAUAUAUUUUUUCAUUUUUCAUUUUUUUUCGGUCAAACUAACUCCAAAAGGUUGGAAAAGAGUUCCUACAAAGGUUUUGGACAGUGAUUUUAACCCUAACGCCAAAAACCUUAAACCUUACCCUAGCCAAAAAACCUAAUACCCGGGUAUUACAUUCAGGAAGCCCGGAAACCCCAAAUAUUUUUUUUUCAUUUUUCAUUCUUUUUUUGGUCUAACUAACUCCAAAAGGUUGGAAAAGAGUUCCUACAAAGGUUUUGGACAGUGAUUUUAACCCUAACGCCAAAAAACUUAAACCUUACCCUAGCCUUAAAAUCUAAUACCCGGGUAUUACAUUCAGGAAGCCAGAACACCCCAAAUAUUUUUUUUUCAUUUUUCAUUUUUUUUAACUAACUCCAAAAGGUUGGAAAAGAGUUCCUACAAAGGUUUUGGACAGUGAUUUUAACCCUAACGCCAAAAACCUUAAACCUUACCAUAGCCCCAUAACCUAAUGCCCAGGUAUUACUUUUAGGAAGCCUGAACACCCCAAAUAUUUUUUUUUUCAUUUUUCUUUUUUUUUUGGUCUAACUAACUCCAAAAGGUUGGAAAAGAGUUCCUACAAAGGUUUUGGACAGUGAUUUUAACCCUAACGCCAAAAACCUUAAACCUUACCCUAGCCUUGAAAUCUAAUACCCGGGUAUUACCUUCAGGAAGCCUGAACACCCCAAAAUAUUUUUUUUUCAUUUUACAUUUUUUUGGUGUAACCAACUCCAAAAGGUUGGAAAAGAGUUCCUACAAAGGUUUUGGACAGUGAUUUUAACCCUAACGCCAAAAAACUUAAACCUUACCCUAGCCUCAAAAUCUAAUACCCGGGUAUUACAUUCAGGAACCCCGAAAACCCCAAAUAUUGUUUUUUAAUUUUUCAUUUUUUUUUGGUCUAACUAACUCCAAAAGGUUGGAAAAGAGUUCCUACAAAGGUUUUGGACAGUGAUUUUAACCCUAACGCCAAAAACCUUAAACCUUACCCUAGCCCCAUAACCUAAUUCCCGGGUAUUACCUUCAGGAAGCCCGAACACCCCAAAUAUUUGUUUUUCAUUUUACAUUUUUGUUGGUGUAACCAACUCCAAAAGGUUGGAAAAGAGUUCCUACAAAGGUUUUGGACAGUGAUUUUAACCCUAACCCCUAAAAAUUUAAACCUUACCCUGGCAUUAAAAUCUAAUACCCGGGUAUUACAUUAAGGAAGCCUGAACACCCCAAAUAUUUCUUUUUCAUUUUUUAUUUUUUUUUGUCUAACUAACUCCAAAAGGUUGGAAAAGAGUUCCUACAAAGGUUUUGGACAGUGAUUUUAACCCUAACGCCAAAAACCUUAAACCUUUCCCUAGUCCCAAAACCUAAUACCCGGGUAUUACUUUCAGGGAGCCCGGAAACCCCCAAUAAUAUUUUUUUCUUUUUUCAUAUUUUUUUGGUCUAACUAACUCCAAAAGGUUGGAAAAGAGUUCCUACAAAGGUUUUGGACAGUGAUUUUAACCCUAACGCCAAAAACCUUAAACCUUACCCUAGCCUUAAAAUCUACCUUCGGGCUACCUUCAGGAAGCCCGAACACCCCAAAUAUUUUUUUCUUCAUUUUACAUUUUUGUUGGUGUAACCAACUCCAAAAGGUUGGAAAAGAGUUCCUACAAAGGUUUUGGACAGUGAUAUUAACCCUAACGCCAAAAACCUUAAAACUUACCAUAGCCCCAUAACCUAAUUCCCAGGUAUUACCUUCAGGAAGCCCGAACACCCCAAAUAUUUUUUUUUUCAUUUUUCAUUCUUUUUUGGUCUAACCAACUCCAAAAGGUUGGAAAAGAGUUCCUACAAAGGUUUUGGACAGUGAUUUUAACCCUAACGCCAAAAACCUUAAACCUUACCAUAGCCCCAUAACCUAAUACCCGGGUAUUACUUUUAGGAAGCCUGAACACCCCAAAUAUUUUUUUUUCAUUUUUCUUUUUUUUUUGGUCUAACUAACUCCAAAAGGUUGGAAAAGAGUUCCUACAAAGGUUUUGGACAGUGAUUUUAACCCUAACGCCAAAAACCUUAAAACUUACCCUAGCCCCAUAACCUAAUACCCGGGUAUUACUUUCAGGAAGCCCGAAAACCCCAAAUAUAUUUUUUUUCAUUUUUCUUUUUUUUUUGGUCUAACUAACUCCAAAAGGUUGGAAAAGAGUUCCUACAAAGGUUUUGGACAGUGAUUUUAACCCUAACGCCAAAAACCUUAAACCUUUCCCCAGUCCCAAAACCUAAUACCCGGGUAUUACCUUCAGGAAGCCCGAACACCCCAAAUAUUUGUUUUUCAUUUUACAUUUUUGUUGGUGUAACCAACUCCAAAAGGUUGGAAAAGAGUUCCUACAAAGGUUUUGGACAGUGAUUUUAACCCUAACGCCAAAAAACUUAAACCUUACCAUAGCUCCAUAACCUAAUACCCUGGGUAUUACUUUUAGGAAGCCUGAACACCCCAAAUAUUUUUUUUUAUUUUUCUUUUUUUUUUGGUCUAACUAACUCCAAAAGGUUGGAAAAGAGUUCCUACAAAGGUUUUGGACAGUGAUUUUAACCCUAACGCCAAAAAACUUAAACCUUACCCUAGCCCCAUAACCUAAUACCUGGGUAUUACUUUUAGGAAGCCUGAACACCCCAAAUAUUUUUUUUUUCAUUUUUCAUUUUUUUUUGGUCUAACCAACUCCAAAAGGUUGGAAAAGAGUUCCUACAAAGGUUUUGGACAGUGAUUUUAACCCUAACGCCAAAAACCUUAAACCUUACCGUAGCCUUAAAAUCUAAUACCCGGGUAUUACUUUCAGGAAGCCCGAACACCCCAAAUAUUUUUUUUUUCAUUUUACAUUUUUUUUGGUGUAACCAACUCCAAAAGGUUGGAAAAGAGUUCCUACAAAGGUUUUGGACAGUGAUUUUAACCCUAACGCCAAAAACCUUAAACCUUACCCUAGCCUUAAAAUCUAAUACCCGGGUAUUACAUUCAGGAACCCCGAAAACCCCAAAUAUAUUUUUUUUCUUUUUUCAUUUUUUUUGGUCUAACUAACUCCAAAAGGUUGGAAAAGAGUUCCUACAAAGGUUUUGGACAGUGAUUUUAACCCUAACGCCAAAAACCUUAAACCUUACCCUAGCCUUAAAAUCUACCUUCGGGCUACCUUCAGGAAGCCCGAACACCCCAAAUAUUUUUUUCUUCAUUUUACAUUUUUGUUGGUGUAACCAACUCCAAAAGGUUGGAAAAGAGUUCCUACAAAGGUUUUGGACAGUGAUUUUAACCCUAACGCCAAAAACCUUAAACCUUACCCUAGCCUUGAAAUCUAAUACCCGGGUAUUACCUUCAGGAAGCCUGAACACCCCAAAUAUUUUUUUCUUUUUUCAUAUUUUUUGGUCUAACUAACUCCAAAAGGUUGGAAAAGAGUUCCUACAAAGGUUUUGGACAGUGAUUUUAACCCUAACGCCAAAAACCUUAAACCUUUCCCCAGUCCCAAAACCUAAUACCCGGGUAUUACCUUCAGGAAGCCCGAACACCCCAAAUAUUUUUUUUUCAUUUUACAUUUUUUUUGGUCUAACUAACUCCAAAAGGUUGGAAAAGAGUUCCUACAAAGGUUUUGGACAGUGAUUUUAACCCUAACGCCAAAAACCUUAAACCUUUCCCCAGUCCCAAAACCUAAUACCCGGGUAUUACCUUCAGGAAGCCCGAACACCCCAAAUAUUUUUUUUUCAUUUUACAUUUUUUUUGGUCUAACUAACUCCAAAAGGUUGGAAAAGAGUUCCUACAAAGGUUUUGGACAGUGAUUUUAACCCUAACGCCAAAAACCUUAAACCUUACCCUAGCCUUAAAAUCUAAUACCCGGGUAUUACAUUCAGGAAGCCCGAAAACCCCAAAUAUUGUUUUUUCAUUUUUCAUUUUUUUUGGUCUAACUAACUCCAAAAGGUUGGAAAAGAGUUCCUACAAAGGUUUUGGACAGUGAUUUUAACCCUAACGCCAAAAACCUUAAACCUUACCCUAGCCUUAAAAUCUACCUUCGGGCUACCUUCAGGAAGCCCGAACACCCCAAAUAUUUUUUUCUUCAUUUUACAUUUUUGUUGGUGUAACCAACUCCAAAAGGUUGGAAAAGAGUUCCUACAAAGGUUUUGGACAGUGAUUUUAACCCUAACGCCAAAAACCUUAAACCUUACCCUAGCCUUGAAAUCUAAUACCCGGGUAUUACCUUCAGGAAGCCUGAACACCCCAAAUAUUUUUUUCAUUUUUCAUAUUUUUUGGUCUAACUAACUCCAAAAGGUUGGAAAAGAGUUCCUACAAAGGUUUUGGACAGUGAUUUUAACCCUAACGCCAAAAACCUUAAACCUUUCCCCAGUCCCAAAACCUAAUACCCGGGUAUUACCUUCAGGAAGCCCGAACACCCCAAAUAUUUGUUUUUCAUUUUACAUUUUUGUUGGUGUAACCAACUCCAAAAGGUUGGAAAAGAGUUCCUACAAAGGUUUUGGACAGUGAUUUUAACCCUAACGCCAAAAACCUUAAACCUUACCCCAGUCCCAAAACCUAAUACCCGGGUAUUACCUUCAGGAAGCCCGAACACCCCAAAUAUUUUUUUUUCAUUUUACAUUUUUGUUGGUGUAACUAACUCCAAAAGGUUGGAAAAGAGUUCCUACAAAGGUUUUGGACAGUGAUUUUAACCCUAAUGCCAAAAAACUUAAACCUUACCCUAGCCUUGAAAUCUAAUACCCGGGUAUUACCUUCAGGAAGCCUGAACACCCCAAAUAUUUUUUUCUUCAUUUUUCAUUUUUUUUUUUGGUCUAACCAACUCCAAAAGGUUGGAAAAGAGUUCCUACAAAGGUUUUGGACAGUGAUUUUAACCCUAACGCCAAAAAACCUUAAACCUUACCCUAGCCUCAAAAUCUAAUACCCGGGUAUUACAUUCAGGAACCCCGAAAACCCCAAAUAUUGUUUUUUAAUUUUUCAUUUUUUUUUGGUCUAACUAACUCCAAAAGGUUGGAAAAGAGUUCCUACAAAGGUUUUGGACAGUGAUUUUAACCCUAACGCCAAAAAACUUAAACCUUACCAUAGCCCCAUAACCUAAUACCUGGGUAUUACUUUUAGGAAGCCUGAACACCCCAAAUAUUUUUUUUUCAUUUUUCUUUUUUUUUUGGUCUAACCAACUCCAAAAGGUUGGAAAAGAGUUCCUACAAAGGUUUUGGACAGUGAUUUUAACCCUAACGCCAAAAAACUUAAACCUUACCCUGGCCUUAAAAUCUAAUACCUGGGUAUUACUUUCAGGAAGCCCGAACACCCCAAAUAUUUUUUUUUUUUCAUUUUUCUUUUUUUUUUUGGUCUAACUAACUCCAAAAGGUUGGAAAAGAGUUCCUACAAAGGUUUUGGACAGUGAUUUUAACCCUAAUGCCAAAAAACUUAAACCUUACCCUAGCCUUAAAAUCUAAUACCCGGGUAUUACAUUCAGGAAGAAAACCCCAAAUAUUGUUUUUUCAUUUUUCAUUUUUUUUUUGGUCUAACUAACUCCAAAAGGUUGGAAAAGAGUUCCUACAAAGGUUUUGGACAGUGAUUUUAACCCUAACGCCAAAAACCUUAAACCUUACCAUAGCCCCAUAACCUAAUACCCGGGUAUUACUUUUAGGAAGCCUGAACACCCCAAAUAUUUUUUUUUCAUUUUUUUUUUUUUUUUGGUCUAACUAACUCCAAAAGGUUGGAAAAGAGUUCCUACAAAGGUUUUGGACAGUGAUUUUAACCCUAACGCCAAAAAACUUAAACCUUACCCGAGCCUUAAAAUCUAAUACCGGGUAUUACCUUCAGGAAGCCCGAACACCCCAAAUAUUUUUUUUUCAUUUUACAUUUUUUUUGGUCUAACCAACUCCAAAAGGUUGGAAAAGAGUUCCUACAAAGGUUUUGGACAGUGAUUUUAACCCUAACGCCAAAAACCUUAAACCUUACCCUAGCCUUGAAAUCUAAUACCCGGGUAUUACCUUCAGGAAGCCUGAACACCCCAAAUAUUUUUUUUUUUUUUUCAUUUUUUUUGGUCUAACUAACUCCAAAAGGUUGGAAAAGAGUUCCUACAAAGGUUUUGGACAGUGAUUUUAACCCUAACGCCAAAAAACUUAAACCUUACCCUAGCCUUAAAAUCUAAUACCCGGGUAUUACCUUCAGGAAGCCCGAACACCCCAAAUAUUUUUUUUUCAUUUUACUUUUUUGUUGGUCUAACCAACUCCAAAAGGUUGGAAAAGAGUUCCUACAAAGGUUUUGGACAGUGAUUUUAACCCUAACGCCAAAAAACUUAAACCUUACCCUAGCCUUAAAAUCUAAUUCCCGGGUAUUACCUUCAGGAAGCCCAAACACCCCAAAUAUUUUUUUUUUCAUUUUACAUUUUUGUUGGUGUAACCAACUCCAAAAGGUUGGAAAAGAGUUCCUACAAAGGUUUUGGACAGUGAUUUUAACCCUAACGCCAAAAACCUUAAACCUUUCCCUAGCCCCAAAACUUAAUACUCGGGUAUUACUUCCAGGAAGCCCGAAAACCCCAAAUAUUUUUUUUUUCAUUUUUCAUUUUUGUUGGUGUAACCAACUCCAAAAGGUUGGAAAAGAGUUCCUACAAAGGUUUUGGACAGUGAUUUUAACCCUAACGCCAAAAAACUUAAACCUUACCCUAGCCUUAAAAUCUAAUACCCGGGUAUUACAUUCAGGAAGCCCGAAAACCCCAAAUAUAUAUUUUUUCAUUUUUCAUUUUUUUUUGGUCUAACUAACUCCAAAAGGUUGGAAAAGAGUUCCUACAAAGGUUUUGGACAGUGAUUUUAACCCUAACGCCAAAAAACUUAAACCUUACCCUAGCCUUAAAAUCUAAUACCCAGGUUACAUUCAGGAAGCCCGAAAACCCCAAAUAUUUUUUUUUCAUUUUUCAUUUUUUUUUUGGUCUAACUAACUCCAAAAGGUUGGAAAAGAGUUCCUACAAAGGUUUUGGACAGUGAUUUUAACCCUAACGCCAAAAACCUUAAACCUUACCAUAGCCCCAUAACCUAAUACCCAGGUAUUACUUUUAGGAAGCCUGAACACCCCAAAUAUUUUUUUUUCAUUUUUCAUUUUUUUUUGGUCUAACUAACUCCAAAAGGUUGGAAAAGAGUUCCUACAAAGGUUUUGGACAGUGAUUUUAACCCUAACGCCAAAAAACUUAAACCUUACCCUAGCCUUAAAAUCUAAUACCCGGGUAUUACCUUCAGGAAGCCCGAACACCCCAAAUAUUUUUUUUUUCAUUUUACAUUUUUUUUGGUCUAACCAACUCCAAAAGGUUGGAAAAGAGUUCCUACAAAGGUUUUGGACAGUGAUUUUAACCCUAACGCCAAAAACCUUAAACCUUACCCUAGCCUUGAAAUCUAAUACCCGGGUAUUACCUUCAGGAAGCCUGAACACCCCAAAUAUUUUUUUUUCUUUUUUCAUAUUUUUUGGUCUAACUAACUCCAAAAGGUUGGAAAAGAGUUCCUACAAAGGUUUUGGACAGUGAUUUUAACCCUAACGCCAAAAAACCUUAAACCUUACCCUAGCCCCAAAAUCUAAUACCCGGGUAUUACCUUCAGGAAGCCGAAACACCCCAAAUAUUUUUUUGUUCAUUUUUCUUUUUUUUUUGGUCUAACUAACUCCAAAAGGUUGGAAAAGAGUUCCUACAAAGGUUUUGGACAGUGAUUUUAACCCUAACGCCAAAAAACUUAAACCUUACCCUAGCCUUAAAAUCUAAUACCCGGGUAUUACCUUCAGGAAGCCCAAACACCCCAAAUAUUUUUUUUUCAUUUUACUUUUUUGUUGUUGUAACCAACUCCAAAAGGUUGGAAAAGAGUUCCUACAAAGGUUUUGGACAGUGAUUUUAACCCUAACGCCAAAAACCUUAAACCUUACCCUAGUCCCAAAACCUAAUACCCGGGUAUUACUUUCAGGGAGCCCGAAAACCCCCAAUAAUUUUUUUUUCUUUUUUCAUUUUUGUUGGUGUAACCAACUCCAAAAGGUUGGAAAAGAGUUCCUACAAAGGUUUUGGACAGUGAUUUUAACCCUAACGCCAAAAAACUUAAACCUUACCCUAGCCUUAAAAUCUAAUACCCGGGUAUUACAUUCAGGAAGCCCGAAAACCCCAAAUAUAUAUUUUUUCAUUUUUCAUUUUUUUUUGGUUUAACUAACUCCAAAAGGUUGGAAAAGAGUUCCUACAAAGGUUUUGGACAGUGAUUUUAACCCUAACGCCAAAAAACUUAAACCUUACCCUAGCCUUAAAAUCUAAUACCCGGGUAUUACAUUCAGGAAGCCCGAAAACCCCAAAUAUAUAUUUUUUCAUUUUUCAUUUUUUUUUGGUUAACUAACUCCAAAAGGUUGGAAAGAGUUCCUACAAAGGUUUUGGACAGUGAUUUUAACCCUAACGCCAAAAAACUUAAACCUUACCCUAGCCUUAAAAUCUAAUACCCGGGUAUUACAUUCAGGAAGCCCGAAAACCCCAAAUAUUUUUUUUCAUUUUUCUUUUUUUUUGGUCUAACUAACUCCAAAAGGUUGGAAAAGAGUUCCUACAAAGGUUUUGGACAGUGAUUUUAACCCUAACGCCAAAAACCUUAAACCUUACCCAGCCCCAAAACCUAAUACCCGGGUAUUACCUUCAGGAAGCCCGAACACCCCAAAUAUUUGUUUUUCAUUUUCAUUUUUGUUGGUGUAACCAACUCCAAAAGGUUGGAAAAGAGUUCCUACAAAGGUUUUGGACAGUGAUUUUAACCCUAAUGCCAAAAAACUUAAACCUUACCCUAGCCUCAAAAUCUAAUACCCGGGUAUUACCUUCAGGAAGCCUGAACACCCAAAAUAUUUUAUUCUUCAUCUUACAUUUUUGUUGGUGUAACCAACUCCAAAAGGUUGGAAAAGAGUUCCUACAAAGGUUUUGGACAGUGAUUUUAACCCUAACGCCAAAAAACUUAAACCUUACCCUAGCCUCAAAAUCUAAUACCCGGGUAUUACAUUCAGGAAGCCUGAACACCCCAAAUAUUUUUUUUUCAUUUUUCAUUUUUUUUGGUCUAACUAACUCCAAAAGGUUGGAAAAGAGUUCCUACAAAGGUUUUGGACAGUGAUUUUAACCCUAACGCCAAAAACCUUAAACCUUACCAUGGCCCCAUAACCUAAUACCCGGGUAUUACUUUUAGGAAGCCUGAACACCCCAAAUAUAUUUUUUUUUCAUUUUAAGUUUUUUUUUUUGGUGUAACUAACUCCAAAAGGUUGGAAAAGAGUUCCUACAAAGGUUUUGGACAGUGAUUUUAACCCUAACGCCAAAAAACUUAAACCUUACCCUAGCCUUAAAAUCUAAUACCCGGGUAUUACAUUCAGGAAGCCAGAACACCCCAAAUAUUUUUUUCUUCAUUUUACAUUUUUGUUGGUGUAACCAACUCCAAAAGGUUGGAAAAGAGUUCCUACAAAGGUUUUGGACAGUGAUUUUAACCCUAAUGCCAAAAAACUUAAACCUUACCCUAGCCUCAAAAUCUAAUACCCGGGUAUUACAUUCAGGAACCCCGAAAACCCCAAAUAUUGUUUUUUAAUUUUUCAUUUUUUUUUGGUCUAACUAACUCCAAAAGGUUGGAAAAGAGUUCCUACAAAGGUUUUGGACAGUGAUUUUAACCCUAACGCCAAAAACCUUAAACCUUACCCUAGCCCCAUAACCUAAUUCCCGGGUAUUACCUUCAGGAAGCCCGAACACCCCAAAUAUUUGUUUUUCAUUUUACAUUUUUGUUGGUGUAACCAACUCCAAAAGGUUGGAAAAGAGUUCCUACAAAGGUUUUGGACAGUGAUUUUAACCCUAACCCCUAAAAAUUUAAACCUUACCCUGGCAUUAAAAUCUAAUACCCGGGUAUUACAUUAAGGAAGCCUGAACACCCCAAAUAUUUUUUUUUUCAUUUUUCUUUUUUUUUGGUCUAACUAACUCCAAAAGGUUGGAAAAGAGUUCCUACAAAGGUUUUGGACAGUGAUUUUAACCCUAACGCCAAAAACCUUAAACCUUUCCCUAGUCCCAAAACCUAAUACCCGGGUAUUACUUUCAGGGAGCCCGAAAACCCCCAAUAAUAUUUUUUUCUUUUUUCAUAUUUUUUGGUCUAACUAACUCCAAAAGGUUGGAAAAGAGUUCCUACAAAGGUUUUGGACAGUGAUUUUAACCCUAACGCCAAAAACCUUAAACCUUACCCUAGCCUUAAAAUCUACCUUCGGGCUACCUUCAGGAAGCCCGAACACCCCAAAUAUUUUUUUCUUCAUUUUACAUUUUUGUUGGUGUAACCAACUCCAAAAGGUUGGAAAAGAGUUCCUACAAAGGUUUUGGACAGUGAUAUUAACCUUAACGCCAAAAACCUUAAAACUUACCAUAGCCCCAUAACCUAAUUCCCAGGUAUUACCUUCAGGAAGCCCGAACACCCCAAAUAUUUUUUUUUCAUUUUUCAUUCUUUUUUGGUCUAAUCAACUCCAAAAGGUUGGAAAAGAGUUCCUACAAAGGUUUAUGACAGUGAUUUUAACCCUAACGCCAAAAACCUUAAACCUUACCAUAGCCCCAUAACCUAAUACCUGGAUAUUACUUUUAGGAAGCCUGAACACCCCAAAUAUUUUUUUUUCAUUUUUCUUUUUUUUUUGUCAAACUAACUCCAAAAGGUUGGAAAUGUUCCUACAAAGGUUUUGGACAGUGAUUUUAACCCUAACGCCAAAAACCUUAAAACUUACCCUAGCCCCAUAACCUAAUACCCGGGUAUUACAUUCAGGAAGCCCGAAAACCCCAAAUAUAUAUUUUUUCAUUUUUCUUUUUUUUUCGGUCAAACUAACUCCAAAAGGUUGGAAAAGAGUUCCUACAAAGGUUUUGGACAGUGAUUUUAACCCUAACGCCAAAAACCUUAAACCUUUCCCCAGUCCCAAAACCUAAUACCCGGGUAUUACCUUCAGGAAGCCCGAACACCCCAAAUAUUUGUUUUUCAUUUUACAUUUUUGUUGGUGUAACCAACUCCAAAAGGUUGGAAAAGAGUUCCUACAAAGGUUUUGGACAGUGAUUUUAACCCUAAUGCCAAAAAACUUAAACCUUACCCUAGCCUUGAAAUCUAAUACCCGGGUAUUACCUUCAGGAAGCCUGAACACCCCAAAUAUUUUUUUCUUUUUUCAUAUUUUUUGGUCUAACUAACUCCAAAAGGUUGGAAAAGAGUUCCUACAAAGGUUUUGGACAGUGAUUUUAACCCUAACGCCAAAAACCUUAAACCUUACCCUAGCCUUGAAAUCUAAUACCCGGGUAUUACCUUCAGGAAGCCUGAACACCCAAAAUAUUUUUUUCUUCAUCUUACAUUUUUGUUGGUGUAACCAACUCCAAAAGGUUGGAAAAGAGUUCCUACAAAGGUUUUGGACAGUGAUUUUAACCCUAAUGCCAAAAAACUUAAACCUUACCCUAGCCUCAAAAUCUAAUACCCGGGUAUUACAUUCAGGAACCCCGAAAACCCCAAAUAUUUUUUUUUAAUUUUUCAUUUUUUUUGGUCUAACUAACUCCAAAAGGUUGGAAAAGAGUUCCUACAAAGGUUUUGGACAGUGAUUUUAACCCUAACGCCAAAAAACUUAAACCUUACCAUAGCUCCAUAACCUAAUACCCUGGGUAUUACUUUUAGGAAGCCUGAACACCCCAAAUAUUUUUUUUUUUUCAUUUUUUUGGUCUAACUAACUCCAAAAGGUUGGAAAAGUGUUCCUACAAAGGUUUUGGACAGUGAUUUUAACCCUAACGCCAAAAAACUUAAACCUUACCAUAGCCCCAUAACCUAAUACCUGGGUAUUACUUUUAGGAAGCCUGAACACCCCAAAUAUUUUUUUUUCAUUUUUCUUUUUUUUUUGGUCUAACCAACUCCAAAAGGUUGGAAAAGUGUUCCUACAAAGGUUUUGGACAGUGAUUUUAACCCUAACGCCAAAAACCUUAAACCUUACACUAGCCUUAAAAUCUAAUACCUGGGUAUUACUUUCAGGAAGCCCGAACACCCCAAAUAUUUUUUUUUUCAUUUUACAUUUUUUUUGGUGUAACCAACUCCAAAAGGUUGGAAAAGAGUUCCUACAAAGGUUUUGGACAGUGAUUUUAACCCUAAUGUCAAAAACCUUAAACCUUACCCUAGCCUUAAAAUCUAAUACCCGGGUAUUACAUUCAGGAACCCCGAAAACCCCAAAUAUUGUUUUUUCUUUUUUCAUUUUUUUUUGGUCUAACUAACUCCAAAAGGUUGGAAAAGAGUUCCUACAAAGGUUUUGGACAGUGAUUUUAACCCUAACGCCAAAAACCUUAAACCUUACCCUAGCCUUAAAAUCUACCUUCGGGCUACCUUCAGGAAGCCCGAACACCCCAAAUAUUUUUUUCUUCAUUUUACAUUUUUGUUGGUGUAACCAACUCCAAAAGGUUGGAAAAGAGUUCCUACAAAGGUUUUGGACAGUGAUUUUAACCCUAACGCCAAAAACCUUAAACCUUACCCUAGCCUUGAAAUCUAAUACCCGGGUAUUACCUUCAGGAAGCCUGAACACCCCAAAUAUUUUUUUCUUUUUUCAUAUUUUUUGGUCUAACUAACUCCAAAAGGUUGGAAAAGAGUUCCUACAAAGGUUUUGGACAGUGAUUUUAACCCUUACGCCAAAAACCUUAAACCUUUCCCCAGUCCCAAAACCUAAUACCCGGGUAUUACCUUCAGGAAGCCCGAACACCCCAAAUAUUUGUUUUUCAUUUUACAUUUUUGUUGGUGUAACCAACUCCAAAAGGUUGGAAAAGAGUUCCUACAAAGGUUUUGGACAGUGAUUUUAACCCUAACGCCAAAAACCUUAAACCUUUCCCCAGUCCCAAAACCUAAUACCCGGGUAUUACCUUCAGGAAGCCCGAACACCCCAAAUAUUUGUUUUUCAUUUUACAUUUUUUUUGGUGUAACCAACUCCAAAAGGUUGGAAAAGAGUUCCUACAAAGGUUUUGGACAGUGAUUUUAACCCUAAUGCCAAAAACCUUAAACCUUACCCUAGCCUUAAAAUCUAAUACCCGGGUAUUACAUUCAGGAACCCCGAAAACCCCAAAUAUUGUUUUUUCUUUUUUCAUUUUUUUUUGGUCUAACUAACUCCAAAAGGUUGGAAAAGUGUUCCUACAAAGGUUUUGGACAGUGAUUUUAACCCUAACGCCAAAAACCUUAAACCUUACCCUAGCCUUAAAAUCUACCUUCGGGCUACCUUCAGGAAGCCCGAACACCCCAAAUAUUUUUUUCUUCAUUUUACAUUUUUGUUGGUGUAACCAACUCCAAAAGGUUGGAAAAGAGUUCCUACAAAGGUUUUGGACAGUGAUUUUAACCCUAACGCCAAAAACCUUAAACCUUACCCUAGCCUUGAAAUCUAAUACCCGGGUAUUACCUUCAGGAAGCCUGAACACCCCAAAUAUUUUUUCUUUUUUCAUAUUUUUUGGUCUAACUAACUCCAAAAGGUUGGAAAAGAGUUCCUACAAAGGUUUUGGACAGUGAUUUUAACCCUAACGCCAAAAACCUUAAACCUUUCCCCAGUCCCAAAACCUAAUACCCGGGUAUUACCUUCAGGAAGCCCGAACACCCCAAAUAUUUGUUUUUCAUUUUACAUUUUUGUUGUUGUAACCAACUCCAAAAGGUUGGAAAAGAGUUCCUACAAAGGUUUUGGACAGUGAUUUUAACCCUAACGCCAAAAACCUUAAACCUUUCCCCAGUCCCAAAACCUAAUACCCGGGUAUUACCUUCAGGAAGCCCGAACACCCCAAAUAUUUGUUUUUCAUUUUACAUUUUUGUUGGUGUAACCAACUCCAAAAGGUUGGAAAAGAGUUCCUACAAAGGUUUUGGACAGUGAUUUUAACCCUAAUGCCAAAAAACUUAAACCUUACCCUAGCCUUGAAAUCUAAUACCCGGGUAUUACCUUCAGGAAGCCUGAACACCCAAAAUAUUUUUUUCUUCAUCUUACAUUUUUGUUGGUGUAACCAACUCCAAAAGGUUGGAAAAGAGUUCCUACAAAGGUUUUGGACAGUGAUUUUAACCCUAAUGCCAAAAAACUUAAACCUUACCCUAGCCUCAAAAUCUAAUACCCGGGUAUUACAUUCAGGAACCCCGAAAACCCCAAAUAUUGUUUUUUAAUUUUUCAUUUUUUUUUGGUCUAACUAACUCCAAAAGGUUGGAAAAGAGUUCCUACAAAGGUUUUGGACAGUGAUUUUAACCCUAACGCCAAAAAACUUAAACCUUACCAUAGCCCCAUAACCUAAUACCUGGGUAUUACUUUUAGGAAGCCUGAACACCCCAAAUAUUUUUUUUUCAUUUUUCUUUUUUUUUUGGUCUAACCAACUCCAAAAGGUUGGAAAAGUGUUCCUACAAAGGUUUUGGACAGUGAUUUUAACCCUAACGCCAAAAAACUUAAACCUUACCCUGGCCUUAAAAUCUAAUACCUGGGUAUUACUUUCAGGAAGCCCGAACACCCCAAAUAUUUUUUUUUUUCAUUUUACAUUUUUUUUGGUGUAACCAACUCCAAAAGGUUGGAAAAGAGUUCCUACAAAGGUUUUGGACAGUGAUUUUAACCCUAAUGCCAAAAAACUUAAACCUUACCCUAGCCUUAAAAUCUAAUACCCGGGUAUUACAUUCAGGAACCCCGAAAACCCCAAAUAUUGUUUUUUCAUUUUUCAUUUUUUUUUUGGUCUAACUAACUCCAAAAGGUUGGAAAAGAGUUCCUACAAAGGUUUUGGACAGUGAUUUUAACCCUAACGCCAAAAACCUUAAACCUUACCAUAGCCCCAUAACCUAAUACCCAGGUAUUACUUUUAGGAAGCCUGAACACCCCAAAUAUUUUUUUUUCAUUUUUCUUUUUUUUUGGUCUAACUAACUCCAAAAGGUUGGUAAAGAGUUCCUACAAAGGUUUUGGACAGUGAUUUUAACCCUAACGCCAAAAAACUUAACCCUUACCCGAGCCUUAAAAUCUAAUACAUUACCUUCAGGAAGCCCGAACACCCCAAAUAUUUUUUUUUUCAUUUUACAUUUUUUUUGGUGGAACCAACUCCAAAAGGUUGGAAAAGAGUUCCUACAAAGGUUUUGGACAGUGAUUUUAACCCUAACGCCAAAAACCUUAAACCUUACCCUAGCCUUGAAAUCUAAUACCCGGGUAUUACCUUCAGGAAGCCUGAACACCCCAAAUUUUUUUUUCUUUUUUCAUAUUUUUUGGUCUAACUAACUCCAAAAGGUUGGAAAAGAGUUCCUACAAAGGUUUUGGGACAGUGAUUGUAACCCUAACGCCAAAAAACUUAAACCUUACCCUAGCCUUAAAAUCUAAUACCCGGGUAUUACCUUCAGGAAGCCCAAACACCCCAAAUAUUUUUUUUUCAUUUUACUUUUUUGUUGUUGUAACCAACUCCAAAUGGUUGGAAAAGAGUUCCUACAAAGGUUUUGGACAGUGAUUGUAACCCUAACGCCAAAAAACUUAAACCUUACCCUAGCCUUAAAAUCUAAUACCCGGGUAUUACCUUCAGGAAGCCCAAACACCCCAAAUAUUUUUUUUUCAUUUUACUUUUUUGUUGUUGUAACCAACUCCAAAAGGUUGGAAAAGAGUUCCUACAAAGGUUUUGGACAGUGAUUUUAACCCUAACGCCAAAAACCUUAAACCUUUCCCUAGUCCCAAAACCUAAUACCCGGGUAUUACUUUCAGGGAGCCCGAAAACCCCCAAUAAUUUUUUUUUCUUUUUUCAUUUUUGUUGGUGUAACCAACUCCAAAAGGUUGGAAAAGAGUUCCUACAAAGGUUUUGGACAGUGAUUUUAACCCUAACGCCAAAAAACUUAAACCUUACCCUAGCCUUAAAAUCUAAUACCCGGGUAUUACAUUCAGGAAGCCCGAAAACCCCAAAUAUAUAUUUUUUCAUUUUUCAUUUUUUUUUUGGUUUAACUAACUCCAAAAGGUUGGAAAAGAGUUCCUACAAAGGUUUUGGACAGUGAUUUUAACCCUAACGCCAAAAAACUUAAACCUUACCCUAGCCUUAAAAUCUAAUACCCGGGUAUUACAUUCAGGAAGCCCGAAAACCCCAAAUAUAUAUUUUUUCAUUUUUCAUUUUUUUUUGGUUUAUCUAAUUCCAAAAGGUUGGAAGAGUGUUCCUACAAAGGUUUUGGACAGGGAUUUUAACCCUAACGCCAAAAAACUUAAACCUUACUCUAGCCUUAAAAUCUAAUACCCGGGUAUUACAUUCAUGAAGCCCGAAAACCCCAAAUAUAUAUUUUUUCAUUUUUCUUUUUUUUUUGGUCAAACUAACUCCAAAAGGUUGGAAAAGAGUUCCUACAAAGGUUUUGGACAGUGAUUUUAACCCUAACGCCAAAAACCUUAAACCUUUCCCCAGUCCCAAAACCUAAUACCCGGGUAUUACCUUCAGGAAGCCGGAACACCCCAAAUAUUUGUUUUUCAUUUUACAUUUUUGUUGGUGUAACCAACUCCAAAAGGUUGGAAAAGAGUUCCUACAAAGGUUUUGGACAGUGAUUUUAACCCUAAUGCCAAAAAACUUAAACCUUACCCUAGCCUCAAAAUCUAAUACCCGAGUAUUACCUUCAGGAAGCCUGAACACCCAAAAUAUUUUUUUCUUCAUCUUACAUUUUUGUUGGUGUAACCAACUCCAAAAGGUUGGAAAAGAGUUCCUACAAAGGUUUUGGACAGUGAUUUUAACCCUAAUGCCAAAAAACUUAAACCUUACCCUAGCCUCAAAAUCUAAUACCCGGGUAUUACAUUAAGGAAGCCUGAACACCCCAAAUAUUUUUUUUUCAUUUUUCAUUUUUUUUGGUCUAACUAAGUCCAAAAGGUUGGAAAAGAGUUCCUACAAAGGUUUUGGACAGUGAUUUUAACCCUAACGCCAAAAACCUUAAACCUUACCAUGGCCCCAUAACCUAAUACCCGGGUAUUACUUUUAGGAAGCCUGAACACCCCAAAUAUAUAUUUUUUUCAUUUUAAGUUUUUGUUGGUGUAACCAACUCCAAAAGGUUGGAAAAGAGUUCCUACAAAGGUUUUGGACAGUGAUUGUAACCCUAACGCCAAAAAACUUAAACCUUACCCUAGCCUUAAAAUCUAAUACCCGGGUAUUACCUUCAGGAAGCCCAAACACCCCAAAUAUUUUUUUCAUUUUACUUUUUUGUUGUUGUAACCAACUCCAAAAGGUUGGAAAAGAGUUCCUACAAAGGUUUUGGACAGUGAUUUUAACCCUAACGCCAAAAACCUUAAACCUUUCCCUAGUCCCAAAACCUAAUACCCGGGUAUUACUUUCAGGGAGCCCGAAAACCCCCAAUAAUUUUUUUUUCUUUUUUCAUUUUUUUUGGUGUAACCAACUCCAAAAGGUUGGAAAAGAGUUCCUACAAAGGUUUUGGACAGUGAUUUUAACCCUAACGCCAAAAAACUUAAACCUUACCCUAGCCUUAAAAUCUAAUACCGGGGUAUUACCUUCAGGAAGCCCGAACACCCCAAAUAUUUUUUUGUUCAUUUUACAUUUUUGUUGGUGUAACCAACUCCAAAAGGUUGGAAAAGAGUUCCUACAAAGGUUUUGGACAGUGAUUUUAACCCUAACGCCAAAAAACUUAAACCUUACCCUAGCCUUAAAAUCUAAUACCCGGGUAUUACAUUCAGGAAGCCCGAAAACCCCAAAUAUAUAUUUUUUCAUUUUUCAUUUUUUUUUUGGUUUAUCUAAUUCCAAAAGGUUGGAAAAGUGUUCCUACAAAGGUUUUGGACAGGGAUUUUAACCCUAACGCCAAAAAACUUAAACCUUACCCUAGCCUUAAAAUCUAAUACCCGGGUAUUACAUUCAGGAAGCCCGAAAACCCCAAAUAUAUAUUUUUUCAUUUUUCUUUUUUUUUCGGUCAAACUAACUCCAAAAGGUUGGAAAAGAGUUCCUACAAAGGUUUUGGACAGUGAUUUUAACCCUAACGCCAAAAACCUUAAACCUUUCCCCAGUCCCAAAACCUAAUACCCGGGUAUUACCUUCAGGAAGCCGGAACACCCCAAAUAUUUGUUUUUCAUUUUACAUUUUUGUUGGUGUAACCAACUCCAAAAGGUUGGAAAAGAGUUCCUACAAAGGUUUUGGACAGUGAUUUUAACCCUAAUGCCAAAAAACUUAAACCUUACCCUAGCCUCAAAAUCUAAUACCCGGGUAUUACAUUCAGGAACCCCGAAAUCCCCAAAUAUUGUUUUUUAAUUUUUCAUUUUUUUUUGUCUAACUAACUCCAAAAGGUUGGAAAAGAGUUCCUACAAAGGUUUUGGACAGUGAUUUUAACCCUAACGCCAAAAAACUUAAACCUUACCAUAGCCCCAUAACCUAAUACCUGGGUAUUACUUUUAGGAAGCCUGAACACCCCAAAUAUUUUUUUUUCAUUUUUCUUUUUUUUUUGGUCUAACCAACUCCAAAAGGUUGGAAAAGUGUUCCUACAAAGGUUUUGGACAGUGAUUUUAACCCUAACGCCAAAAAACUUAAACCUUACCCUGGCCUUAAAAUCUAAUACCUGGGUAUUACUUUCAGGAAGCCCGAACACCCCAAAUAUUUUUUUUUUUCAUUUUACAUUUUUUUUGGUGUAACCAACUCCAAAAGGUUGGAAAAGAGUUCCUACAAAGGUUUUGGACAGUGAUUUUAACCCUAAUGCCAAAAAACUUAAACCUUACCCUAGCCUUAAAAUCUAAUACCUGGGUAUUACAUUCAGGAACCCCGAAAACCCCAAAUAUUGUUUUUUCAUUUUUCAUUUUUUUUUGGUCUAACUAACUCCAAAAGGUUGGAAAAGAGUUCCUACAAAGGUUUUGGACAGUGAUUUUAACCCUAACGCCAAAAACCUUAAACCUUACCAUAGCCCCAUAACCUAAUACCCAGGUAUUACUUUUAGGAAGCCUGAACACCCCAAAUAUUUUUUUUUUCAUUUUACAUUUUUUUUUGGUGUAACCAACUCCAAAAGGUUGGAAAAGAGUUCCUACAAAGGUUUUGGACAGUGAUUUUAACCCUAACGCCAAAAACCUUAAACCUUACCCUAGCCUUGAAAUCUAAUACCCGGGUAUUACCUUCAGGAAGCCUGAACACCCCAAAUAUUUUUUUCUUUUUUCAUAUUUUUUGGUCUAACUAACUCCAAAAGGUUGGAAAAGAGUUCCUACAAAGGUUUUGGACAGUGAUUUUAACCCUAACGCCAAAAACCUUAAACCUUUCCCCAGUCCCAAAACCUAAUACCCGGGUAUUACCUUCAGGAAGCCCGAACACCCCAAAUAUUUGUUUUUCAUUUUACAUUUUUGUUGUUGUAACCAACUCCAAAAGGUUGGAAAAGAGUUCCUACAAAGGUUUUGGACAGUGAUUUUAACCCUAACGCCAAAAACCUUAAACCUUACCCUAGUCCCAAAACCUAAUACCCGGGUAUUACCUUCAGGAAGCCCGAACACCCCAAAUAUAUUUUUUUUCAUUUUACAUUUUUGUUGGUGUAACCAACUCCAAAAGGUUGGAAAAGAGUUCCUACAAAGGUUUUGGACAGUGAUUUUAACCCUAACGCCAAAAAACCUUAAACCUUACCCUAGCCUUGAAAUCUAAUACCCGGGUAUUACCUUCAGGAAGCCUGAACACCCAAAAUAUUUUUUUCUUCAUCUUACAUUUUUGUUGGUCUAACUAACUCCAAAAGGUUGGAAAAGAGUUCCUACAAAGGUUUUGGACAGUGAUUUUAACCCUAAUGCCAAAAAACUUAAACCUUACCCUAGCCUCAAAAUCUAAUACCCGGGUAUUACAUUCAGGAACCCCGAAAACCCCAAAUAUUGUUUUUUAAUUUUUCAUUUUUUUUUGGUCUAACUAACUCCAAAAGGUUGGAAAAGAGUUCCUACAAAGGUUUUGGACAGUGAUUUUAACCCUAACGCCAAAAAACUUAAACCUUACCAUAGCCCCAUAACCUAAUACCUGGGUAUUACUUUUAGGAAGCCUGAACACCCCAAAUAUUUUUUUUUCAUUUUUCUUUUUUUUUUGGUCUAACCAACUCCAAAAGGUUGGAAAAGUGUUCCUACAAAGGUUUUGGACAGUGAUUUUAACCCUAACGCCAAAAAACUUAAACCUUACCCUGGCCUUAAAAUAAUACCUGGGUAUUACUUUCAGGAAGCCCGAACACCCCAAAUAUUUUUUUUUCAUUUUACAUUUUUUUUGGUGUAACCAACUCCAAAAGGUUGGAAAAGAGUUCCUACAAAGGUUUUGGACAGUGAUUUUAACCCUAAUGCCAAAAAACUUAAACCUUACCCUAGCCUUAAAAUCUAAUACCCGGGUAUUACAUUCAGGAACCCCGAAAACCCCAAAUAUUGUUUUUUCAUUUUUCAUUUUUUUUUGGUCUAACUAACUCCAAAAGGUUGGAAAAGAGUUCCUACAAAGGUUUUGGACAGUGAUUUUAACCCUAACGCCAAAAACCUUAAACCUUACCAUAGCCCCAUAACCUAAUACCCAGGUAUUACUUUUAGGAAGCCUGAACACCCCAAAUAUUUUUUUUUCAUUUUUCUUUUUUUUUUUGGUCUAACUAACUCCAAAAGGUUGGAAAAGAGUUCCUACAAAGGUUUUGGACAGUGAUUUUAACCCUAACGCCAAAAACUUAAACCUUACCAUAGCCCCAAAACCUAAUACCCGGGUAUUACUUUCAGGAAGCCCGAACACCCCAAAUAUUUUUUUUUCAUUUUACAUUUUUUUUGGUGUAACCAACUCCAAAAGGUUGGAAAAGAGUUCCUACAAAGGUUUUGGACAGUGAUUUUAACCCUAACGCCAAAAACCUUAAACCUUACCCUAGCCUUGAAAUCUAAUACCCGGGUAUUACCUUCAGGAAGCCUGAACACCCCAAAUAUUUUUUUCUUUUUUCAUAUUUUUUGGUCUAACUAACUCCAAAAGGUUGGAAAAGAGUUCCUACAAAGGUUUUGGACAGUGAUUUUAACCCUAACGCCAAAAAACUUAAACCUUACCCUAGCCUUAAAAUCUAAUACCCGGGUAUUACCUUCAGGAAGCCCAAACACCCCAAAUAUUUUUUUUUCAUUUUACUUUUUUGUUGUUGUAACCAACUCCAAAAGGUUGGAAAAGAGUUCCUACAAAGGUUUUGGACAGUGAUUUUAACCCUAACGCCAAAAAACUUAAACCUUACCCUAGCCCCAAAAUCUAAUACCCGGGUAUUACCUUCAGGAAGCCUGAACACCCCAAAUAUUUUUUUUUCAUUUUACUUUUUUUUGGUCUAACCAACUCCAAAAGGUUGGAAAAGAGUUCCUACAAAGGUUUUGGACAGUGAUUUUAACCCUAACGCCAAAAACCUUAAACCUUACCCAGUCCCAAAACCUAAUACCCGGGUAUUACUUUCAGGGAGCCCGAAAACCCCCAAUAAUUUUUUUUUCUUUUUUCAUUUUUGUUGGUGUAACCAACUCCAAAAGGUUGGAAAAGAGUUCCUACAAAGGUUUUGGACAGUGAUUUUAACCCUAACGCCAAAAAACUUAAACCUUACCCUAGCCUUAAAAUCUAAUACCCGGGUAUUACAUUCAGGAAGCCCGAAAACCCCAAAUAUAUAUUUUUUCAUUUUUCAUUUUUUUUUUGGUUUAACUAACUCCAAAAGGUUGGAAAAGAGUUCCUACAAAGGUUUUGGACAGUGAUUUUAACCCUAACGCCAAAAAACCUUAAACCUUACCCUAGCCCCAAAAUCUAAUACCCGGGUAUUACAUUCAGGAAGCCCGAACACCCCAAAUAUUUUUUUUCAUUUUUCAUUUUUUUUUGGUCUAACUAACUCCAAAAGGUUGGAAAAGAGUUCCUACAAAGGUUUUGGACAGUGAUUUUAACCCUAACGCCAAAAAACUUAAACCUUACUCUAGCCUUAAAAUCUAAUACCCGGGUAUUACAUUCAUGAAGCCCGAAAACCCCAAAUAUAUAUUUUUUCAUUUUUCUUUUUUUUUUGGUCAAACUAACUCCAAAAGGUUGGAAAAGAGUUCCUACAAAGGUUUUGGACAGUGAUUUUAACCCUAACGCCAAAAACCUUAAACCUUACCCCAGACCCAAAACCUAAUACCCGGGUAUUACCUUCAGGAAGCCGGAACACCCCAAAUAUUUGUUUUUCAUUUUACAUUUUUGUUGGUGUAACUAACUCCAAAAGGUUGGAAAAGAGUUCCUACAAAGGUUUUGGACAGUGAUUUUAACCCUAAUGCCAAAAAACUUAAACCUUACCCUAGCCUCAAAAUCUAAUACCCGGGUAUUACCUUCAGGAAGCCUGAACACCCAAAAUAUUUUUUCUUCAUCUUACAUUUUUGUUGGUGUAACCAACUCCAAAAGGUUGGAAAAGAGUUCCUACAAAGGUUUUGGACAGUGAUUUUAACCCUAAUGCCAAAAAACUUAAACCUUACCCUAGCCUCAAAAUCUAAUACCCGGGUAUUACAUUAAGGAAGCCUGAACACCCCAAAUAUUUUUUUUUCAUUUUUCAUUUUUUUUGGUCUAACUAACUCCAAAAGGUUGGAAAAGAGUUCCUACAAAGGUUUUGGACAGUGAUUUUAACCCUAACGCCAAAAACCUUAAACCUUACCAUGGCCCCAUAACCUAAUACCCGGGUAUUACUUUUAGGAAGCCUGAACACCCCAAAUAUAUAUUUUUUUCAUUUUAAAUUUUUGUUGGUGUAACCAACUCCAAAAGGUUGGAAAAGAGUUCCUACAAAGGUUUUGGACAGUGAUUGUAACCCUAACGCCAAAAAACUUAAACCUUACCCUAGCCUUAAAAUCUAAUACCCGGGUAUUACCUUCAGGAAGCCCAAACACCCCAAAUAUUUUUUUUUCAUUUUACUUUUUUGUUGUUGUAACCAACUCCAAAAGGUUGGAAAAGAGUUCCUACAAAGGUUUUGGACAGUGAUUUUAACCCUAACGCCAAAAACCUUAAACCUUUCCCUAGUCCCAAAACCUAAUACCCGGGAAUUACUUUCAUGGAGCCCGAAAACCCCCAAUAAUUUUUUUUUCUUUUUUCAUUUUUUUUGGUGUAACCAACUCCAAAAGGUUGGAAAAGAGUUCCUACAAAGGUUUUGGACAGUGAUUUUAACCCUAACGCCAAAAAACUUAAACCUUACCCUAGCCUUAAAAUCUAAUACCGGGGUAUUACCUUCAGGAAGCCCGAACACCCCAAAUAUUUUUUUGUUCAUUUUACAUUUUUUUUGGUGUAACCAACUCCAAAAGGUUGGAAAAGAGUUCCUACAAAGGUUUUGGACAGUGAUUUUAACCCUAACGCCAAAAAACUUAAACCUUACCCUAGCCUUAAAAUCUAAUACCCGGGUAUUACAUUCAGGAAGCCCGAAAACCCCAAAUAUAUUUUUUCAUUUUUCAUUUUUUUUUGGUUUAUCUAAUUCCAAAAGGUUGGAAAAGUGUUCCUACAAAGGUUUUGGACAGUGAUUUUAACCCUAACGCCAAAAAACUUAAACCUUACCCUAGCCUUAAAAUCUAAUACCCGGGUAUUACAUUCAGGAAGCCCGAAAACCCCAAAUAUAUAUUUUUUCAUUUUUCUUUUUUUUUCGGUCUAACUAACUCCAAAAGGUUGGAAAAGAGUUCCUACAAAGGUUUUGGACAGUGAUUUUAACCCUAACGCCAAAAACCUUAAACCUUACCCUAGCCCAAAACCUAAUACCCGGGUAUUACCUUCAGGAAGCCUGAACACCCCAAAUAUUUUUUUUUCAUUUUACAUUUUUGUUGGUGUAACCAACUCCAAAAGGUUGGAAAAGAGUUCCUACAAAGGUUUUGGACAGUGAUUUUAACCCUAACGCCAAAAAACUUAAACCUUACCCUAGCCUCAAAAUCUAAUACCCGGGUAUUACAUUCAGGAAGCCCGAAACCCCAAAUAUUUUUUUUCAUUUUUCAUUUUUUUUUGGUCUAACUAACUCCAAAAGGUUGGAAAAGAGUUCCUACAAAGGUUUUGGACAGUGAUUUUAACCCUAACGCCAAAAAAACUUAAACCUUACCAUAGCCCCAUAACCUAAUACCUGGGUAUUACUUUUAGGAAGCCUGAACACCCCAAAUAUUUUUUUUUCAUUUUUCUUUUUUUUUUGGUCUAACCAACUCCAAAAGGUUGGAAAAGUGUUCCUACAAAGGUUUUGGACAGUGAUUUUAACCCUAACGCCAAAAAACUUAAACCUUACCCUGGCCUUAAAAUCUAAUACCCGGGUAUUACUUUCAGGAAGCCCGAACACCCCAAAUAUUUUUUUUUUCAUUUUACAUUUUUUUUGGUGUAACUAACUCCAAAAGGUUGGAAAAGAGUUCCUACAAAGGUUUUGGACAGUGAUUUUAACCCUAAUGCCAAAAAACUUAAACCUUACCCUAGCCUUAAAAUCUAAUCCCUGGGUAUUACUUUCAGGGACCCUGAAAACCCCAAAUAUUGUUUUUUCAUUUUUCAUUUUUUUUUGGUCUAACUAACUCCAAAAGGUUGAAAAAGAGUUCCUACAAAGGUUUUGGACAGUGAUUUUAACCCUAACGCCAAAAACCUUAAACCUUACCAUAGCCCCAUAACCUAAUACCCGGGUAUUACUUUUAGGAAGCCUGAACACCCCAAAUAUUUGUUUUUCAUUUUACAUUUUUUUUUGGUGUAACCAACUCCAAAAGGUUGGAAAAGAGUUCCUACAAAGGUUUUGGACAGUGAUUUUAACCCUAACGCCAAAAACCUUAAACCUUACCCUAGCCUUGAAAUCUAAUACCCGGGUAUUACCUUCAGGAAGCCUGAACACCCCAAAUAUUUUUUUCUUUUUUCAUAUUUUUUGGUCUAACUAACUCCAAAAGGUUGGAAAAGAGUUCCUACAAAGGUUUUGGACAGUGAUUUUAACCCUAACGCCAAAAACCUUAAACCUUACCCUAGCCUUGAAAUCUAAUACCCGGGUAUUACCUUCAGGAAGCCUGAACACCCAAAAUAUUUUUUUCUUCAUCUUACAUUUUUUUUUUGGUCUAACCAACUCCAAAAGGUUGGAAAAGAGUUCCUACAAAGGUUUUGGACAGUGAUUUUAACCCUAACGCCAAAAACCUUAAACCUUACCCUAGCCUCAAAAUCUAAUACCCGGGUAUUACAUUCAGGAACCCCGAAAACCCCAAAUAUUGUUUUUUAAUUUUUCAUUUUUUUUUGGUCUAACUAACUCCAAAAGGUUGGAAAAGAGUUCCUACAAAGGUUUUGGACAGUGAUUUUAACCCUAACGCCAAAAACCUUAAACCUUACCCUAGCCCCAUAACCUAAUACCCGGGUAUUACCUUCAGGAAGCCCGAACACCCCAAAUAUUUUUUUUUCAUUUUCAUUUUUUUUGGUCUAACUAACUCCAAAAGGUUGGAAAAGAGUUCCUACAAAGGUUUUGGACAGUGAUUUUAACCCUAACGCCAAAAACCUUAAACCUUACCCUAGCCUUGAAAUCUAAUACCCGGGUAUUACCUUCAGGAAGCCUGAACACCCAAAAUAUUUUUUUCUUCAUCUUACAUUUUUUUUUGGUGUAACCAACUCCAAAAGGUUGGAAAAGAGUUCCUACAAAGGUUUUGGACAGUGAUUUUAACCCUAACGCCAAAAACCUUAAACCUUACCAUAGCCCCAUAACCUAAUACCCGGGUAUUACCUUCAGGAAGCCCGAACACCCCAAAUAUUUUUUUUUCAUUUUUCAUUCUUUUUUGGUCUAACUAACUCCAAAAGGUUGGAAAAGAGUUCCUACAAAGGUUUUGGACAGUGAUUUUAACCCUAACGCCAAAAACCUUAAACCUUACCAUAGCCCCAUAACCUAAUACCCUGGUAUUACUUUUAGGAAGCCUGAACACCCCAAAUAUUUUUUUUUCAUUUUUCUUUUUUUUUUGGUCUAACUAACUCCAAAAGGUUGGAAAAGAGUUCCUACAAAGGUUUUGGACAGUGAUUUUAACCCUAACGCCAAAAACCUUAAACCUUACCAUAGCCCCAUAACCUAAUACCUGGGUAUUACUUUUAGGAAGCCCGAACACCCCAAAUAUUUGUUUUUCAUUUUACAUUUUUGUUGGUGUAACCAACUCCAAAAGGUUGGAAAAGAGUUCCUACAAAGGUUUUGGACAGUGAUUUUAACCCUAACGCCAAAAAACUUAAACCUUACCCUGGCAUUAAAAUCUAAUACCCGGGUAUUACAUUAAGGAAGCCUGAACACCCCAAAUAUUUUUUUUUCAUUUUUCAUUUUUUUUGGUCUAACUAACUCCAAAAGGUUGGAAAAGAGUUCCUACAAAGGUUUUGGACAGUGAUUUUAACCCUAACGCCAAAAACCUUAAACCUUACCAUGGCCCCAUAACCUAAUACCCGGGUAUUACUUUUAGGAAGCCUGAACACCCCAAAUAUAUAUUUUUUUCAUUUUACAUUUUUUUUGGUGUAACCAACUCCAAAAGGUUGGAAAAGAGUUCCUACAAAGGUUUUGGACAGUGAUUUUAACCCUAACGCCAAAAAACUUAAACCUUACCAUAGCCUUAAAAUCUAAUACCCGGGUAUUACUUCAGGAAGCCCGAACACCCCAAAUAUUUUUUUUUCAUUUUACUUUUUUGUUGUUGUAACCAACUCCAAAAGGUUGGAAAAAAGUUCCUACAAAGGUUUUGGACAGUGAUUUUAAACCUAACGCCAAAAACCUUAAACCUUACCCUAGCCCAUAACCUAAUACCCGGGUAUUACAUUCAGGAAGCCCGAAACCCCAAAUAUUUUUUUUUUCAUUUUUCAUUCUUUUUGUUGGUGUAACUAACUCCAAAAGGUUGGAAAAGAGUUCCUACAAAGGUUUUGGACAGUGAUUUUAAACCUAAUGCCAUAAACUUUAAACCUUACCAUAGCCCCAUAACCUAAUACCCGGGUAUUACUUUUAGGAAGCCUGAACACCCCAAAUAUUUUUUUUUCAUUUUUCUUUUUUUUUUUGGUCUAACUAACUCCAAAAGGUUGGAAAAGAGUUCCUACAAAGGUUUUGGACAGUGAUAUUAACCCUAACGCCAAAAACCUUAAACCUUUCCCUAGUCCCAAAACCUAAAACCCGGGUAUUACUUUCAGGGAGCCCGAAAACCCCCAAUAAUUUUUUUUUCUUUUUUCAUUUUUUUUGGUGUAACCAACUCCAAAAGGUUGGAAAAGAGUUCCUACAAAGGUUUUGGACAGUGAUUUUAACCCUAACGCCAAAAAACUUAAACCUUACCCUAGCCUUAAAAUCUAAUACCGGGGUAUUACCUUCAGGAAGCCCGAACACCCCAAAUAUUUUUUUGUUCAUUUUACAUUUUUUUUUGGUCUAACCAACUCCAAAAGGUUGGAAAAGAGUUCCUACAAAGGUUUUGGACAGUGAUUUUAACCCUAACGCCAAAAAACUUAAACCUUACCCUAGCCUUAAAAUCUAAUACCCUGGUAUUACAUUCAGGAAGCCCGAAAACCCCAAAUAUAUAUUUUUUCAUUUUUCAUUUUUUUUUGGUUUAUCUAAUUCCAAAAGGUUGGAAAAGUGUUCCUACAAAGGUUUUGGACAGGGAUUUUAACCCUAACGCCAAAAAACUUAAACCUUACCCUAGCCUUAAAAUCUAAUACCCAGGUUACAUUCAGGAAGCCCGAAAACCCCAAAUAUUUUUUUUUCAUUUUUCUUUUUUUUUGGUCAAACUAACUCCAAAAGGUUGGAAAAGAGUUCCUACAAAGGUUUUGGACAGUGAUUUUAACCCUAACGCCAAAAAACUUAAACCUUACCCUAGCCUUGAAAUCUAAUACCCGGGUAUUACCUUCAGGAAGCCCGAACACCCCAAAUAUUUUUUUUUUUCAUUUUACAUUUUUUUUGGUGUAACCAACUCCAAAAGGUUGGAAAAGAGUUCCUACAAAGGUUUUGGACAGUGAUUUUAACCCUAACGCCAAAAACCUUAAACCUUACCAUAGCCCCAUAACCUAAUACCCGGGUAUUACUUUUAGGAAGCCUGAACACCCCAAAUAUUUUUUUCUUCAUUUUACAUUUUUGUUGGUGUAACCAACUCCAAAAGGUUGGAAAAGAGUUCCUACAAAGGUUUUGGACAGUGAUUUUAACCCUAAUGCCAAAAAACUUAAACCUUACCCUAGCCUCAAAAUCUAAUACCCGGGUAUUACAUUCAGGAACCCCGAAAACCCCAAAUAUUGUUUUUUAAUUUUUCAUUUUUUUUGGUCUAACUAACUCCAAAAGGUUGGAAAAGAGUUCCUACAAAGGUUUUGGACAGUGAUUUUAACCCUAACGCCAAAAACCUUAAACCUUACCCUGGCCUUAAAAUCUAAUACCUGGGUAUUACUUUUAGGAAGCCUGAACACCCCAAAUAUUUUUUUUUCAUUUUACUUUUUUUUUGGUCUAACCAACUCCAAAAGGUUGGAAAAGAGUUCCUACAAAGGUUUUGGACAGUGAUUUUAACCCUAACGCCAAAAAACUUAAACCUUACCCUAGCCUUAAAAUCUAAUACCCGGGUAUUACAUUCAGGAAGCCCGAAAACCCCAAAUAUAUAUUUUUUCAUUUUUCUUUUUUUUUUCGGUCAAACUAACUCCAAAAGGUUGGAAAAGAGUUCCUACAAAGGUUUUGGACAGUGAUUUUAACCCUAACGCCAAAAACCUUAAACCUUUCCCUAGUCCCAAAACCUAAUACCCAGGUAUUACUUUCAGGGAGCACGAAAACCCCCAAUAAUUUUUUUUCUUUUUUCAUUUUUGUUGGUGUAACUAACUCCAAAAGGUUGGAAAAGAGUUCCUACAAAGGUUUUGGACAGUGAUUUUAACCCUAACGCCAAAAAACUUAAACCUUACCCUAGCCUUGAAAUCUAAUACCCGGGUAUUACCUUCAGGAAGCCCGAACACCCCAAAUAUUUUUUUUUUUCAUUUUACAUUUUUUUUGGUCUAACUAACUCCAAAAGGUUGGAAAAGAGUUCCUACAAAGGUUUUGGACAGUGAUUUUAACCCUAACGCCAAAAACUUAAACCUUACCAUAGCCCAUAACCUAAUACCCGGGUAUUACUUUUAGGAAGCCUGAACACCCCAAAUAUUUUUUUUUCAUUUUUACAUUUUUGUUGGUGUAACCAACUCCAAAAGGUUGGAAAAGAGUUCCUACAAAGGUUUUGGACAGUGAUUUUAACCCUAAUGCCAAAAAACUUAAACCUUACCCUAGCCUCAAAAUCUAAUACCCGGGUAUUACAUUCAGGAACCCCGAAAACCCCAAAUAUUGUUUUUUAAUUUUUCAUUUUUUUUUGGUCUAACUAACUCCAAAAGGUUGGAAAAGAGUUCCUACAAAGGUUUUGGACAGUGAUUUUAACCCUAACGCCAAAAAACUUAAACCUUACCAUAGCCCCAUAACCUAAUACCUGGGUAUUACUUUUAGGAAGCCUGAACACCCCAAAUAUUUUUUUUUCAUUUUUCUUUUUUUUUUUGGUCUAACUAACUCCAAAAGGUUGGAAAAGAGUUCCUACAAAGGUUUUGGACAGUGAUUUUAACCCUAACGCCAAAAAACUUAAACCUUACCCUGGCCUUAAAAUCUAAUACCUGGGUAUUACUUUCAGGAAGCCCGAACACCCCAAAUAUUUUUUUUUUCAUUUUCUUUUUUUUUGGUGUAACCAACUCCAAAAGGUUGGAAAAGAGUUCCUACAAAGGUUUUGGACAGUGAUUUUAACCCUAACGCCAAAAAACUUAAACCUUACCCUAGCCUUAAAAUCUAAUACCCGGGUAUUACAUUCAGGAAGCCCGAAAACCCCAAAUACUUUUUUUUCAUUUUUCAUUUUUUUUUUGGUCUAACUAACUCCAAAAGGUUGGAAAAGAGUUCCUACAAAGGUUUUGGACAGUGAUUUUAAACCUAACGCCAAAACGUUAAACCUUACCAUAGCCCCAUAACCUAAUACCCGGGUAUUACUUUUAGGAAGCAUGAACACCCCAAAUAUUUUUAUUUCAUUUUUCAUUUUGUUUUUGGUCGAACUAACUCCAAAAGGUUGGAAAAGAGUUCCUACAAAGGUUUUGGACAGUGAUUUUAACCCUAACGCCAAAAACCUUAAACCUUACCAUAGCCCCAUAACCUAAUACCCGGGUAUUACCUUCAGGAAGCCCGAACACCCCAAAUAUUUUUUUCUUCAUUUUACAUUUUUGUUGGUGUAACCAACUCCAAAAGGUUGGAAAAGAGUUCCUACAAAGGUUUUGGACAGUGAUUUUAACCCUAACGCCAAAAACCUUAAACCUUACCAUAGCCCCAUAACCUAAUACCCGGGUAUUACCUUCAGGAAGCCCGAACACCCCAAAUAUUUUUUUUUCAUUUUUCAUUCUUUUUUGGUCUAACCAACUCCAAAAGGUUGGAAAAGAGUUCCUACAAAGGUUUUGGACAGUGAUUUUAACCCUAACGCCAAAAACCUUAAACCUUACCAUAGCCCCAUAACCUAAUACCUGGAUAUUACUUUUAGGAAGCCUGAACACCCCAAAUAUUUUUUUUUCAUUUUUCUUUUUUUUUUGGUCUAACUAACUCCAAAAGGUUGGAAAAGAGUUCCUACAAAGGUUUUGGACAGUGAUUUUAACCCUAACGCCAAAAAACUUAAACCUUACCCUAGCCUUAAAAUCUAAUACCCGGGUAUUACAUUCAGGAAGCCCGAAAACCCCAAAUAUAUAUUUUUUCAUUUUUCAUUUUUUUUUGGUUUAUCUAAUUCCAAAAGGUUGGAAAAGUGUUCCUACAACGGUUUUGGACAGGGAUUUUAACCCUAACGCCAAAACGUUAAACCUUAACAUAGCCCCAUAACCUAAUACCCGGGUAUUACUUUUAGGAAGCCUGAACACCCCAAAUAUUUUUUUUUCAUUUUUCUUUUUUUUUUGGUCAAACUAACUCCAAAAGGUUGGAAAUGUUCCUACAAAGGUUUUGGACAGUGAUUUUAACCCUAACGCCAAAAACCUUAAAACUUACCCUAGCCCCAUAACCUAAUUCCCGGGUAUUACCUUCAGGAAGCCCGAACACCCCAAAUAUUUGUUUUUCAUUUUACAUUUUUGUUGGUGUAACCAACUCCAAAAGGUUGGAAAAGAGUUCCUACAAAGGUUUUGGACAGUGAUUUUAACCCUAACGCCAAAAAACUUAAACCUUACCCUGGCAUUAAAAUCUAAUACCCGGGUAUUACAUUAAGGAAGCCUGAACACCCCAAAUAUUUUUUUUUCAUUUUUCAUUUUUUUUGGUCUAACUAACUCCAAAAGGUUGGAAAAGAGUUCCUACAAAGGUUUUGGACAGUGAUUUUAACCCUAACGCCAAAAACCUUAAACCUUACCAUGGCCCCAUAACCUAAUACCCGGGUAUUACUUUUAGGAAGCCUGAACACCCCAAAUAUAUAUUUUUUUCAUUUUACAUUUUUGUUGGUGUAACCAACUCCAAAAGGUUGGAAAAGAGUUCCUACAAAGGUUUUGGACAGUGAUUGUAACCCUAACGCCAAAAAACUUAAACCUUACCAUAGCCUUAAAAUCUAAUACCCGGGUAUUAUCUUCAGGAAGCCCAAACACCCCAAAUAUUUUUUUUUCAUUUUACUUUUUUGUUGUUGUAACCAACUCCAAAAGGUUGGAAAAAAGUUCCUACAAAGGUUUUGGACAGUGAUUUUAACCCUAACGCCAAAAACCUUAAACCUUUCCCUAGUCCCAAAACCUAAUACCCGGGUAUUACAUUCAGGAAGCCCGGAAACCCCAAAUAUUUUUUUUUUCAUUUUUCAUUCUUUUUGUUGGUGUAACUAACUCCAAAAGGUUGGAAAAGAGUUCCUACAAAGGUUUUGGACAGUGAUUUUAAACCUAACGCCAAAACGUUAAACCUUACCAUAGCCCCAUAACCUAAUACCCGGGUAUUACUUUUAGGAAGCCUGAACACCCCAAAUAUUUUUUUUUCAUUUUUCUUUUUUUUUUGGUCUAACUAACUCCAAAAGGUUGGAAAAGAGUUCCUACAAAGGUUUUGGACAGUGAUUUUAACCCUAACGCCAAAAACCUUAAACCUUUCCCUAGUCCCAAAACCUAAUACCCGGGUAUUACUUUCAGGGAGCCCGAAAACCCCCAAUAAUUUUUUUUUCUUUUUUCAUUUUUUUUGGUGUAACCAACUCCAAAAGGUUGGAAAAGAGUUCCUACAAAGGUUUUGGACAGUGAUUUUAACCCUAACGCCAAAAAACUUAAACCUUACCCUAGCCUUGAAAUCUAAUUCCCGGGUAUUACCUUCAGGAAGCCCGAACACCCCAAAUAUUUUUUUUUUUCAUUUUACAUUUUUUUUGGUGUAACCAACUCCAAAAGGUUGGAAAAGAGUUCCUACAAAGGUUUUGGACAGUGAUUUUAACCCUAACGCCAAAAAACUUAAACCUUACCAUAGCCCCAUAACCUAAUACCCAGGUAUUACUUUUAGGAAGCCUGAACACCCAAAAUAUUUUUUUCUUCAUCUUACAUUUUUGUUGGUGUAACCAACUCCAAAAGGUUGGAAAAGAGUUCCUACAAAGGUUUUGGACAGUGAUUUUAACCCUAAUGCCAAAAAACUUAAACCUUACCCUAGCCUCAAAAUCUAAUACCCGGGUAUUACAUUCAGGAACCCCGAAAACCCCAAAUAUUGUUUUUUAAUUUUUCAUUUUUUUUUGGUCUAACUAACUCCAAAAGGUUGGAAAAGAGUUCCUACAAAGGUUUUGGACAGUGAUUUUAACCCUAACGCCAAAAAACUUAAACCUUACCAUAGCCCCAUAACCUAAUACCUGGAUAUUACUUUUAGGAAGCCUGAACACCCCAAAUAUAUAUUUUUUUCAUUUUACAUUUUUGUUGGUGUAACCAACUCCAAAAGGUUGGAAAAGAUUUCCUACAAAGGUUUUGGACAGUGAUUGUAACCCUAACGCCAAAAACCUUAAACCUUACCCUAGCCUUAAAAUCUAAUACCCGGGUAUUACCUUCAGGAAGCCCAAACACCCCAAAUAUUUUUUUUUCAUUUUACUUUUUUGUUGUUGUAACCAACUCCAAAAGGUUGGAAAAGAGUUCCUACAAAGGUUUUGGACAGUGAUUUUAACCCUAACGCCAAAAACCUUAAACCUUUCCCUAGUCCCAAAACCUAAUACCCGGGUAUUACAUUCAGGAAGCCCGGAAACCCCAAAUAUUUUUUUUUUCAUUUUUCAUUCUUUUUUGGUCUAACUAACUCCAAAAGGUUGGAAAAGAGUUCCUACAAAGGUUUUGGACAGUGAUUUUAAACCUAACGCCAAAAACGUUAAACCUUACCAUAGCCCCAUAACCUAAUACCCGGGUAUUACUUUUAGGAAGCCUGAACACCCCAAAUAUUUUUUUUUCAUUUUUCUUUUUUUUUUUUUGGUCUAACUAACUCCAAAAGGUUGGAAAAGAGUUCCUACAAAGGUUUUGGACAGUGAUUUUAACCCUAACGCCAAAAACCUUAAACCUUUCCUAGUCCCAAAACCUAAUACCCGGGUAUUACUUUCAGGAAGCCCGAAAACCCCCAAAUAAUUUUUUUUUCAUUUUUCAUUUUUUUUGGUGUAACUAACUCCAAAAGGUUGGAAAAGAUUUCCUACAAAGGUUUUGGACAGUGAUUUUAACCCUAACGCCAAAAAACUUAAACCUUACCCUAGCCUUAAAAUCUAAUACCCGGGUAUUACAUUCAGGAAGCCCGAAAACCCCAAAUAUUUAUUUUUUCAUUUUUCAUUUUUUUUUGGUCUAACUAACUCCAAAAGGUUGGAAAAGAGUUCCUACAAAGGUUUUGGACAGUGAUUUUAACCCUAACGCCAAAAAACUUAAACCUUACCCUAGCCUUAAAAUCUAAUACCCGGGUAUUACAUUCAGGAAGCCCGAAAACCCCAAAUAUAUAUUUUUUCAUUUUUCAUUUUUUUUUGGUUUAUCUAAUUCCAAAAGGUUGGAAAAGAGUUCCUACAAAGGUUUUGGACAGUGAUUUUAACCCUGAUGCCAAAAAACUUAAACCUUACCCUAGCCUUAAAAUCUAAUACCCGGGUAUUACAUUCAGGAAGCCCGAAAACCCCAAAUAUAUAUUUUUUCAUUUUUCUUUUUUUUUCGGUCAAACUAACUCCAAAAGGUUGGAAAAGAGUUCCUACAAAGGUUUUGGACAGUGAUUUUAACCCUAACGCCAAAAACCUUAAACCUUACCAUAGCCCCAUAACCUAAUACCCAGGUAUUACUUUUAGGAAGCCUGAACACCCCAAAUAUUUUUUUUUCAUUUUUCUUUUUUUUUGGUCUAACUAACUCCAAAAGGUUGGAAAAGAGUUCCUACAAAGGUUUUGGACAGUGAUUUUAACCCUAACGCCAAAAAACUUAAACCUUACCCUAGCCUUAAAAUCUAAUACCCGGGUAUUACAUUCAGGAAGCCCGAACACCCCAAAUAUUUUUUUUUUUUUCAUUUUACAUUUUUUUUUUGGUCUAACCAACUCCAAAAGGUUGGAAAAGAGUUCCUACAAAGGUUUUGGACAGUGAUUUUAACCCUAACGCCAAAAACCUUAAACCUUACCCUAGCCUUGAAAUCUAAUACCCGGGUAUUACCUUCAGGAAGCCUGAACACCCCAAAUAUUUUUUUCUUUUUUCAUAUUUUUUGGUCUAACUAACUCCAAAAGGUUGGAAAAGAGUUCCUACAAAGGUUUUGGACAGUGAUUUUAACCCUAACGCCAAAAACCUUAAACCUUACCCUAGCCUUGAAAUCUAAUACCCGGGUAUUACCUUCAGGAAGCCCGAACACCCCAAAUAUUUGUUUUUCAUUUUACAUUUUUGUUGGUGUAACCAACUCCAAAAGGUUGGAAAAGAGUUCCUACAAAGGUUUUGGACAGUGAUUUUAACCCUAACGCCAAAAACCUUAAACCUUACCCUAGCCUUAAAAUCUAAUACCCGGGUAUUACAUUCAGGAAGCCUGAACACCCCAAAUAUUUUUUUUUCAUUUUUCAUUUUUUUUUGGUCUAACUAACUCCAAAAGGUUGGAAAAGAGUUCCUACAAAGGUUUUGGACAGUGAUUUUAACCCUAACGCCAAAAACCUUAAACCUUUCCCUAGUCCCAAAACCUAAUACCCGGGUAUUACUUUCAGGGAGCCCGAAAACCCCCAAUAAUAUUUUUUUCUUUUUUCAUAUUUUUUGGUCUAACUAACUCCAAAAGGUUGGAAAAGAGUUCCUACAAAGGUUUUGGACAGUGAUUUUAACCCUAACGCCAAAAACCUUAAACCUUACCAUAGCCCCAUAACCUAAUACCCGGGUAUUACCUUCAGGAAGCCCGAACACCCCAAAUAUUUUUUUUUCAUUUUUCAUUUUUUUUGGUCUAACUAACUCCAAAAGGUUGGAAAAGAGUUCCUACAAAGGUUUUGGACAGUGAUUUUAACCCUAACGCCAAAAACCUUAAACCUUACCAUAGCCCCAUAACCUAAUACCCGGGUAUUACUUUUAGGAAGCCUGAACACCCCAAAUAUUUUUUUUCAUUUUUCUUUUUUUUUUUUGGUCAAACUAACUCCAAAAGGUUGGAAAAGAGUUCCUACAAAGGUUUUGGACAGUGAUUUUAACCCUAACGCCAAAAACCUUAAACCUUACCAUGGCCCCAUAACCUAAUACCCGGGUAUUACUUUUAGGAAGCCUGAACACCCCAAAUAUAUAUUUUUUUCAUUUUACAUUUUUGUUGGUGUAACCAACUCCAAAAGGUUGGAAGAGUUCCUACAAAGGUUUUGGACAGUGAUUGUAACCCUAACGCCAAAAAACUUAAACCUUACCCUAGCCUUAAAAUCUAAUACCCGGGUAUUACCUUCAGGAAGCCCAAACACCCCAAAUAUUUUUUUUUCAUUUUACUUUUUUGUUGUUGUAACCAACUCCAAAAGGUUGGAAAAGAGUUCCUACAAAGGUUUUGGACAGUGAUUUUAACCCUAACGCCAAAAACCUUAAACCUUACCAUAGCCCCAUAACCUAAUACCCGGGUAUUACUUUUAGGAAGCCUGAACACCCCAAAUAUAUAUUUUUUUCAUUUUACAUUUUUGUUGGUGUAACCAACUCCAAAAGGUUGGAAAAGAGUUCCUACAAAGGUUUUGGACAGUGAUUUUAACCCUAACGCCAAAAAACUUAAACCUUACCCUAGCCUUAAAAUCUAAUACCCGGGUAUUACCUUCAGGAAGCCCAAACACCCCAAAUAUUUUUUUUUCAUUUUACAUUUUUGUUGGUUGUAACCAACUCCAAAAGGUUGGAAAAGAGUUCCUACAAAGGUUUUGGACAGUGAUUUUAACCCUAACGCCAAAAAACUUAAACCUUACCAUAGCCCCAUAACCUAAUACCUGGGUAUUACUUUUAGGAAGCCUGAACACCCCAAAUAUUUUUUUUUCAUUUUUCUUUUUUUUUUGGUCUAACUAACUCCAAAAGGUUGGAAAAGAGUUCCUACAAAGGUUUUGGACAGUGAUUUUAACCCUAACGCCAAAAACCUUAAACCUUACCCUAGCCUUAAAAUCUAAUACCCGGGUAUUACCUUCAGGAAGCCCGAACACCCCAAAUAUGUUUUUUUCAUUUUACAUUUUUGUUGGUGUAACUAACUCCAAAAGGUUGGAAAAGAGUUCCUACAAAGGUUUUGGACAGUGAUUUUAACCCUAAUGCCAAAAAACUUAAACCUUACCCUAGCCUUAAAAUCUAAUACCCGGGUAUUACAUUAAGGAAGCCUGAACACCCCAAAUAUUUUUUUUUCAUUUUUCUUUUUUUUUGGUCUAACUAACUCCAAAAGGUUGGAAAAGAGUUCCUACAAAGGUUUUGGACAGUGAUUUUAACCCUAACGCCAAAAACCUUAAACCUUACCCUAGCCUUAAAAUCUAAUACCCGGGUAUUACAUUCAGGAAGCCCGAACACCCCAAAUAUUUUUUUUUCAUUUUUCAUUUUUUUUUGGUCUAACUAACUCCAAAAGGUUGGAAAAGAGUUCCUACAAAGGUUUUGGACAGUGAUUUUAACCCUAACGCCAAAAACCUUAAACCUUACCCUAGUCCCAAAACCUAAUACCCGGGUAUUACUUUCAGGAAGCCCGAAAACCCCAAAUAUUUUUUUUUUUCUUUUUUCAUAUUUUUUGGUCUAACUAACUCCAAAAGGUUGGAAAAGAGUUCCUACAAAGGUUUUGGACAGUGAUUUUAACCCUAACGCCAAAAAACUUAAACCUUACCCAUAGCCCCAUAACCUAAUACCCGGGUAUUACUUUAAGGAAGCCUGAACACCCCAAAUAUUUUUUUUCAUUUUUCAUUUUUUUUUGGUCUAACCAACUCCAAAAGGUUGGAAAAGAGUUCCUACAAAGGUUUUGGACAGUGAUUUUAACCCUAACGCCAAAAACCUUAAACCUUACCCUAGCCUUAAAAUCUAAUACCCGGGUAUUACAUUCAGGAACCCCGAAAACCCCAAAUAUUGUUUUUUCAUUUUUCAUUUUUUUUGGUCUAACUAACUCCAAAAGGUUGGAAAAGAGUUCCUACAAAGGUUUUGGACAGUGAUUUUAACCCUAACGCCAAAAACCUUAAACCUUACCAUAGCCCCAUAACCUAAUACCCGGGUAUUACUUUUAGGAAGCCUGAACACCCCAAAUAUUUUUUUUUCAUUUUUCUUUUUUUUUGGUCUAACUAACUCCAAAAGGUUGGAAAAGAGUUCCUACAAAGGUUUUGGACAGUGAUUUUAACCCUAACGCCAAAAAACUUAAACCUUACCCUAGCCUUAAAAUCUAAUACCCGGGUAUUACAUUCAGGAAGCCCGAACACCCCAAAAAUUUUUUUUCUCAUUUUACAUUUUUUUUUGGUGUAACCAACUCCAAAAGGUUGGAAAAGAGUUCCUACAAAGGUUUUGGACAGUGAUUUUAACCCUAACGCCAAAAACCUUAAACCUUACCAUAGCCCCAUAACCUAAUACCCGGGUAUUACUUUUAGGAAGCCUGAACACCCCAAAUAUUUUUUUUUCAUUUUUCUUUUUUUUUGGUCAAACUAACUCCAAAAGGUUGGAAAAGAGUUCCUACAAAGGUUUUGGACAGUGAUUUUAACCCUAACGCCAAAAACCUUAAACCUUACCCUAGCCCCAUAACCUAAUACCCGGGUAUUACCUUCAGGAAGCCCGAACACCCCAAAUAUUUUUUUUUCAUUUUACAUUUUUGUUGGUGUAACCAACUCCAAAAGGUUGGAAAAGAGUUCCUACAAAGGUUUUGGACAGUGAUUUUAACCCUAAUGCCAAAAAACUUAAACCUUACCCUAGCCUCAAAAUCUAAUACCCGGGUAUUACAUUAAGGAAGCCUGAACACCCCAAAUAUUUUUUUUUCAUUUUUCAUUUUUUUUGGUCUAACUAACUCCAAAAGGUUGGAAAAGAGUUCCUACAAAGGUUUUGGACAGUGAUUUUAACCCUAACGCCAAAAACCUUAAACCUUUCCCUAGUCCCAAAACCUAAUACCCGGGUAUUACUUUCAGGGAGCCCGAAAACCCCCAAUAAUAUUUUUUUCUUUUUUCAUAUUUUUUGGUCUAACUAACUCCAAAAGGUUGGAAAAGAGUUCCUACAAAGGUUUUGGACAGUGAUUUUAACCCUAACGCCAAAAACCUUAAACCUUACCAUAGCCCCAUAACCUAAUACCCAGGUAUUACCUUCAGGAAGCCCGAACACCCCAAAUAUUUUUUUUUCAUUUUUCAUUCUUUUUUGGUCUAACUAACUCCAAAAGGUUGGAAAAGAGUUCCUACAAAGGUUUUGGACAGUGAUUUUAACCCUAACGCCAAAAACCUUAAACCUUACCAUAGCCCCAUAACCUAAUACCUGGUAUUACUUUAAGGAAGCCUGAACACCCCAAAUAUUUUUUUUCAUUUUUCUUUUUUUUUGGUCUAACUAACUCCAAAAGGUUGGAAAAGAGUUCCUACAAAGGUUUUGGACAGUGAUUUUAACCCUAACGCCAAAAACCUUAAACCUUACCCUAGCCCCAUAACCUAAUACCCGGGUAUUACCUUCAGGAAGCCCGAACACCCCAAAUAUUUUUUUUCAUUUUCAUUUUUGUUGGUGUAACUAACUCCAAAAGGUUGGAAAAGAGUUCCUACAAAGGUUUUGGACAGUGAUUUUAACCCUAACGCCAAAAACCUUAAACCUUACCCUAGCCUUGAAAUCUAAUACCCGGGUAUUACCUUCAGGAAGCCCGAACACCCCAAAUAUUUUUUUUCAUUUUUCUUUUUUUUUUGGUGUAACCAACUCCAAAAGGUUGGAAAAGAGUUCCUACAAAGGUUUUGGACAGUGAUUUUAACCCUAAUACCAAAAAACUUAAACCUUACCCUAGCCUCAAAAUCUAAUACCCGGGUAUUACAUUAAGGAAGCCUGAACACCCCAAAUAUUUUUUUUUUCAUUUUUCAUUUUUUUUGGUCUAACUAACUCCAAAAGGUUGGAAAAGAGUUCCUACAAAGGUUUUGGACAGUGAUUUUAACCCUAACGCCAAAAACCUUAAACCUUUCCCUAGUCCCAAAACCUAAUACCCGGGUAUUACUUUCAGGGAGCCCGAAAACCCCAAUAAUAUUUUUUUCUUUUUUCAUAUUUUUUGGUCUAACUAACUCCAAAAGGUUGGAAAAGAGUUCCUACAAAGGUUUUGGACAGUGAUUUUAACCCUAACGCCAAAAACCUUAAAACUUACCAUAGCCCCAUAACCUAAUACCCAGGUAUUACCUUCAGGAAGCCCGAACACCCCAAAUAUUUUUUUUCAUUUUUCAUUCUUUUUUGGUCUAACUAACUCCAAAAGGUUGGAAAAGAGUUCCUACAAAGGUUUUGGACAGUGAUUUUAACCCUAACGCCAAAAACCUUAAACCUUACCAUAGCCCCAUAACCUAAUACCUGGAUAUUACUUUUAGGAAGCCUGAACACCCCAAAUAUUUUUUUUUCAUUUUUCUUUUUUUUUUGGUCAAACUAACUCCAAAAGGUUGGAAAUGUUCCUACAAAGGUUUUGGACAGUGAUUUUAACCCUAACGCCAAAAACCUUAAAACUUACCCUAGCCCCAUAACCUAAUUCCCGGGUAUUACCUUCAGGAAGCCCGAACACCCCAAAUAUUUUUUUUUUCAUUUUACAUUUUUGUUGGUGUAACCAACUCCAAAAGGUUGGAAAAGAGUUCCUACAAAGGUUUUGGACAGUGAUUUUAACCCUAACGCCAAAAAACUUAAACCUUACCCUGGCAUUAAAAUCUAAUACCCGGGUAUUACAUUAAGGAAGCCUGAACACCCCAAAUAUUUUUUUUUCAUUUUUCAUUUUUUUUGGUCUAACUAACUCCAAAAGGUUGGAAAAGAGUUCCUACAAAGGUUUUGGACAGUGAUUUUAACCCUAACGCCAAAAACCUUAAACCUUACCAUGGCCCCAUAACCUAAUACCCGGGUAUUACUUUUAGGAAGCCUGAACACCCCAAAUAUAUAUUUUUUUCAUUUUACAUUUUUGUUGGUGUAACCAACUCCAAAAGGUUGGAAAAGAGUUCCUACAAAGGUUUUGGACAGUGAUUUUAACCCUAACGCCAAAAACCUUAAACCUUACCCUAGCCUUAAAAUCUAAUACCCGGGUAUUACCUUCAGGAAGCCCAAACACCCCAAAUAUUUUUUUUUCAUUUUACAUUUUUGUUGGUGUAACCAACUCCAAAAGGUUGGAAAAGAGUUCCUACAAAGGUUUUGGACAGUGAUUUUAACCCUAACGCCAAAAACCUUAAACCUUACCCUAGCCCAAUAACCUAAUACCCGGGUAUUACUUUCAGGGAGCCCGAAAACCCCCAAAUAAUUUUUUUUUCAUUUUUCAUUUUUUUUGGUGUAACUAACUCCAAAAGGUUGGAAAAGAGUUCCUACAAAGGUUUUGGACAGUGAUUUUAACCCUAACGCCAAAAACCUUAAACCUUACCCUAGCCUUAAAAUCUAAUACCGGGUAUUACCUUCAGGAAGCCCGAACACCCCAAAUAUUUUUUUUUCAUUUUACAUUUUUGUUGGUGUAACCAACUCCAAAAGGUUGGAAAAGAGUUCCUACAAAGGUUUUGGACAGUGAUUUUAACCCUAACGCCAAAAAACUUAAACCUUACCCUAGCCUUAAAAUCUAAUACCCGGGUAUUACAUUCAGGAAGCCCGAACACCCCAAAUAUAUAUUUUUUCAUUUUUCAUUUUUGUUUUGGUUUAACUAACUCCAAAAGGUUGGAAAAGAGUUCCUACAAAGGUUUUGGACAGUGAUUUUAACCCUAACGCCAAAAAACUUAAACCUUACCCUAGCCUUAAAAUCUAAUACCCGGGUAUUACAUUCAGGAAGCCCGAAAACCCCAAAUAUAUAUUUUUUCAUUUUUCAUUUUUUUUUUGGUUUAUCUAAUUCCAAAAGGUUGGAAAAGUGUUCCUACAAAGGUUUUGGACAGGGAUUUUAACCCUAACGCCAAAAAACUUAAACCUUAACCUAGCCUUAAAAUCUAAUACCCGGGUAUUACAUUCAGGAAGCCCGAAAACCCCAAAUAUAUAUUUUUUCAUUUUUCUUUUUUUUUUUGGUCAAACUAACUCCAAAAGGUUGGAAAAGAGUUCCUACAAAGGUUUUGGACAGUGAUUUUAACCCUAACGCCAAAAACCUUAAACCUUUCCCCAGUCCCAAAACCUAAUACCCGGGUAUUACCUUCAGGAAGCCCGAACACCCCAAAUAUUUGUUUUUCAUUUUUCAUUUUUUUUUGGUCUAACUAACUCCAAAAGGUUGAAAAAGAGUUCCUACAAAGGUUUUGGACAGUGAUUUUAACCCUAACGCCAAAAAACUUAAACCUUACCCUAGCCUUAAAAUCUAAUACCCGGGUAUUACAUUCAGGAAGCCCGAAAACCCCAAAUAUAUAUUUUUUCAUUUUUCAUUUUUUUUUGGUUUAUCUAAUUCCAAAAGGUUGGAAAAGUGUUCCUACAAAGGUUUUGGACAGGGAUUUUAACCCUAACGCCAAAAAACUUAAACCUUACCCUAGCCUUAAAAUCUAAUACCCGGGUAUUACAUUCAGGAAGCCCGAAAACCCCAAAUAUAUAUUUUUUCAUUUUUCUUUUUUUUUCGGUCAAACUAACUCCAAAAGGUUGGAAAAGAGUUCCUACAAAGGUUUUGGACAGUGAUUUUAACCCUAACGCCAAAAACCUUAAACCUUUCCCUAGUCCCAAAACCUAAUACCCGGGUAUUACUUUCAGGGAGCCCGAAAACCCCCAAUAAUAUUUUUUUCUUUUUUUAUAUUUUUUGGUCUAACUAACUCCAAAAGGUUGGAAAAGAGUUCCUACAAAGGUUUUGGACAGUGAUUUAAACCCUAAUGCCAAAAAACUUAAACCUUACCCUGGCAUUAAAAUCUAAUACCCGGGUAUUACAUUAAGGAAGCCUGAACACCCCAAAUAUUUUUUUUUCAUUUUUCAUUUUUUUUGGUCUAACUAACUCCAAAAGGUUGGAAAAGAGUUCCUACAAAGGUUUUGGACAGUGAUUUUAACCCUAACGCCAAAAACCUUAAACCUUACCCUAGCCUUGAAAUCUAAUACCCGGGUAUUACCUUCAGGAAGCCAGAACACCCCAAAUAUUUGUUUUUCAUUUUACAUUUUUGUUGGUGUAACCAACUCCAAAAGGUUGGAAAAGAGUUCCUACAAAGGUUUUGGACAGUGAUUUUAACCCUAACGCCAAAAACCUUAAACCUUACCAUAGCCCCAUAACCUAAUACCCAGGUAUUACUUUUAGGAAGCCUGAACACCCCAAAUAUUUUUUUUUCAUUUUUCUUUUUUUUUUGGUCAAACUAACUCCAAAAGGUUGGAAAAGAGUUCCUACAAAGGUUUUGGACAGUGAUUUUAACCCUAACGCCAAAAACCUUAAACCUUACCCUAGCCCCAUAACCUAAUACCCGGGUAUUACCUUCAGGAAGCCCGAACACCCCAAAUAUUUUUUUUUCAUUUUACAUUUUUGUUGGUGUAACCAACUCCAAAAGGUUGGAAAAGAGUUCCUACAAAGGUUUUGGACAGUGAUUUUAACCCUAACGCCAAAAACCUUAAACCUUACCCUAGCCUCAAAAUCUAAUACCCGGGUAUUACAUUCAGGAAGCCUGAACACCCCAAAUAUUUUUUUUUCAUUUUUCAUUUUUUUUUGGUCUAACUAACUCCAAAAGGUUGGAAAAGAGUUCCUACAAAGGUUUUGGACAGUGAUUUUAACCCUAACGCCAAAAACCUUAAACCUUUCCCUAGUCCCAAAACCUAAUACCCGGGUAUUACUUUCAGGGAGCCCGAAAACCCCAAUAAUAUUUUUUUCAUUUUUCAUAUUUUUUGGUCUAACUAACUCCAAAAGGUUGGAAAAGAGUUCCUACAAAGGUUUUGGACAGUGAUUUUAACCCUAACGCCAAAAACCUUAAACCUUACCAUAGCCCCAUAACCUAAUACCCGGGUAUUACCUUCAGGAAGCCCGAACACCCCAAAUAUUUUUUUUUCAUUUUUCAUUUUUUUUUGGUCUAACUAACUCCAAAAGGUUGGAAAAGAGUUCCUACAAAGGUUUUGGACAGUGAUUUUAACCCUAACGCCAAAAACCUUAAACCUUACCAUAGCCCCAUAACCUAAUACCCGGGUAUUACUUUUAGGAAGCCUGAACACCCCAAAUAUUUUUUUUUUCAUUUUUCUUUUUUUUUGGUCUAACUAACUCCAAAAGGUUGGAAAAGAGUUCCUACAAAGGUUUUGGACAGUGAUUUUAACCCUAACGCCAAAAACCUUAAACCUUACCCUAGCCCCAUAACCUAAUACCCGGGUAUUACCUUCAGGAAGCCCGAACACCCCAAAUAUUUUUUUUUCAUUUUACAUUUUACAUUUUUUUUGGUGUAACUAACUCCAAAAGGUUGGAAAAGAGUUCCUACAAAGGUUUUGGACAGUGAUUUUAACCCUAACGCCGAAAAACUUAAACCUUACCCUGGCAUUAAAAUCUAAUACCCGGGUAUUACUUUUAGGAAGCCUGAACACCCCAAAUAUUUUUUUCUUCUUUUUUCAUUUCUUUUUGGUCUAACUAACUCCAAAAGGUUGGAAAAGAGUUCCUACAAAGGUUUUGGACAGUGAUUUUAACCCUAACGCCAAAAACCUUAAACCUUACCAUAGCCCCAUAACCUAAUACCCGGGUAUUACUUUUAGGAAGCCUGAACACCCCAAAUAUUUUUUUUUCAUUUUACAUUUUUGUUGGUGUAACCAACUCCAAAAGGUUGGAAAAGAGUUCCUACAAAGGUUUUGGACAGUGAUUUUAACCCUAACGCCAAAAAACUUAAACCUUACCCUAGCCUCAAAAUCUAAUACCCGGGUAUUACAUUCAGGAACCCCGAAAACCCCAAAUAUUUUUUUUAAUUUUUCAUUUUUUUUUGGUCUAACUAACUCCAAAAGGUUGGAAAAGAGUUCCUACAAAGGUUUUGGACAGUGAUUUUAACCCUAACGCCAAAAACCUUAAACCUUACCCUAGCCCCAUAACCUAAUACCCGGGUAUUACCUUCAGGAAGCCCGAACACCCCAAAUAUUUUUUUUCAUUUUACAUUUUUGUUGGUCUAACUAACUCCAAAAGGUUGGAAAAGAGUUCCUACAAAGGUUUUGGACAGUGAUUUUAACCCUAACGCCAAAAAACUUAAACCUUACCCUGGCAUUAAAAUCUAAUACCCGGGUAUUACAUUCAGGAAGCCUGAACACCCCAAAUAUUUUUUUUCAUUUUUCAUUUUUUUUGGUCUAACUAACUCCAAAAGGUUGGAAAAGAGUUCCUACAAAGGUUUUGGACAGUGAUUUUAACCCUAACGCCAAAAACCUUAAACCUUUCCCUAGUCCCAAAACCUAAUACCCGGGUAUUACUUUCAGGAAGCCCGAAAACCCCAAUAAUAUUUUUUUUUUUUUUAUUUUUUUGGUCUAACUAACUCCAAAAGGUUGGAAAAGAGUUCCUACAAAGGUUUUGGACAGUGAUUUUAACCCUAACGCCAAAAAACUUAAACCUUACCCUAGCCUUAAAAUCUAAUACCCGGGUAUUACAUUAAGGAAGCCUGAACACCCCAAAUAUUUUUUUUUUCAUUUUUCAUUUUUUUUGGUCUAACUAACUCCAAAAGGUUGGAAAAGAGUUCCUACAAAGGUUUUGGACAGUGAUUUUAACCCUAACGCCAAAAACCUUAAACCUUACCCUAGCCUUGAAAUCUAAUACCCGGGUAUUACCUUCAGGAAGCCUGAACACCCCAAAUAUUUUUUUUUCAUUUUACAUUUUUGUUGGUGUAACCAACUCCAAAAGGUUGGAAAAGAGUUCCUACAAAGGUUUUGGACAGUGAUUUUAACCCUAACGCCAAAAAACUUAAACCUUACCAUAGCCCCAUAACCUAAUACCUGGUAUUACUUUUAGGAAGCCUGAACACCCCAAAUAUUUUUUUUUCAUUUUUCUUUUUUUUUUGGUCUAACUAACUCCAAAAGGUUGGAAAAGAGUUCCUACAAAGGUUUUGGACAGUGAUUUUAACCCUAACGCCAAAAACCUUAAACCUUACCCUAGCCCCAAAACCUAAUACCCGGGUAUUACCUUCAGGAAGCCCGAACACCCCAAAUAUUUUUUUUUUUUUUUUUCAUUUUUUUGGUCUAACUAACUCCAAAAGGUUGGAAAAGAGUUCCUACAAAGGUUUUGGACAGUGAUUUUAACCCUAACGCCAAAAACCUUAAACCUUACCCUAGCCUCAAAAUCUAAUACCCGGGUAUUACAUUCAGGAAGCCUGAACACCCCAAAUAUUUUUUUUUCAUUUUUCAUUUUUUUUGGUCUAACUAACUCCAAAAGGUUGGAAAAGAGUUCCUACAAAGGUUUUGGACAGUGAUUUUAACCCUAACGCCAAAAACCUUAAACCUUUCCCUAGUCCCAAAACCUAAUACCCGGGUAUUACUUUCAGGGAGCCCGAAAACCCCCAAAUAUUUUUUUCUUUUUUCAUAUUUUUUGGUCUAACUAACUCCAAAAGGUUGGAAAAGAGUUCCUACAAAGGUUUUGGACAGUGAUUUUAACCCUAACGCCAAAAACCUUAAACCUUACCAUAGCCCCAUAACCUAAUACCCGGGUAUUACCUUCAGGAAGCCCGAACACCCCAAAUAUUUUUUUUUCAUUUUUCAUUUUUUUUGGUCUAACCAACUCCAAAAGGUUGGAAAAGAGUUCCUACAAAGGUUUUGGACAGUGAUUUUAACCCUAACGCCAAAAACCUUAAACCUUACCAUAGCCCCAUAACCUAAUACCCGGGUAUUACUUUAAGGAAGCCUGAACACCCCAAAUAUUUUUUUUUCAUUUUUCUUUUUUUUUGGUCAAACUAACUCCAAAAGGUUGGAAAAGAGUUCCUACAAAGGUUUUGGACAGUGAUUUUAACCCUAACGCCAAAAACCUUAAACCUUACCCUAGCCCCAUAACCUAAUACCCGGGUAUUACCUUCAGGAAGCCCGAACACCCCAAAUAUUUUUUUUUCAUUUUUACAUUUUUUUUGGUCUAACUAACUCCAAAAGGUUGGAAAAGAGUUCCUACAAAGGUUUUGGACAGUGAUUUUAACCCUAACGCCAAAAACCUUAAACCUUACCCAUAGCCCCAUAACCUAAUACCCGGGUAUUACUUUUAGGAAGCCUGAACACCCCAAAUAUUUUUUUUUCAUUUUUCUUUUUUUUUUGGUCUAACUAACUCCAAAAGGUUGGAAAAGAGUUCCUACAAAGGUUUUGGACAGUGAUUUUAACCCUAACGCCAAAAAACUUAAACCUUACCCUAGCCUUAAAAUCUAAUACCCGGGUAUUACAUUCAGGAAGCCCGAACACCCCAAAUAUUUUUUUUCAUUUUACAUUUUUUUUGGUGUAACUAACUCCAAAAGGUUGGAAAAGAGUUCCUACAAAGGUUUUGGACAGUGAUUUUAACCCUAACGCCAAAAACCUUAAACCUUACCCUAGCCUUUAAAUCUAAUACCCGGGUAUUACCUUCAGGAAGCCUGAACACCCCAAAUAUUUUUUUCUUUUUUCAUAUUUUUUGGUCUAACUAACUCCAAAAGGUUGGAAAAGAGUUCCUACAAAGGUUUUGGACAGUGAUUUUAACCCUAACGCCAAAAACCUUAAACCUUACCCUAGCCUUAAAAUCUAAUACCCGGGUAUUACAUUCAGGAACCCCGAAAACACCCCAAAUAUUUUUUUUCUUUUUUCAUUUUUUUGGUCUAACUAACUCCAAAAGGUUGGAAAAGAGUUCCUACAAAGGUUUUGGACAGUGAUUUUAACCCUAACGCCAAAAACCUUAAACCUUACCAUAGCCCCAUAACCUAAUACCCGGGUAUUACUUUUAGGAAGCCUGAACACCCCAAAUAUUUUUUUUUCAUUUUUCUUUUUUUUUUUGGUCUAACUAACUCCAAAAGGUUGGAAAAGAGUUCCUACAAAGGUUUUGGACAGUGAUUUUAACCCUAACGCCAAAAAACUUAAACCUUACCCUAGCCUUAAAAUCUAAUACCCGGGUAUUACUUUCAGGAAGCCCGAACACCCCAAAAAUUUUUUUUCUCAUUUUACAUUUUUUUUGGUGUAACCAACUCCAAAAGGUUGGAAAAGAGUUCCUACAAAGGUUUUGGACAGUGAUUUUAACCCUAACGCCAAAAACCUUAAACCUUUCCCUAGUCCCAAAACCUAAUACCCGGGUAUUACUUUCAGGGAGCCCGAAAACCCCCAAUAAUAUUUUUUUCUUUUUUCAUAUUUUUUGGUCUAACUAACUCCAAAAGGUUGGAAAAGAGUUCCUACAAAGGUUUUGGACAGUGAUUUUAACCCUAACGCCAAAAACCUUAAACCUUACCAUAGCCCCAUAACCUAAUACCCGGGUAUUACCUUCAGGAAGCCCGAACACCCCAAAUAUUUUUUUUUUUUCAUUUUUCAUAUUUUUUGGUCUAACCAACUCCAAAAGGUUGGAAAAGAGUUCCUACAAAGGUUUAUGACAGUGAUUUUAACCCUAACGCCAAAAACCUUAAACCUUACCAUAGCCCCAUAACCUAAUACCUGGAUAUUACUUUAAGGAAGCCUGAACACCCCAAAUAUUUGUUUUUCAUUUUUCUUUUUUUUUUGGUCUAACUAACUCCAAAAGGUUGGAAAAGAGUUCCUACAAAGGUUUUGGACAGUGAUUUUAACCCUAACGCCAAAAACCUUAAACCUUACCCUAGCCCCAUAACCUAAUACCCGGGUAUUACCUUCAGGAAGCCCGAACACCCCAAAUAUUUUUUUUUCAUUUUACAUUUUUUUGGUGUAACCAACUCCAAAAGGUUGGAAAAGAGUUCCUACAAAGGUUUUGGACAGUGAUUUUAACCCUAAUGCCAAAAAACUUAAACCUUACCCUAGCCCUAAAAUCUAAUACCCGGGUAUUACAUUAAGGAAGCCUGAACACCCCAAAUAUUUUUUUUUCAUUUUUCUUUUUUUUUGGUCUAACUAACUCCAAAAGGUUGGAAAAGAGUUCCUACAAAGGUUUUGGACAGUGAUUUUAACCCUAACGCCAAAAACCUUAAACCUUACCCUGGCCUUAAAAUCUAAUACCCGGGUAUUACAUUCAGGAAGCCCGAACACCCCAAAAUAUUUUUUUCUCAUUUUUCUUUUUUUUUUUGGUCUAACCAACUCCAAAAGGUUGGAAAAGAGUUCCUACAAAGGUUUUGGACAGUGAUUUUAACCCUAACGCCAAAAACCUUAAACCUUUCCCUAGUCCCAAAACCUAAUUCCCGGGUAUUACCUUCAGGAAGCCCGAACACCCCAAAUAUUUUUUUUUCAUUUUUCAUUUUUUUUGGUCUAACUAACUCCAAAAGGUUGGAAAAGAGUUCCUACAAAGGUUUUGGACAGUGAUUUUAACCCUAACGCCAAAAACCUUAAACCUUACCAUAGCCCCAUAACCUAAUACCCGGGUAUUACUUUAAGGAAGCCUGAACACCCCAAAUAUUUUUUUUCAUUUUUCUUUUUUUGGUCUAACUAACUCCAAAAGGUUGGAAAAGAGUUCCUACAAAGGUUUUGGACAGUGAUUUUAACCCUAACGCCAAAAACCUUAAACCUUACCCUAGCCCCAUAACCUAAUACCCGGGUAUUACCUUCAGGAAGCCCGAACACCCCAAAUAUUUUUUUUCAUUUUACAUUUUUUUGGUCUAACCAACUCCAAAAGGUUGGAAAAGAGUUCCUACAAAGGUUUUGGACAGUGAUUUUAACCCUAACGCCAAAAACCUUAAACCUUACCCUAGCCUUAAAAUCUAAUACCCGGGUAUUACAUUAAGGAAGCCCGAACACCCCAAAUAUUUGUUUUUCAUUUUACAUUUUUGUUGGUGUAACCAACUCCAAAAGGUUGGAAAAGAGUUCCUACAAAGGUUUUGGACAGUGAUUUUAACCCUAACGCCAAAAACCUUAAACCUUACCCUAGCCUUAAAAUCUAAUACCCGGGUAUUACAUUCAGGAAGCCCGAACACCCCAAAUAUUUUUUUUUCAUUUUACAUUUUUUUUGGUGUAACCAACUCCAAAAGGUUGGAAAAGAGUUCCUACAAAGGUUUUGGACAGUGAUUUUAACCCUAACGCCAAAAACCUUAAACCUUACCCUAGCCCAAUAACCUAAUACCCGGGUAUUACUUUCAGGAAGCCCGAAAACCCCAAAUAUUUUUUUUUCAUUUUUCAUUUUUUUUGGUCUAACUAACUCCAAAAGGUUGGAAAAGAGUUCCUACAAAGGUUUUGGACAGUGAUUUUAACCCUAACGCCAAAAACCUUAAACCUUACCAUAGCCCCAUAACCUAAUACCCGGGUAUUACCUUCAGGAAGCCCGAACACCCCAAAUAUUUUUUUUUCAUUUUUCAUUUUUUUUGGUCUAACUAACUCCAAAAGGUUGGAAAAGAGUUCCUACAAAGGUUUUGGACAGUGAUUUUAACCCUAACGCCAAAAACCUUAAACCUUACCCUAGCCCCAUAACCUAAUACCUGGGUAUUACUUUCAGGAAGCCUGAACACCCCAAAUAUUUUUUUUCAUUUUUCUUUUUUUUUGGUCUAACUAACUCCAAAAGGUUGGAAAAGAGUUCCUACAAAGGUUUUGGACAGUGAUUUUAACCCUAACGCCAAAAACCUUAAACCUUACCCUAGCCCCAUAACCUAAUACCCGGGUAUUACCUUCAGGAAGCCCGAACACCCCAAAUAUUUUUUUUUCAUUUUACAUUUUUUUGGUGUAACCAACUCCAAAAGGUUGGAAAAGAGUUCCUACAAAGGUUUUGGACAGUGAUUUUAACCCUAACGCCAAAAAACUUAAACCUUACCCUGGCAUUAAAAUCUAAUACCCGGGUAUUACAUUCAGGAAGCCUGAACACCCCAAAUAUUUUUUUUUCAUUUUUCAUUUUUUUUGGUCUAACUAACUCCAAAAGGUUGGAAAAGAGUUCCUACAAAGGUUUUGGACAGUGAUUUUAACCCUAACGCCAAAAACCUUAAACCUUACCCUAGCCUUAAAAUCUAAUACCCAGGUUACAUUCAGGAAGCCCGAAAACCCCAAAUAUUUUUUUUUCAUUUUUCAUUUUUUUUUGGUCUAACUAACUCCAAAAGGUUGGAAAAGAGUUCCUACAAAGGUUUUGGACAGUGAUUUUAACCCUAACGCCAAAAAACUUAAACCUUACCCUAGCCUUAAAAUCUAAUACCCGGGUAUUACAUUCAGGAAGCCCGAAAACCCCAAAUAUUUUUUUUUCAUUUUUCAUUUUUUUUUGGUCUAACUAACUCCAAAAGGUUGGAAAAGAGUUCCUACAAAGGUUUUGGACAGUGAUUUUAACCCUAACGCCAAAAACUUAAACCUUACCCUAGCCUUAAAAUCUAAUACCCGGGUAUUACAUUCAGGAAGCCCGAAAACCCCAAAUAUAUAUUUUUUCAUUUUUUUUUUUUUUUGGUCUAACUAACUCCAAAAGGUUGGAAAAGAGUUCCUACAAAGGUUUUGGACAGUGAUUUUAACCCUAACGCCAAAAACCUUAAACCUUUCCCUAGUCCCAAAACCUAAUACCCGGGUAUUACUUUCAGGAAGCCCGAACACCCCAAAUAUUUUUUUUCAUUUUCAUUUUUUUUGGUCUAACUAACUCCAAAAGGUUGGAAAAGAGUUCCUACAAAGGUUUUGGACAGUGAUUUUAACCCUAACGCCAAAAAACUUAAACCUUACCCUAGCCUUGAAAUCUAAUACCCGGGUAUUACCUUCAGGAAGCCUGAACACCCAAAAUAUUUUUUUCUUCAUCUUACAUUUUUGUUGGUCUAACUAACUCCAAAAGGUUGGAAAAGAGUUCCUACAAAGGUUUUGGACAGUGAUUUUAACCCUAACGCCAAAAAACCUUAAACCUUACCAUAGCCCCAAAAUCUAAUACCCGGGUAUUACCUUCAGGAAGCCGAAACACCCCAAAUAUUUUUUUGUCCAUUUUUCUUUUUUUUUUGGUCUAACUAACUCCAAAAGGUUGGAAAAGAGUUCCUACAAAGGUUUUGGACAGUGAUUUUAACCCUAACGCCAAAAACCUUAAACCUUACCAUGGCCCCAUAACCUAAUACCCGGGUAUUACUUUUAGGAAGCCUGAACACCCCAAAUAUAUAUUUUUUUCAUUUUAAAUUUUUUUUGGUGUAACCAACUCCAAAAGGUUGGAAAAGAGUUCCUACAAAGGUUUUGGACAGUGAUUUUAACCCUAACGCCAAAAAACUUAAACCUUACCCUAGCCUUAAAAUCUAAUACCCGGGUAUUACCUUCAGGAAGCCCAAACACCCCAAAUAUUUUUUUUUCAUUUUACUUUUUUGUUGUUGUAACCAACUCCAAAAGGUUGGAAAAGAGUUCCUACAAAGGUUUUGGACAGUGAUUUUAACCCUAACGCCAAAAACCUUAAACCUUUCCCUAGCCCCAAAACCUAAUACCCGGGUAUUACUUUCAGGAAGCCCGAAAACCCCAAAUAUUUUUUUUUCAUUUUUCAUUUUUUUUGGUCUAACUAACUCCAAAAGGUUGGAAAAGAGUUCCUACAAAGGUUUUGGACAGUGAUUUUAACCCUAACGCCAAAAAACUUAAACCUUACCCUAGCCUUAAAAUCUAAUACCCGGGUAUUACCUUCAGGAAGCCCGAACACCCCAAAUAUUUUUUUGUUCAUUUUACAUUUUUGUUGGUGUAACCAACUCCAAAAGGUUGGAAAAGAGUUCCUACAAAGGUUUUGGACAGUGAUUUUAACCCUAACGCCAAAAAACUUAAACCUUACCCUAGCCUUAAAAUCUAAUACCCGGGUAUUACAUUCAGGAAGCCCGAAAACCCCAAAUAUAUAUUUUUUCAUUUUUCAUUUUUUUUUGGUCUAACUAACUCCAAAAGGUUGGAAAAGAGUUCCUACAAAGGUUUUGGACAGUGAUUUUAACCCUAACGCCAAAAAACUUAAACCUUACCCUAGCCUUAAAAUCUAAUACCCGGGUAUUACCUUCAGGAAGCCUGAACACCCCAAAUAUUUUUUUAUUUUUUCAUAUUUUUUGGUCUAACUAACUCCAAAAGGUUGGAAAAGAGUUCCUACAAAGGUUUUGGACAGUGAUUUUAACCCUAACGCCAAAAACCUUAAACCUUACCCUAGCCUUGAAAUCUAAUACCCGGGUAUUACCUUCAGGAAGCCUGAACACCCCAAAUAUUUUUUUCUUCAUCUUACAUUUUUGUUGGUGUAACCAACUCCAAAAGGUUGGAAAAGAGUUCCUACAAAGGUUUUGGACAGUGAUUUUAACCCUAAUGCCAAAAAACUUAAACCUUACCCUAGCCUUAAAAUCUAAUACCCGGGUAUUACAUUCAGGAAGCCCGAAAACCCCAAAUAUUGUUUUUUAAUUUUUCAUUUUUUUUUGGUCUAACUAACUCCAAAAGGUUGGAAAAGAGUUCCUACAAAGGUUUUGGACAGUGAUUUUAACCCUAACGCCAAAAAACUUAAACCUUACCCUGGCAUUAAAAUCUAAUACCCGGGUAUUACAUUAAGGAAGCCUGAACACCCCAAAUAUUUUUUUUUCAUUUUUCAUUUUUUUUUGGUCUAACUAACUCCAAAAGGUUGGAAAAGAGUUCCUACAAAGGUUUUGGACAGUGAUUUUAACCCUAACGCCAAAAACCUUAAACCUUUCCCUAGUCCCAAAACCUAAUACCCGGGUAUUACUUUUAGGAAGCCUGAACACCCCAAAUAUUUUUUUUUCUUUUUUCAUAUUUUUUGGUCUAACUAACUCCAAAAGGUUGGAAAAGAGUUCCUACAAAGGUUUUGGACAGUGAUUUUAACCCUAACGCCGAAAAACUUAAACCUUACCCUGGCAUUAAAAUCUAAUACCCGGGUAUUACAUUUAGGAAGCCUGAACACCCCAAAUAUUUUUUUUUCAUUUUUCAUUUUUUUUGGUCUAACUAACUCCAAAAGGUUGGAAAAGAGUUCCUACAAAGGUUUUGGACAGUGAUUUUAACCCUAACGCCAAAAACCUUAAACCUUACCCUAGCCUUGAAAUCUAAUACCCUGGUAUUACCUUCAGGAAGCCAGAACACCCCAAAUAUUUGUUUUUCAUUUUACAUUUUUGUUGGUGUAACCAACUCCAAAAGGUUGGAAAAGAGUUCCUACAAAGGUUUUGGACAGUGAUUUUAACCCUAACGCCAAAAACCUUAAACCUUACCAUAGCCCCAUAACCUAAUACCCGGGUAUUACUUUUAGGAAGCCUGAACACCCCAAAUAUUUUUUUUUCAUUUUUCUUUUUUUUUUGGUCAAACUAACUCCAAAAGGUUGGAAAUGUUCCUACAAAGGUUUUGGACAGUGAUUUUAACCCUAACGCCAAAAACCUUAAAACUUACCCUAGCCCCAUAACCUAAUUCCCGGGUAUUACCUUCAGGAAGCCCGAACACCCCAAAUAUUUGUUUUUCAUUUUACAUUUUUGUUGGUGUAACCAACUCCAAAAGGUUGGAAAAGAGUUCCUACAAAGGUUUUGGACAGUGAUUUUAACCCUAACGCCAAAAACCUUAAACCUUACCCUAGCCUCAAAAUCUAAUACCCGGGUAUUACAUUCAGGAAGCCUGAACACCCCAAAUAUUUUUUUUUCAUUUUUCAUUUUUUUUGGUCUAACUAACUCCAAAAGGUUGGAAAAGAGUUCCUACAAAGGUUUUGGACAGUGAUUUUAACCCUAACGCCAAAAACCUUAAACCUUUCCCUAGUCCCAAAACCUAAUACCCGGGUAUUACUUUCAGGGAGCCCGAAAACCCCCAAUAAUAUUUUUUUCAUUUUUUUUUUUUUUUUGGUCUAACUAACUCCAAAAGGUUGGAAAAGAGUUCCUACAAAGGUUUUGGACAGUGAUUUUAACCCUAACGCCAAAAACCUUAAAACUUACCAUAGCCCCAUAACCUAAUUCCCAGGUAUUACCUUCAGGAAGCCCGAACACCCCAAAUAUUUUUUUUUCAUUUUUCAUUCUUUUUUGGUCUAACUAACUCCAAAAGGUUGGAAAAGAGUUCCUACAAAGGUUUUGGACAGUGAUUUUAACCCUAACGCCAAAAACCUUAAACCUUACCCUAGCCCCAUAACCUAAUACCCGGGUAUUACUUUUAGGAAGCCUGAACACCCCAAAUAUUUUUUUUUCAUUUUUCUUUUUUUUUUGGUCUAACUAACUCCAAAAGGUUGGAAAAGAGUUCCUACAAAGGUUUUGGACAGUGAUUUUAACCCUAACGCCAAAAACCUUAAACCUUACCCUAGCCCCAUAACCUAAUUCCCGGGUAUUACCUUCAGGAAGCCCGAACACCCCAAAUAUUUUUUUUUCAUUUUACAUUUUUGUUGGUGUAACCAACUCCAAAAGGUUGGAAAAGAGUUCCUACAAAGGUUUUGGACAGUGAUUUUAACCCUAACGCCAAAAAACUUAAACCUUACCCUGGCAUUAAAAUCUAAUACCCGGGUAUUACAUUAAGGAAGCCUGAACACCCCAAAUAUUUUUUUUUCAUUUUUCAUUUUUUUUGGUCUAACUAACUCCAAAAGGUUGGAAAAGAGUUCCUACAAAGGUUUUGGACAGUGAUUUUAACCCUAACGCCAAAAACCUUAAACCUUACCAUAGCCCCAUAACCUAAUACCCGGGUAUUACUUUUAGGAAGCCUGAACACCCCAAAUAUUUUUUUUUCAUUUUACAUUUUUGUUGGUGUAACCAACUCCAAAAGGUUGGAAAAGAGUUCCUACAAAGGUUUUGGACAGUGAUUUUAACCCUAAUGCCAAAAAACUUAAACCUUACCCUAGCCUCAAAAUCUAAUACCCGGGUAUUACAUUCAGGAACCCCGAAAACCCCAAAUAUUUUUUUUAAUUUUUCAUUUUUUUGGUCUAACUAACUCCAAAAGGUUGGAAAAGAGUUCCUACAAAGGUUUUGGACAGUGAUUUUAACCCUAACGCCAAAAACCUUAAACCUUACCCUAGCCCCAUAACCUAAUACCCGGGUAUUACCUUCAGGAAGCCCGAACACCCCAAAUAUUUUUUUUCAUUUUACAUUUUUUUUGGUGUAACCAACUCCAAAAGGUUGGAAAAGAGUUCCUACAAAGGUUUUGGACAGUGAUUUUAACCCUAACGCCGAAAAACUUAAACCUUACCCUAGCCAUUAAAAUCUAAUACCCGGGUAUUACAUUAAGGAAGCCUGAACACCCCAAAUAUUUUUUUUUUUUCAUUUUUCUUUUUUUUUGGUCUAACUAACUCCAAAAGGUUGGAAAAGAGUUCCUACAAAGGUUUUGGACAGUGAUUUUAACCCUAACGCCAAAAACCUUAAACCUUACCCUAGCCCCAAAACCUAAUACCCGGGUAUUACUUUCAGGAAGCCCGAAAACCCCCAAUAAUUUUUUUUUCUUUUUUCAUUUUUUUGGUCUAACUAACUCCAAAAGGUUGGAAAAGAGUUCCUACAAAGGUUUUGGACAGUGAUUUAAACCCUAAUGCCAAGAAACUUAAACCUUACCCUGGCAUUAAAAUCUAAUACCCGGGUAUUACAUUAAGGAAGCCUGAACACCCCAAAUAUUUUUUUUUCAUUUUUCAUUUUUUUUGGUCUAACUAACUCCAAAAGGUUGGAAAAGAGUUCCUACAAAGGUUUUGGACAGUGAUUUUAACCCUAACGCCAAAAACCUUAAACCUUACCCUAGCCUUGAAAUCUAAUACCCGGGUAUUACCUUCAGGAAGCCCGAACACCCCAAAUAUUUGUUUUUCAUUUUACAUUUUUGUUGGUGUAACCAACUCCAAAAGGUUGGAAAAGAGUUCCUACAAAGGUUUUGGACAGUGAUUUUAACCCUAACGCCAAAAAACUUAAACCUUACCCUAGCCUUAAAAUCUAAUACCCGGGUAUUACAUUAAGGAAGCCUGAACACCCCAAAUAUUUUUUUUUCAUUUUUCAUUUUUUUUGGUCUAACUAACUCCAAAAGGUUGGAAAAGAGUUCCUACAAAGGUUUUGGACAGUGAUUUUAACCCUAACGCCAAAAACCUUAAACCUUACCCUAGCCUUAAAACCUAAUACCCGGGUAUUACAUUCAGGAAGCCCGAAAACCCCAAAUAUUUUUUUCAUUUUUCAUAUUUUUUGGUCUAACUAACUCCAAAAGGUUGGAAAAGAGUUCCUACAAAGGUUUUGGACAGUGAUUUUAACCCUAACGCCAAAAACCUUAAACCUUACCAUAGCCCAAUAACCUAAUUCCCAGGUAUUACCUUCAGGAAGCCCGAACACCCCAAAUAUUUUUUUUUCAUUUUUCAUAUUUUUUGGUCUAACCAACUCCAAAAGGUUGGAAAAGAGUUCCUACAAAGGUUUUGGACAGUGAUUUUAACCCUAACGCCAAAAACCUUAAACCUUACCAUAGCCCCAUAACCUAAUACCCAGGUAUUACUUUUAGGAAGCCUGAACACCCCAAAUAUUUUUUUUUCAUUUUUCUUUUUUUUUGGUCUAACUAACUCCAAAAGGUUGGAAAAGAGUUCCUACAAAGGUUUUGGACAGUGAUUUUAACCCUAACGCCAAAAACCUUAAACCUUACCCUAGCCCCAUAACCUAAUACCCGGGUAUUACCUUCAGGAAGCCCGAACACCCCAAAUAUUUUUUUUUCAUUUUACAUUUUUGUUGGUGUAACCAACUCCAAAAGGUUGGAAAAGAGUUCCUACAAAGGUUUUGGACAGUGAUUUUAACCCUAACGCCAAAAACCUUAAACCUUACCAUAGCCCCAUAACCUAAUACCCGGGUAUUACCUUCAGGAAGCCCGAACACCCCAAAUAUUUUUUUUUCAUUUUUCAUUCUUUUUUGGUCAUUUUUGUUGGUGUAACCAACUCCAAAAGGUUGGAAAAGAGUUCCUACAAAGGUUUUGGACAGUGAUUUUAACCCUAAUGCAAAAAAACUUAAACCUUACCCUAGCCUCAAAAUCUAAUACCCGGGUAUUACAUUCAGGAACCCCGAAAACCCCAAAUAUUUUUUUUUAAUUUUUCAUUUUUUUUUGGUCUAACUAACUCCAAAAGGUUGGAAAAGAGUUCCUACAAAGGUUUUGGACAGUGAUUUUAACCCUAACGCCAAAAACCUUAAACCUUACCCUAGCCCCAUAACCUAAUACCCGGGUAUUACCUUCAGGAAGCCCGAACACCCCAAAUAUUUUUUUUCAUUUUACAUUUUUUUGGUGUAACUAACUCCAAAAGGUUGGAAAAGAGUUCCUACAAAGGUUUUGGACAGUGAUUUUAACCCUAACGCCAAAAAACUUAAACCUUACCCUAGCCUUAAAAUCUAAUACCCGGGUAUUACAUUCAGGAAGCCUGAACACCCCAAAUAUUUUUUUUUUCAUUUUUCAUUUUUUUUGGUCUAACUAACUCCAAAAGGUUGGAAAAGAGUUCCUACAAAGGUUUUGGACAGUGAUUUUAACCCUAACGCCAAAAACCUUAAACCUUACCAUGGCCCCAUAACCUAAUACCCGGGUAUUACUUUUAGGAAGCCUGAACACCCCAAAUAUAUAUUUUUUUCAUUUUAAAUUUUUGUUGGUGUAACCAACUCCAAAAGGUUGGAAAAGAGUUCCUACAAAGGUUUUGGACAGUGAUUGUAACCCUAACGCCAAAAAACUUAAACCUUACCCUAGCCUUAAAAUCUAAUACCCGGGUAUUACCUUCAGGAAGCCCAAACACCCCAAAUAUUUUUUUUUCAUUUUACUUUUUUGUUGUUGUAACCAACUCCAAAAGGUUGGAAAAGAGUUCCUACAAAGGUUUUGGACAGUGAUUUUAACCCUAACGCCAAAAACCUUAAACCUUUCCCUAGUCCCAAAACCUAAUACCCGGGUAUUACUUUCAGGGAGCCCGAAAACCCCCAAUAAAAUUUUUUUCUUUUUUCAUAUUUUUUGGUCUAACUAACUCCAAAAGGUUGGAAAAGAGUUCCUACAAAGGUUUUGGACAGUGAUAUUAACCCUAACGCCAAAAACCUUAAAACUUACCAUAGCCCCAUAACCUAAUUCCCAGGUAUUACCUUCAGGAAGCCCGAACACCCCAAAUAUUUUUUUUUCAUUUUUCAUUUUUUUUGGUCUAACCAACUCCAAAAGGUUGGAAAAGAGUUCCUACAAAGGUUUUGGACAGUGAUUUUAACCCUAACGCCAAAAACCUUAAACCUUACCAUAGCCCCAUAACCUAAUACCCGGGUAUUACUUUUAGGAAGCCUGAACACCCCAAAUAUUUUUUUUUCAUUUUUCUUUUUUUUUGGUCUAACUAACUCCAAAAGGUUGGAAAAGAGUUCCUACAAAGGUUUUGGACAGUGAUUUAAACCCUAACGCCAAAACCUUAAACCUUACCCUAGCCCCAUAACCUAAUACCCGGGUAUUACCUUCAGGAAGCCCGAACACCCCAAAUAUUUUUUUUUCAUUUUACAUUUUUGUUGGUGUAACCAACUCCAAAAGGUUGGAAAAGAGUUCCUACAAAGGUUUUGGACAGUGAUUUUAACCCUAACGCCAAAAAACUUAAACCUUACCCUGGCCAUUAAAAUCUAAUACCCGGGUAUUACAUUAAGGAAGCCUGAACACCCCAAAUAUUUUUUUUUCAUUUUUCAUUUUUUUUGGUCUAACUAACUCCAAAAGGUUGGAAAAGAGUUCCUACAAAGGUUUUGGACAGUGAUUUUAACCCUAACGCCAAAAACCUUAAACCUUACCAUGGCCCCAUAACCUAAUACCCGGGUAUUACUUUUAGGAAGCCUGAACACCCCAAAUAUAUAUUUUUUUCAUUUUACAUUUUUUUUGGUGUAACCAACUCCAAAAGGUUGGAAAAGAGUUCCUACAAAGGUUUUGGACAGUGAUUUUAACCCUAACGCCAAAAAACUUAAACCUUACCUAGCCUUAAAAUCUAAUACCCGGGUAUUACCUUCAGGAAGCCCAAACACCCCAAAUAUUUUUUUUUCAUUUUACUUUUUUGUUGGUGUAACCAACUCCAAAAGGUUGGAAAAGAGUUCCUACAAAGGUUUUGGACAGUGAUUUUAACCCUAACGCCAAAAACCUUAAACCUUUCCCUAGUCCCAAAACCUAAUACCCGGGUAUUACAUUCAGGAAGCCCGGAAACCCCAAAUAUUUUUUUUCAUUUUUCAUUUUUUUUUGGUCUAACUAACUCCAAAAGGUUGGAAAAGAGUUCCUACAAAGGUUUUGGACAGUGAUUUUAACCCUAACGCCAAAAACCUUAAACCUUACCAUAGCCCCAUAACCUAAUACCCGGGUAUUACUUUUAGGAAGCCUGAACACCCCAAAUAUUUUUUUUUCAUUUUUCAUUUUUUUUUUGGUCUAACUAACUCCAAAAGGUUGGAAAAGAGUUCCUACAAAGGUUUUGGACAGUGAUUUUAACCCUAACGCCAAAAACCUUAAACCUUACCAUAGCCAAAAAACUAAUACCCGGGUAUUACCACAGGAAGCCCGAAAACCCCAAAUAUUUUUUUUUUCAUUUUUCAUCCUUUUUUUGGUCUAACUAACUCCAAAAGGUUGGAAAAGAGUUCCUACAAAGGUUUUGGACAGUGAUUUUAACCCUAACGCCAAAAACCUUAAACCUUACCAUAGCCCCAAAACCUAAUACCCGGGUAUUACUUUUAGGAAGCCUGAACACCCCAAAUAUUUUUUUUUCAUUUUUCAUUUUUUUUUGGUCUAACUAACUCCAAAAGGUUGGAAAAGAGUUCCUACAAAGGUUUUGGACAGUGAUUUUAACCCUAACGCCAAAAACCUUAAACCUUACCCUAGCCCAAAACCUAAUACCCGGGUAUUACUUUCAGGAAGCCCGAAAACCCCAAAUAUUUUUUUUUCUUUUUCAUUUUUUUUUUGGUCUAACUAACUCCAAAAGGUUGGAAAAGAGUUCCUACAAAGGUUUUGGACAGUGAUUUUAAACCUAAUGCCAAAAACUUUAAACCUUACCAUAGCCCCAUAACCUAAUACCCGGGUAUUACUUUUAGGAAGCCUGAACACCCCAAAUAUUUUUUUUUCAUUUUUCAUUUUUUUUUGGUCUAACUAACUCCAAAAGGUUGGAAAAGAGUUCCUACAAAGGUUUUGGACAGUGAUUUUAACCCUAACGCCAUUAAGCUUAAACCUUACCCUAGCCUUUAAAUCUACUACCCGGGUAUUACCACAGGAAGCCCGAACACCCCAAAUAUUUUUUUUUUUCAUUUUACAUUUUUGUUGGUGUAACCAACUCCAAAAGGUUGGAAAAGAGUUCCUACAAAGGUUUUGGACAGUGAUUUUAACCCUAAUGCCAAAAACCUUAAACCUUACCAUAGCCCCAUAACCUAAUACCCGGGUAUUACUUUUAGGAAGCCUGAACACCCCAAAUAUUUUUUUUUCAUUUUUCUUUUUUUUUUGGUCUAACUAACUCCAAAAGGUUGGAAAAGAGUUCCUACAAAGGUUUUGGACAGUGAUUUUAACCCUAACGCCAAAAAACUUAAACCUUACCCUGGCCUUAAAAUCUAAUACCCGGGUAUUACAUUAAGGAAGCCCGGAAACCCCAAAUAUUUUUUUUUCUUUUUUCAUUUUUUUUUUGGUCUAAGUAACUCCAAAAGUUUGGAAAAGAGUUCCUACAAAGGUUUUGGACAGUGAUUUUAACCCUAACGCCAUUAAGCUUAAACCUUACCAUAGCCUUUAAAUCUAAUACCCGGGUAUUACCACAGGAAGACCGAAAACCCCAAAUAUUUUUUUUUCCUUUUUCAUAUUUUUUUGGUCUAACUAACUCCAAAAGGUUGGAAAAGAGUUCCUACAAAGGUUUUGGACAGUGAUUUUAACCCUAACGCCAAAAAACUUAAACCUUACCCUGGCCUUAAAAUCUAAUACCCGGGUAUUACUUUUAGGAAGCCUGAACACCCCAAAUAUUUUUUUUUCAUUUUUCAUUUUUUUUGGUCUAACUAACUCCAAAAGGUUGGAAAAGAGUUCCUACAAAGGUUUUGGACAGUGAUUUUAACCCUAAUGCCAAAAAACUUAAACCUUACCCUGGCCUUAAAAUCUAAUACCCGGGUAUUACAUUAAGGAAGCCCGGAAACCCCAAAUAUUUUUUUUUCAUUUUUCAUUCUUUUUUUGGUCUAACUAACUCCAAAAGGUUGGAAAGAGUUCCUACAAAGGUUUUGGACAGUGAUUUUAAACCUAAUGCCAAAAACCUUAAACCUUACCAUAGCCCCAUAACCUAAUACCCGGGUAUUACUUUUAGGAAGCCUGAACACCCCAAAUAUUUUUUUUUCAUUUUUCAUUUUUUUUGGUCUAACUAACUCCAAAAGGUAGGAAAAGAGUUCCUACAAAGGUUUUGGACAGUGAUUUUAACCCUAACGCCAAAAACCUUAAACCUUACCAUAGCCCCAUAACCUAAUACCCAGGUAUUACCUUCAGGAAGCCCGAACACCCCAAAUAUUUUUUUUUUCAUUUUUCAUUUUUGUUGGUCUAACUAACUCCAAAAGGUUGGAAAAGAGUUCCUACAAAGGUUUUGGACAGUGAUUUUAACCCUAACGCCAAAAACCUUAAACCUUACCCUAGCCCCAAAACCUAAUACCCGGGUAUUACCUUCAGGAAGCCCGAAAACCCCAAAUAUUUUUUUUUCCUUUUUAAUAUUUUUUGGUCUAACUAACUCCAAAAGGUUGGAAAAGAGUUCCUACAAAGGUUUUGGACAGUGAUUUUAACCCUAACGCCAAAAACCUUAAACCUUACCAUAGCCCCAUAACCUAAUACCCGGGUAUUACUUUUAGGAAGCCUGAACACCCCAAAUAUUUUUUUUUCAUUUUUCAUUUUUUUUUUGGUCUAACUAACUCCAAAAGGUUGGAAAAGAGUUCCUACAAAGGUUUUGGACAGUGAUUUUAACCCUAACGCCAAAAACCUUAAACCUUACCCUAGCCUUAAAAUCUAAUACCCGGGUAUUACUUUUAGGAAGCCCGAACACCCCAAAUAUUUUUUUUUUCAUUUUACAUUUUUGUUGGUGUAACCAACUCCAAAAGGUUGGAAAAGAGUUCCUACAAAGGUUUUGGACAGUGAUUUUAACCCUAACGCCAAAAACCUUAAACCUUACCAUAGCCCCAUAACCUAAUACCCGGGUAUUACUUUCAGGAAGCCUGAACACCCCAAAUAUUUUUUUUUCAUUUUUCUUUUUUUUUGGUCUAACUAACUCCAAAAGGUUGGAAAAGAGUUCCUACAAAGGUUUUGGACAGUGAUUUUAACCCUAACGCCAUAAAACUUAAACCUUUCCCUGGCCUUAAAAUCUAAUACCCGGGUAUUACAUUAAGGAAGCACAAAAACCCCAAACAUUUUUCUUUUCAUUUUUCAUUUUUUUUUGGUCUAACUAACUCCAAAAGGUUGGAAAGAGUUCCUACAAAGGUUUUGGACAGUGAUUUUAACCCUAAUGCCAAAAACCUUAAACCUUACCAUAGCCCCAUAACCUAAUACCCGGGUAUUACUUUUAGGAAGCCUGAACACCCCAAAUAUUUUUUUUUCAUUUUUCAUUUUUUUUUUUGGUCUAACUAACUCCAAAAGGUUGGAAAAGAGUUCCUACAAAGGUUUUGGACAGUGAUUUUAACCCUAAUGCCAAAAACCUUAAACCUUACCAUAGCCCCAUAACCUAAUACCCGGGUAUUACUUUCAGGAAGCCCGAACACCCCAAAUAUUUUUUUUUUCAUUUUACAUUUUUGUUGGUGUAACCAACUCCAAAAGGUUGGAAAAGAGUUCCUACAAAGGUUUUGGACAGUGAUUUUAACCCUAAUGCCAAAAACUUAAACCUUACCAUAGCCCCAUAACCUAAUACCCGGGUAUUACCUUCAGGAAGCCCGAACACCCCAAAUAUUUUUUUUUCAUUUUACAUUUUUGUUGGUGUAACCAACUCCAAAAGGUUGGUGUUACACCCCACCCUUAGGCGGCCCUAUGGGGCCAACAACAAUCCUCAACUUUUUACCCAUCAAAUUAACCAAAACACCUUCAAGAGUUUAACACGUGAUUUAUUGUGAAAAAACAACAAAAUUGCAAACUAAACACAAAGCACCCACAACACAAAUGAGAGGCAGCAGGGCAGCAGUUCCCCACCAAAUGCCUCUCCAGACUGCAGGCAGCUCUGGGCUUUUAGACUCCCAGCACCAGGUGAGUCUGAUUGUCACUCAAGUGAUUUCACCUGGGCAGCUAUGGAGAGACAAAGAGGAAAACACAUGCAAAACAAACACACAGCCGUAACAGUUGGAAAAGAGUUCCUACAAAGGUUUUGGACAGUGAUUUUAACCCUAACGCCAAAAACUUAAACCUUACCCUAGCCUUAAAAUCUAAUACCCGGGUAUUACUUUUAGGAAGCCUGAACACCCCAAAUAUAUUUUUUUCAUUUUACAUUUUUUUUGGUGUAACUAACUCCAAAAGGUUGGAAAAGAGUUCCUACAAAGGUUUUGGACAGUGAUUUUAACCCUAAUGCCAAAAACCUUAAACCUUACCAUAGCCCCAUAACCUAAUACCCGGGUAUUACAUUUAGGAAGCCUGAACACCCCAAAUAUUUUUUUUUCAUUUUUUUUUUUUUUUUUUGGUCUAACUAGCUCCAAAAAAUUGGAAAUGAGUUCCUACAAAGGUUUUGGACAGUGAUUUUAACCCUAACGCCAUAAAACUUAAACCUUUCCCUGGCCUUAAAAUCUAAUACCCGGGUAUUACAUUCAGGAAGCCCGAAAACCCCAAAUAUUUUUUUUCAUUUUACAUUUUUGUUGGUGUAACUAACUCCAAAAGGUUGGAAAAGAGUUCCUACAAAGGUUUUGGACAGUGAUUUUAACCCUAACGCCAAAAACCUUAAACCUUACCAUAGCCCCAUAACCUAAUACCCGGGUAUUACCUUCAGGAAGCCCGAACACCCCUAACAUUUUUUUUUCAUUUUACAUUUUUGUUGGUGUAACCAACUCCAAAAGGUUGGUGUUACACCCCACCCUUAGGCGGCCCUAUGGGGCCAACAACAAUCCUCAACUUUUUACCCAUCAAAUUAACCAAAACACCUUCAAGAGUUUAACACGUGAUUUAUUGUGAAAAAACAACAAAAUUGCAAACUAAACACAAAGCACCCACAACACAAAUGAGAGGCAGCAGGGCAGCAGUUCCCCACCAAAUGCCUCUCCAGACUGCAGGCAGCUCUGGGCUUUUAGACUCCCAGCACCAGGUGAGUCUGAUUGUCACUCAAGUGAUUUCACCUGGGCAGCUAUGGAGAGACAAAAGAGGAAAACACAUGCAAAACAACACACACUAACAGUUGGAAAAGAGUUCCUACAAAGGUUUUGGACAGUGAUUUUAACCCUAACGCCAAAAACUUAAACCUUACCCUAGCCUUAAAAUCUAAUACCCAGUUAUUACUUUUAGGAAGCCUGAACACCCCAAAUAUUUUUUUUUUUCAUUUUACAUUUUUUUUGGUCUAACCAACUCCAAAAGGUUGGAAAAGAGUUCCUACAAAGGUUUUGGACAGUGAUUUUAACCCUAACGCCAAAAACCUUAAACCUUACCAUAGCCCCAUAACCUAAUACCCGGGUAUUACAUUUAGGAAGCCUGAACACCCCAAAUAUUUUUUUUCAUUUUUCAUUUUUUUUUUGGUCUAACUAACUCCAAAAGGUUGGAAAAGAGUUCCUACAAAGGUUUUGGACAGUGAUUUUAACCCUAACGCCAUAAAACUUAAACCUUUCCCUGGCCUUAAAAUCUAAUACCCGGGUAUUACAUUCAGGAAGCCCGAAAACCCCAAAUAUUUUUUUUUUCAUUUUACAUUUUUGUUGGUGUAACCAACUCCAAAAGGUUGGAAAAGAGUUCCUACAAAGGUUUUGGACAGUGAUUUUAACCCUAACGCCAAAAACAUUAAACCUUACCAUAGCCCCAUAACCUAAUACCCGGGUAUUACCUUCAGGAAGCCCGAACACCCCUAACAUUUUUUUUUCAUUUUACAUUUUUGUUGGUGUAACCAACUCCAAAAGGUUGGUGUUACACCCCACCCUUAGGCGGCCCUAUGGGGCCAACAACAAUCCUCAACUUUUUACCCAUCAAAUUAACCAAAACACCUUCAAGAGUUUAACACGUGAUUUAUUGUGAAAAAACAACAAAAUUGCAAACUAAACACAAAGCACCCACAACACAAAUGAGAGGCAGCAGGGCAGCAGUUCCCCACCAAAUGCCUCUCCAGACUGCAGGCAGCUCUGGGCUUUUAGACUCCCAGCACCAGGUGAGUCUGAUUGUCACUCAAGUGAUUUCACCUGGGCAGCUAUGGAGAGACAAAAGAGGAAAACACAUGCAAAACAAACACACAGCCGUAACAGUUGGAAAAGAGUUCCUACAAAUGUUUUGGACAGUGAUUUUAACCCUAACGCCAUAAAACUUAAACCUUACCCUAGCCUUAAAAUCUAAUACCCGGGUAUUACUUUUAGGAAGCCUGAACACCCCAAAAGAUAUAUUUUUUUCAUUUUACAUUUUUGUUGGUGUAACCAACUCCAAAAGGUUGGAAAAGAGUUCCUACAAAGGUUUUGGACAGUGAUUUUAACCCUAAUGCCAAAAACUUUAAACCUUACCAUAGCCCCAUAACCUAAUACCCGGGUAUUACAUUUAGGAAGCCUGAACACCCCAAAUAUUUUUUUUCAUUUUUCAUUUUUUUUUGGUCUAACUAACUCCAAAAGGUUGGAAAUGAGUUCCUACAAAGGUUUUGGACAGUGAUUUUAACCCUAACGCCAUAAAACUUAAACCUUUCCCUGGCCUUAAAAUCUAAUACCCGGGUAUUACAUUCAGGAAGCCCGAAAACCCCAAAUAUUUUUUUUUCAUUUUACAUUUUUGUUGGUGUAACCAACUCCAAAAGGUUGGAAAAGAGUUCCUACAAAGGUUUUGGACAGUGAUUUUAACCCUAACGCCAAAAACCUUAAACCUUACCCUUGCCCCAAAACUUGAUACCCGGGUAUUACCUUCAGGAAGCCCGAAAACCCCAAAUAUAUUUUUUUCCUUUUUCAUAUUUUUUUGGUCUAGCUAACUCCAAAAGGUUGGAAAAGAGUUCCUACAAAGGUUUUGGACAGUGAUUUUAACCCUAACGCCAAAAACCUUAAACCUUACCAUAGCCCCAUAACCUAAUACCGGGGUAUUACUUUUAGGAAGCCUGAAAACCCCAAAUAUGUUUUUUUUUCAUUUUUCAUUUUUUUUUGGUCUAACUAACUCCAAAAGGUUGGAAAGAGUUCCUACAAAGGUUUUGGACAGUGAUUUUAACCCUAACGCCAUAAAACUUAAACCUUACCCUAGCCUUAAAAUCUAAUACCCGGGUAUUACAUUCAGGAAGCCCGAAAACCCCAAAUAUUUUUUUUCAUUUUACAUUUUUGUUGGUGUAACCAACUCCAAAAGGUUGGAAAAGAGUUCCUACAAAGGUUUUGGACAGUGAUUUUAACCCUAACGCCAAAAACCUUAAACCUUACCCUAGCCUUAAAAUCUAAUACCCGGGUAUUACCUUCAGGAAGCCCGAAAACCCCAAAUAUUUUUUUUUCAUUUUUCAUUUUUUUUUGGUCUAACUAACUCCAAAAGGUUGGAAAAGAGUUCCUACAAAGGUUUUGGACAGUGAUUUUAACCCUAACGCCAAAAACCUUAAACCUUACCCAAGCCCCAUAACCUAAUAUAAUACCUGUAUAACCUUCAGGAGUCCUGAACACCCCAAAUAUUUUUUUUUUUUUUUCAUUUUUUUUUGGUCUAACUAACUCCAAAAGGUUGGAAAAGAGUUCCUACAAAGGUUUUGGACAGUGAUUUUAACCCUAACGCCAAAAACCUUAAACCUUACCAUAGCCCCAAAACCUAAUACCCGGGUAUUACUUUUAGGAAGCCUGAACACCCCAAAUAUUUUUUUUUCAUUUUUCAUUUUUUUUUUUGGUCUAACUAACUCCAAAAGGUUGGAAAAGAGUUCCUACAAAGGUUUUGGACAGUGAUUUUAACCCUAACGCCAAAAACCUUAAACCUUACCAUAGCCCCAUAACCUAAUACCCGGGUAUUACUUUUAGGAAGCCUGAACACCCCAAAUAUUUUUUUUUCAUUUUUCAUUUUUUUUGGUCUAACUAAAUCCAAAAGGUUGGAAAAGAGUUCCUACAAAGGUUUUGGACAGUGAUUUUAACCCUAACGCCAAAAACCUUAAACCUUACCCUAGCCCCAAAACCUAAUACCCGGGUAUUACCUUCAGGAAGCCCGAAAACCCCAAAUAUUUUUUUUUCAUUUUUCAUUUUUUUUGGUCUAACUAACUCCAAAAGGUUGGAAAAGAGUUCCUACAAAGGUUUUGGACAGUGAUUUUAACCCUAACGCCAUAAAACUUAAACCUUACCCUUGCCUUAAAAUCUAAUACCCGGGUAUUACUUUUAGGAAGCCCGAACACCCCAUAUAUUUUUUUUUCUUUUUACAUUUUUUUUGGUCUAACUAACUCCAAAAGGUUGGAAAAGAGUUCCUACAAAGGUUUUGGACAGUGAUUUUAACCCUAACGCCAAAAACCUUAAACCUUACCCUAGCCCCAAAACCUAAUACCCGGGUAUUACCUUCAGGAAGCCCGAACACCCCAAAUAUUUUUUUUUCAUUUUUCAUAUUUUUUGGUCUAACUAACUCCAAAAGGUUGGAAAAGAGUUCCUACAAAGGUUUUGGACAGUGAUUUUAACCCUAACGCCAUAAAACUUAAACCUUACCCUAGCCUUAAAAUCUAAUACCCGGGUAUUACUUUUAGGAAGCCCGAACACCCCAAUAUUUUUUUUUUCAUUUUUCAUUUUUUUUGGUCUAACCAACUCCAAAAGGUUGGAAAAGAGUUCCUACAAAGGUUUUGGACAGUGAUUUUAACCCUAAUGCCAAAAACCUUAAACCUUACCAUAGCCCCAUAACCUAAUACCCGGGUAUUACUUUUAGGAAGCCUGAACACCCCAAAUAUUUUUUUUUCAUUUUUCUUUUUUUUUUGGUCUAACUAACUCCAAAAGGUUGGAAAAGAGUUCCUACAAAGGUUUUGGACAGUAAUUUUAACCCUAAUUUCAAAAAACUUAAACCUUACCCUGGCCUUAAAAUCUAAUACCCGGGUAUUACAUUAAGGAAGCCCGGAAACCCCAAAUAUUUUUUUUUCAUUUUUCAUUCUUUUUUUGGUCUAACUAACUCCAAAAGGUUGGAAAGAGUUCCUACAAAGGUUUUGGACAGUGAUUUUAAACCUAAUGCCAAAAACCUUAAACCUUACCAUAGCCCCAUAACCUAAUACCCGGGUAUUACCUUCAGGAAGCCCGAACACCCCAAAUAUUUUUUUUUCAUUUUUCAUUUUUGUUGGUGUAACCAACUCCAAAAGGUUCGAAAAGAGUUCCUACAAAGGUUUUGGACAGUGAUUUUAACCCUAACGCCAGAAAACUUAAACCAUACCCUAGCCCCAAAACCUAAUACCCGGGUAUUACCUUCAGGAAGCCCGAAAACCCCAAAUAUUUUUUUUUCCUUUUUAAUAUUUUUUGGUCUAACUAACUCCAAAAGGUAGGAAAAGAGUUCCUACAAAGGUUUUGGACAGUGAUUUUAACCCUAACGCCAUAAAACUUAAACCUUACCCUAGCCUUAAAAUCUAAUACCCGGGUAUUACUUUUAGGAAGCCCGAACACCCCAUAUAUUUUUUUUUUCAUUUUACAUUUUUGUUGGUGUAACCAACUCCAAAAGGUUGGAAAAGAGUUCCUACAAAGGUUUUGGACAGUGACUUUAACCCUAAUGCCAAAAACCUUAAACCUUACCAUAGCCCCAUAACCUAAUACCCGGGGUAUUACUUUUAGGAAGCCUGAACACCCCAAAUAUUUUUUUUUCAUUUUUCUUUUUUUUUUGGUCUAACUAACUCCAAAAAGUUCGAAAAGAGUUCCUACAAAGGUUUUGGACAGUGAUUUUAACCCUAACGCCAAAAAACUUAAACCUUCCCCUAGCCUUAAAAUCUAAUACCCGGGUAUUACUUUUAGGAAGCCCGAAAACCCCAAAUAUUUUUUUUUUCAUUUUUCAUUUUUUUUGGUCUAACUAACUCCAAAAGGUUGGAAAAGAGUUCCUACAAAGGUUUUGGACAGUGAUUUUAACCCUAACGCCAAAAACCUUAAACCUUACCAUAGCUCCAUAACCUAAUACCGGGGUAUUACUUUUAGGAAGCCUGAACACCCCAAAUAUUUUUUUUUCAUUUUUCAUUUUUUUUUUGGUCUCACUAACUCCAAAAGGUUCGAAAAGAGUUCCUACAAAGGUUUUGGACAGUGAUUUUAACCCUAACGCCAUAAAACUUAAACCUUUCCCUGGCCUUAAAAUCUAAUACCCGGGUAUUACAUUCAGGAAGCACAAAAACCCCAAACAUUUUUUUUUCAUUUUUCUUUUUUUUUUGGUCUAACUAACUCCAAAAGGUUGGGAAAGAGUUCCUACAAAGGUUUUGGACAGUGAUUUUAACCCUAAUGCCAUAAACCUUAAACCUUACCAUAGCCCCAUAACCUAAUACCCGGGUAUUACUUUUAGGAAGCCUGAACACCCCAAAUAUUUUUUUUUCAUUUUUCAUUUUUUUCUUUUGGUCUAACUAACUCCAAAAGGUUGGAAAAGAGUUCCUACAAAGGUUUUGGACAGUGAUUUUAAACCUAAUGCCAUUAAGCUUAAACCUUACCAUAGCCCCAUAACCUAAUACCCGGGUAUUACCUUCAGGAAGCCCGAACACCCCAAAUAUUUUUUUUUUCAUUUUUCUUUUUUUUUUUGGUGUAACCAACUCCAAAAGGUUGGAAAAGAGUUCCUACAAAGGUUUUGGACAGUGAUUUUAACCCUAACGCCAAAAACCUUAAACCUUACCAUAGCCCCAUAACCUAAUACCCGGGUAUUACCUUCAGGAAGCCCGAACACCCCAAAUAUUUUUUUUUUCAUUUUACAUUUUUGUUGGUGUAACCAACUCCAAAAGGUUGGUGUUACACCCCACCCUUAGGCGGCCCUAUGGGGCUAACAACAAUCCUCAACUUUUUACCCAUCAAAUUAACCAAAACACCUUCAAAAGUUUAACACGUGAUUUAUUGUGAAAAAACAACAAAAUUGCAAACUAAACACAAAGCACCCACAACACAAAUGAGAGGCAGCAGGGCAGCAGUUCCCCACCAAAUGCCUCUCCAGACUGCAGGCAGCUCUGGGCUUUUAGACUCCCAGCACCAGGUGAGUCUGAUUGUCACUCAAGUGAUUUCACCUGGGCAGCUAUGGAGAGACAAAAGAGGAAAACACAUGCAAAACAAACACACAGCCGUAACAGUUGGAAAAGAGUUCCUACAAAGGUUUUGGACAGUGAUUUUAACCCUAACGCCAUAAAACUUAAACCUUACCCUAGCCUUAAAAUCUAAUACCCGGGUAUUACUUUUAGGAAGCCCGAACACCCCAAAUAUUUUUUUUUUCAUUUUACAUUUUUGUUGGUGUAACCAACUCCAAAAGGUUGGAAAAGAGUUCUUACAUAGGUUUUGGACAGUGACUUUAACCCUAAUGCAAAAAACCUUAAACCUUACCAUAGCCCCAUAACCUAAUACCUGGGUAUUACAUUUAGGAAGCCUGAACACCCCAAAUAUUUUUUUUUCAUUUUUCUUUUUUUUUUGGUCUAACUAGCUCCAAAAAAUUGGAAAUGAGUUCCUACAAAGGUUUUGGACAGUGAUUUUAACCCUAACGCCAAAAAACUUAAACCUUUCCCUGGCCUUAAGAUCUAAUACCCGGGUAUUACCUUCAGGAAGCCUGAACACCCCAAAUAUUUUUUUUUCAUUUUUCGUUUUUUUUUUUGGUCUAACUAACUCCAAAAGGUUGGAAAAGAGUUCCUACAAAGGUUUUGGACAGUGAUUUUAACCCUAACGCCAAAAAACUUAAACCUUUCCCUGGCCUUAAAAUCUAAUACCCGGGUAUUACAUUCAGGAAGCCCGAAAACCCCAAAUAUUUUUUUUUCAUUUUACAUUUUUUUUGGUGUAACUAACUCCAAAAGGUUGGAAAAGAGUUCCUACAAAGGUUUUGGACAGUGAUUUUAACCCUAAUGCCAUAAACCUUAAACCUUACCAUAGCCCCAUAACCUAAUACCCGGGUAUUACUUUUAGGAAGCCUGAACACCCCAAAUAUUUUUUUUUCAUUUUUCGUUUUUUUUUUGGUCUAACUGACUCCAAAAGGUUGGAAAAGAGUUCCUACAAAGGUUUUGGACAGUGAUUUUAACCCUAACGCCAAAAAAACUUAAACCUUACCCUAGCCAUAAAAUCUAAUUCCCGGGUAUAACCUUCAGGAAGCCCGAAAGCCCCAAAUAUUUUUUUUCAUUUUACAUUUUUGUUGGUGUAACCAACUCCAAAAGGUUGGAAAAGAGUUCCUACUAAGGUUUUGGACAGUGAUUUUAACCCUAACGCCAAAAACCUUAAACCUUACCCUAGCCCCAAAACCUAAUACCCGGGUAUUACCUUCAGGAAGCCCGAAAACCCCAAAUAUAUUUUUUUCCUUUUUCAUAUUUUUUUGGUCUAGCUAACUCCAAAAGGUUGGAAAAGAGUUCCUACAAAGGUUUUGGAAAGUGAUUUUAACACUAACGCCAAAAACCUUAAACCUUACCAUAGCCCCAUAACCUAAUACCGGGGUAUUACUUUUAGGAAGCCUGAACACCCCAAACAUUUUUUUUUUCAUUUUUCAUUUUUUUUUUUUUGGUCUAGCUUACUCCAAAAGGUUGGAAAAGAGUUCCUACAAAGGUUUUGGACAGUGAUUUUAACCCUAACGCCAAAAACCUUUAACCUUACCCUAGCCCUGUAAUAUAAUAUAUACAUAAUUUACAAACACAUAGUCUAAAAGAUAGACAGCAUGGCAUACCAAUUGAGUGGAGUCAUUAAACUUCCUACCAACACAUAAUUUUUACACACAGAUUGAGCUUGGAGACUUGACUGGGAACAUGUGAUAUGUCAACAUCCCCCUCACCAAUCUUUAUUUUCCACCAUCUCCACCUCUCCCUUAAACCCCCCUCUCCCUCUUCCCUUCUCUCUCUCUCUCUCUCUCUCUCUCUCUCACACACACACACACACACACACACACACACACACACACACACACACACACACACACACCUCUCUCUCUCUCUCUCUCUCUCUCUCUCUCUCUCUGUCUCUCUCUCCCUCAUCUCUCUCCCUCAUCUCUACCCCUCUCUCUAACACCCCCCCUUUCUUAUUCCCUCCCCUGCCCCUUUAUUUUCACCUUCACAGAGGACAAAUAGGUGAUCUUCAGCCUAGGCCUACCCCGGCCGGGGGGUAACCCCUGUUGGGUCACCUAUAUGGAGGAUUAAGAAAGACCUGAAGGGGAACCGCCGUGCCCCCUAAAUCCUCCCCCUCUAACAUCUUUUUAACACUCUAAAAUUAGCCAGCUAACCCCACUACAAACAACUUCAUCAAAAAUUUAAAUAAUAAAUACUUAUCAAUAACUGACCAUCAGUGACACCAGACUAAGUUAGCAAAAAAGAACACACACACACACGUACAGAUUUUCCCUUAGGACAUUGAUCAGAUUUACAUUUCUGUCUUUCUUUUAGGGAACUGUUCUCUGUUUUUAAGCUCACUUCUGAUUUUUGCUAUUUGCUCUUGACACUUCUUUUUUUCCUUUUUUCUUCCCCUUUCCCUUUUGCAAUCCACUUUUGUUCUUCUUUUAUUUUUUCAUUGUUUUAUAUUAUUUUAUUUUAUUUUAGGGUUCCUGUGCUUUUGUUUUUCUUCCCCCCUCCCCUCUUUUUUCUUAGGAAGGACUGACUCCUGAGGUUCUCAUGCCAGGAAAAAUGUACCUCCCUCACUCACGGUUUUACCCACAAUCCUUUGCUGCAACAGGGAGAUUGAUUCCCAAGGCUCUCAUGCCAGAAAGGAAGUACCUCACUCCCUCACGGUUUUACCCACAAUCCUUUGCUGUAACAGGAAGAUUGAUUCCUUAGGCUCUCAUCCCUCAGAACUAAAAUACCCACAAUCCCUUGCGAUUGCAUACAAAUUGAAUGUAGCAAAACUCAAUUUAAAACAAUAAACUACAUUAAAAUUAACUUAAAACAACUUGAAGGUUUAAAAUACAACCAAGAGACAUCCAUUCUGGAAUACAAACAUCGAGAAGAGAACACAACCAUGUCUGAGAGGAACAGCACAAACCAUGACUCGAGCCCAACUCUGGGGAUGUCUACUUGUUUGAAAAGCACAUUUAAGUGCCGUGCAUUAAAGAGCAAUUCCUGUUCCAGUUAUUGAGACAAAGCACUGACCUCUGGACCAAGAAGACGGACCACCAUCGAGGAAGACGCCGCGCCGCCAACUGAAAGAAGACGCCGCACCUCCAUCACUCCAAGCCGCCCACCACCGAGCUUCGACCCGCCUACAGCACCGAGUCCCAGCAAACCUUCCCGCGGAGCGCUGAUCUUCUUUCCCCCGCCGAGGACCCCGGACUUCAGACACACCGCUGCCACCGCGGAUGGACAGCUGGAACCUUUUCCCCCCUCCAACAGAUUUUAGACUACUGGAAAAGAAACCCCUCACAUCAACAACAACUUAGGACCACUAGGGUAAGUCUACAAAAAACCUCUCAAACACCUCAAAAUUACUCUAAAUAGUUAGUUUUGUUUGUUGAACUUGAGUUUGUGUCGUUUUUGAACUUGAGUUUGUGGUGUUUUUGAACUUGAGUUUGUGUCGUGUUUGAAGUUUGUGGCAACUUAUGAACUUGAGUUUGUUUGGCUUGAUUUUUUGGCAAUUGUUGAACUUGAGUCUAUGGUUUUUAGUGAACUUUAGUUGGUGGCAAUUGUUGAACUUUUGUUUGUGGCGUUCGUUGAACUUGAGUUUGUGGUGUUCAUUGAA
rnacentral:lncRNA from 1 species